UUUUUUUUUUUUUUUUUUUGUUUUGACACAAGGCUCCCGCUCUGUCUAAGGGUCUUUUUAGAAAUCCGUUGAGAGUGUAAUUAACUUGGAUUAAGUGAAUGAUUUGGUACUGAGGACAGAUUAGUUAAAGGUAAUUUGUCUAUAUUAUUAAAAGGAAAAAGAUAGAGAAAUUGAUUUGAUGGGAUAGAAGGGGAAAGGGUGUUUGUUAAAAAUGGGACGUUGGAUGGUAAAAGCAAGAAGAGGGGAAGUUUUCAGUAUUUGUAAAUGGUAGGGUGUGUCUGAUUAUGGGUUUUUAAAAGGUAUUUUGGACUGUUGUUUAUGGCACUAUCAACCCUUCAACGAUCCUUUGGGCCCUCAAGAAUGUUUCUUCUUCACAAUUUCCCCUCUAUGUCAUUUCCAAUACAUUCUUUUUCAUUCCUUAAUUAUUUGUAACUUUCCUUCUCUUCUUCUUCUUCUUCUUCCAUUUCAUUGCACUGUUUUUGUUUGUAACAAUCUACUUAAAAUUAACUUUACUCUAGCUAGGAAAAAAGAGAAAGAACAAAAAUAUGAAAAUUCACUACUAUUUACUUAAUCUUUUUGCUGCGAAAGGAAAGUACUAUUCAAGUGUGUUAUACAAUAACGUCCUAAAAUUGAAUUAUGAUGGAUUUUCCAGUAUGAAGUUUUAAAGAAUAUAAAAGGAUAUAGAUGAAGAGAAAAAGGCUUUAUCCAAUUAUCCAAUUUUACCUAGAUUGGAAUUUAGGUUAGAAAAAUUUGAGAAUAUAAAAUUUGUUUGUAAUUAACUAAAAAAUUAUAAAAGUUUGGACUAUUUAGUUUUUUAAAUAAAAUUGACAAAUAGAUAGCACACCUUAUGAUUAAAUAAGGUUUGUCUUUAUCAUUUCUGCUUUGUUCUUUUGUUUAAUUUGUUUUUACAAAAUUUGUUAUCAUUUCCGUUGAAGAAUGAAUUGUUGAACCAAAAAGAAAAAGAAAAACGCAUCUAAACAAAAGCUCUGCUUCGGACUGGGAAUCAACUUGGGCCUUUCCUAAAUGGGCUAGACCUCCCUCCCCGGCCCAAUAAGUUUUGUUUAUGUUUUUUUUUUUUAAUAUAUAUAUAUAUAUAAAUGAGAAAAAUAAUUGAUAUAAAACAUAGACUUAAAUAUUGUUGUCUUUCUUUAUGAUUUUUCAAUUAGUCUGCAUCAUUCUAAAUUAAAAUAUUAAUUUGACUAAUGAUUAAUAAUUGGAAUGGCAUGAGGGAAAAAUAGUCCAUUAUAUAAAAUAAUGACAAGUAUAUGUCUAAAUAUAUAUAUAUUUAUUAAUAAAAUAGACAAUUAGAAUAUAAAGCAAAAUUCAUUACUGGUUAUUUAUUAAUAUUAUCCAAUUGGUAUCAUCUUGUUUGUUUGUUUGUCAAGACUAUAUUGUCUGACCUAAUAUAAUAAAUGUGCCAUUGUUGAUAUUAAUUUAAACAAUAUUAAAACUCGGGAAAGAAUUAAAAUCCCGCAAUCAGUUAUUAUUGUUUUGAAAAUUGAUUAAAGGAUACCCAUGAAAUGAUGAAGCAAGCUUUAUUGUGAAAGAAUCCAACUUUUAUGGCAUGCUAAGAAAUUACAUUCUAAUACGAUAAGGAAGGAUGUGCUUACGUAUAUAAACAUUAUGUCAUAUUAGUACGAUUAUCAUUGAAAUUUAGAAAUGUUUUCAAAGGUGGAGACAGUUGGCAAAGGAGAAUGAGGUUCUGAAUUGAUUUGGCAUUGUGAUUGAGAUGAGUGGACCAAAAGGCAUGGGUACAGCUGCAUUAAUGUGGUCCUUGAUGUAGGUGAUAAUUAGGGAGAAAUAUUAAUAUGAAAGGCAUAAAAGAAUAAAGGAGAGUUGGCCACUUAGCUUCAUACCAAUUGGCGCUCACAAAACCAAAAAUCGUCUCAUUUAAAAAAUGGGCAUUCACUAACUUGCAUAAGCGGGUCACCAUAUGGAGACACGUGGUGGAUGUGUAUAGGGACAUAGUGCUGAAACCAUUGGCUGAUCCGUGGCUGUCACCUUUGGCCCAGGGUUGUUUAAUAAUACACUUGGAAUCGUCCUCCCCAAUCCGAAAAUGACUGUCAACUAUUAUACCGACAACGACUCUUCCUAUAAACGCUUUUCCCAUACCAUACUAUACAUUUCACCAUGUGACAUAUUUCUCUUUUUCUUUCUCCUUCCUAAUUUUACUUCUUUUAAUCCAAAGUAUAUACUUCUAUCAAGUUAUUUGUAUAUUUACUUACACGGAUUUUAAAACCCAAUAUCACUCUUUCUUUAAUUUCUUGGUCAAUUGAGGUAUAUUUUAUGUUGGUUAGUUAAUUCCAAAUAAUUAUGUCUGUGUGUAUAUGGUGAAGUUGAAAGUAGUCAACUUUUUGUUCUUUUUGUAUUGUUUUUAGCAAUUCGUAGGAUGGAGUUUGGACUGUAAUUGUAAAGUUUACUUUGAGUUUGUCCAAUGAUAAGGCUGAAGAAUUUUCAUAUAAUGUUGAGAUGGAACACAAGCUACACUAAGUCACUCUCAUAAAAUAUUUUUUAUUCUUGAUGUGAUACAUAUAGAAUUUUAGGUUACGCAUUACAACUUUAGUCUAUCAAAUUUUAAAUUUGUGUCAAGCAUGUCAUGAAGUACUUUAAACAACUUUUUAAAUUAAUCUUUGAACUAUCAUGUAUCUAAAUAUAAAUUAUUCUUUUUUUUUAUAUAUAUAUAUCUUAGGUCUAAUAUAAAUAAGUUUUCUAAAAUUCAUGAAUCCUAAUUAACUAGACACCAUUCAUAAUAAUCUUUAAAAAAAACAACGAUAAUCUUUGUUAGAUAUUUUUGAAAAAAAGAAUUAUUAGACGCAAAAUUCAAUAUUAAUGUUCCCUUGUUUUAAAAAUAUUUGAAUGUGUUUGUAAAAUUUAGGAAUAUAUCUAUAUUAAACACAAACAUUAACGUUCAUAAAACAAAUUUAUAAUAUCUAAAGCUAAAAGAUAUAUAGAGAUACAUGUAUAUCAUGUCGCACUAUCCACGUUAUUAUCACGAACGAAUAUUACCAAUUGCACCAAGAGGGUUAGAGAUUCAAGUUCAAAUCUCCAUCUCCACCAAAGAAUACUAUAAAUUCAUUGGUAAGUUUUUUUUUAAUAGUUUAAUGAAGUGAAUGAUUGAAUAAGACUCAAAAGAGAAUCCUCCAAACUUAAAAAGCAAUUCUUUAAUUUUUGAAGAAGCAGCAACCACACAAGUGAAAGAAAAGAAUAGCACUUGGACAAGGACACCAAAUAUAUAGAAAUAUAUACAAUUAAUCAUUAAUUAAUGGAUUAAAUUAAUUAUAUAAGGUUGAACUUUUUAAUAUAUGUGUGUCUUUUAAUUUUUUCUUUUUUUUUUUUUUUUUGGUAAGAAAUAGAAAAAGUAUUUAAUAGAUUUUUAAACAUCUAAUUUUCUAACCAAAUAUACUGAGGUAUAUAUUUGUUCAAAAGAAAUUGAAAGACUAGAAACCUAUUAUAGUAAAAAAAGAAAAAGCAAAGAAAAAAAAAUACAAGGUGUGGUCUCUUUCAUUCACUUUCAUUUCCAUUAUAGUUUAUAUUAUAUAUAUAGUCAUGUGGUUCUUCUAACUUGUUCUACACAUAUAAGACUUCUCUUAGAAAAUGGCAAACUCAGAAGAUCAAGGUUGGGAGGACAUGAUUGUAGAUGAUGACGACGACGAUAACGACAACGAAGAAAUAGGGUUUGUAGAUAAUGAGAGGAGGAGGAGAUCUGGUUUAACCAGUGCUCGGGGUGGUGGCGGAGGGGGAAGGUCAACGGUGGCACGUUGCCAAGCCGAUGGCUGCAAUGCUGAUCUGACCGGUGCAAAACCGUACCACCGCCGCCACAAGGUCUGCGAGUUCCACUCCAGGGCGGCUGUGGUGAUUCUGGCCGGAUUGGAACAGCGAUUUUGCCAGCAGUGUAGUAGGUAAGAAAGAAAGCUUCCUCUUUUUUUUUUUUCUCUCAAAUAAUUUUUUUUAAGAAAACCCUAAUCUGGAUCUCUUAAAUUAGUAUUGUUUUUUUAAUCUUUAUCAAAAUGUUUCACUAUUUAUGGAAUAAAUCUAAUAUUCAAGUAUUCUAUUAAGGGGGAAGACAUUUUAAUUUCCAUUUAUACACUAAAGUGUUGAGUCAAUUCUUUUUUGAAUUUUCUAUUGAACAUGAAACAUGUAUAAUUUAAUAUUAUCUUUUUUGAAAAAAAAAAAGUUGUGUUUAAUGGUGAUUAUGUCACCCAAAUGGUUUUAUUACCUAUAGUAAUUACUUUUCAAUCAAGAUAGUAAAAUGCCCAUUAAUAUAAUAGUUAUUGACUAUCAAUUUUAUUUUUUUUAAAAAAGAUUGACCUUCAUUUUUAAGGUCUGAAGUUUUAACAAAGUACUGUUAUAUUAUAUAUUCUUAAUGGUUAAUUAAGUUUGUUUAAAUUAAAGUUGGUAAAUUUGGAUUUUUUUUUUCCCUCUUGAAUAGAGAUUGAAAGGUUUUACAUUAUUGUUAAGACUAAAUGAAUCAAUUUUAGUUGUAAUAACUUUUAAAUUCAAGUGGGUUUGAGUGAGUGAUACAAUUAAUGCUAUAUUCUCACAGUGAUUUUAAAGCUUUCGCUUUCUUAAAAUUAGAGAACAAUUGUGACAUAGGGUUUUGUGUGAUUGGUGAGGAACUAUUCAUUUUAGUGUUAACACUUUUAAUUAUGUUGGAUACUUAAAAUAGUUUGCUUCACAAUAGAGUUAAUUUAGUGGUCGAAAAUAUAUUUGUUGGAAAUUAUUAGAAUGUGAAUAGGGUAGUUUUAAUAUAGUGACAUUUUUUUUGAAAUUAUUAUAAAAAUAGAGGAAAAUCUAUUAAAAUUUAUUUUUGGCAAAUAGUUCUACUUUUUUAUUUUCUGUGAUGUGCAUAUGAAUUUCUCACUAGCUGUAGCCUAUAACAAUAAUGGUGGAAAAAUAAAUUAGAGGGAAGUAAAAUUGAAAAUAUGAAAGGGUGUGGAGGAUUAUAUUAAAUACGCAUUAAAUGUGAAUUAAAUAUAUUAGAUGGGAAUGGAAAAGGGAGAUGGUUUAGUUGUAUUAUGAUGACAGGUUUCAUGCAUUAUCGGAAUUCGAUGACACAAAGAGAAGCUGCCGGAUGCGUUUGGCUGGUCACAAUGAACGCCGCCGUAAAAUCUUACCGGAUUUUCAUGGCCAAUCCUCCACUAAUUGAACCACACACACUCUCACUGUGUCCACUAAUUACCUAAUUAAUAAUAAAUAACAAUAAUGAUACACUCAUUACUAAUGAAGAAUAAGAAGAAGAAGAAGAAGAAAAGAAGAAAGAGCUGCUCGUUAUUGGAGUUAAUUUUGUGUUGAGAGAGAGUCACAGGUCAUUCUGGUUAUUCUGGUCACCAGUCACCGGCGGCCACCGUGAUGAAAAAUGAAUUUUUAUGCUUUCUCUCUUCUGUCAUCAAAAGAAAACCCAAUUUAUAGCCCUCUUUGUAAUCAUAAUAAUAAUAAGUAAAUAGAUAACAAAGAGAUGAUCAGAUGGUUUAUGGUACUUUUUGCCUCAGUCACAUAUCACUAAAAUCUGUGUGGGAUAUCUUUCUUUCUUUUUCUUUAACAUUGUAGCUGUAGGUUAUGUAUGGAAGCCGGCCUAUGUGUUUAAUUUAAUUGUAGUUUGUUAUAUUAAUUAAUGAUGUUUUGUAAAAGAAAUUACCUAGGGCAACCAAAAAGUAUCAUGAUGUAUCAUCUUAUAUAUAUAUUUUUUACUCUUUUAACUUUGGAUUUUACUUAACUUUGGCCCAUGUGAAAUGAAAAAUUAGAAAAAAAAAGUUGUUUUAAUUCUUAUAAAUUAAUUAAGAGACUAUUUAGUAAAAAAAACAAAUAUUAAAAAGUGAAAAAUUUGAAAUUUAGAGGUAAAAUGGAAACAAAAACUUAAAACUAUAAAGUCAAAAUGUAACAUUAUUAUCUAACUUAUAUUUGUGAGACAUUGCUGUGAAAUUCAAACUUUAAUUAAAACCAACACUUUUGUUGAACUUUGUAUUUUGAAAUGAUGAUAUUAAAUUAUUGACGAUUCUGAGUGGGUAAAGCCCUAAUUUUGCAUUGAAAUAAUUAGGGCUCAGUUUUGGGAUAUGUUCAUCUAUUAUAUUAUAUAAUGAGUUAAAAUUAGUGGGUAAAUGUAGUGAAAAUGGUAAUGUAAAAUCCAAAAUCUUGUAUUCGAUUUAACGUGAAACUUCCAUCCAUUUUCUCUAAAUUUUUAAUUUCAUCACAGUUUCAUCUUAAACUUAGACAAGUGAUAACAAUUUUUUUUAACCUUUUAGCUUUAAAAUAUUUGUAAUCUUUACUGUUUCGUAAGUUUUUGUUUAAAGAAAAACUUUCUUUUUUCAGGUUUGAGAUGAAGUUAUUUGUUUUAAAAAAAUAUCUUCAUUUUGUUAAUGUAAAAGAAUCAACAAACUUGAGAACACCCAACUUGAGUAACUACAAUUCCAACAAGCCUCCAAUCUUCUAAACUAGAAGUGAUUAGAAGUCCAUAUUGUAUAACUCAACAAAACAAUUCAGUACAUUUUGAACCAUUCAAAUUAGAUAUGAAAACGAAGAAGUUACGAUCAAAAGAUGGUUUGAAAGAAAAAAUUUAUGUAACAAUGAUAGUGAUAUACAUUUUAGCAUUUAAAAAAAGCUAACAUUCAAUGGAUUAAUUUCUUUAUGUCUAAUUUAACAAUACGUAGAGAGAGUCAUGUAACCCAAUUGACAUAAAGAUGGAUAAAAAUGUUAAAAGUUUAAUCUCUACCCCACAUAUCAUAUGUGACGUCUUGGUUGAUAAAAUAGCCAAAGUAUAGGGGACUUAAUUUUUUUCUAAACCAUAAAUAGGUUAGUAGAGACUUAUUUUUAAACUUUGUAAUAAUUCAUAGAAGUUUUUGAUGAGUUAUAUUAAAAAAUAAGAGCAAAGUUAAAAUGAGUGUAUUUCAUCGAUAAUUUAUAUUUAUUUUUUCUUUUAAAGUUGAGAUUCGUUUGACACAUACUCCUCCUAAGGUUAAAAGUUCAAAUUCUCUUAUACUUACCUAAAGAAAUGAAGUAAUAGAGACAACUAAAUUGAAGUCGAGUUGGCAGCCUACUCAAAUGGUUAAACUCAUACAUAAAAUAUUGCAUGUGCGUUUAAUAGACUAUAAAUUUUGUAAUUUAAAUGCUACAAAUUCUGAAAAUAACAUCUUAAAAAUAUUUGUUACCUUUAGAUUUUGAAGUACAUAGCUAUACUGAAAGAAGAAUAUAUAAAAAGAUUAACAAAUAUAAUAUUUCAUCUUGAAACAAAAUUUUUAACACAUACUCGAUAAAUAUUAAAAAUUAUAAUUAGUUUCUUCAUUUCUAAAUAUAUUAUCAAAUGCAUUUUGAACGUUUAAUUUUAAUUUUCUAAUCUACAACACAAAUGUAUUAAAUCCUCUAUUUUCAAAUUUCUAAAUCAAAGUGGCCCUGUUAACCUCACUUUAUCAUAUGGUUGAUGUGUCAAAAAGUGUUAUCUGUUUUAGUUUGUUGUUAUGUAAUUUAUGGGCAAGCUUUAACAUUUAAUCCAAUAAAAGUUUAACAAAGUGUCAAUCCAAGAAAAAAAAAGAGAGAGAAGACAUAUUUCAAAUAUUUGAUUUGCCACAUUUCCUAUAUCAUUCGUCAUUGCUUUUUAGAUUAUAAAAAGAAAAAGAUAAUUAUAAUAGAUAGCAAUUUAAGAAAUAAUAAUGGAGUAUAUUGCAAUAAGUUUAAUUAUUAUAUUUGCAACUUUUUUUAAAAAAAAUUACAAAUGAGAUGUCCUCAUCUCUAAAGGGUAAUGUCACGGAACCAAUUCAUAUAAAGAUAAAGAAUAAAAUUAUACCAAACACCCGAAACCAAAAGCAACGCUGAACCAGUAGUUCCCAUUAAAAGAUUGAAAAAUGCACCUGUUUUAAUAAUGGUGUCAUAACUUGCUACGGACUAUAUCAGAUGGAAGCAGCCUUUCCCCCUCGUUAUGAAGAGUUGGCUUUCGGAGUACUUCACGCUGUUCGGCGAUGAACUUUGCAAAUCGAGAACCUUUCCCUUUUGAUUCAUGGUCUUCGCCUAGCAAUUGAGGGAGACCUGGUGGAGGAGAGGGCUUGGGAGAUCGCUGUGACAUCAAUGCCCAUAUAGAAGAAAGCUGCUCAUUUGGUUCAUCCAGAACUUUUACAACUGAGAGAUCCUCCAUGUCUGUAAGUGAAAAAACGAACCGCUAUAAAUUAGAAAUAGGACUCAUGCUGUGGUAAUUUAUGGUCAUAGAACGUAAAUGACAAAAGUUGGUCAAGCCACACAAUACGAUUAAAUUCAGCUGGGAAACCUUUGGAGAACCUAUGGAUGGGUUCCAAAGCUGCACAUGGUAUGCUGAAGUUCAAGUGUGGAAUAAUAACUCCUCGCCCAUGCCUUGCAUUGCUGUAUCAACAUUUCAAACAAAUUAUUAAUUUCCAGUAGAAAUCCUCUCCUCUUAUUGGUAUAUGGAUAAAGAGAUACCAAUCAAACAAUUGAAAGCAUCGGCCAAAUAAAACUGAACAAUAUACCUAAGAAUAGCUGCCCACAAACAAAACUAAAUUGGUCCUACACGCCUUGAGUAAUGAUGAGAGGCUAAGCAAAUUUGCACGUACAAGAACCAGAAGAAUCAUUAAAGGUUUCCCAGGUUUUAUGGCGGCUAAAAUUAAAAGGUCAGUAUUCAUUUAAAAGCAGUUAUUCACUUCCAUCCAUCAAGGAUAUUAUAUGUGGAGCAUGAUGCAAGAUAAAAAUCACAAAUAAAUACCUCGAUGAAAUAAGCAGAUAGCUAAAAAGAGAGACUAGAAAGGAAAAUAAAAUUAUAGCUCUAAUCUCCUAAAACUAGGAGGGCAAUUGAAAAAUGAAAAAUGAAGAAAGCUGAAGUCGAAACAGAGUCAGCUUCCAAACGGUUUCAUCCAGUUUAAUGAAUAGGUUUUCAUACAUUUUGCCAUUUCAAUUCUCAAGUCAAUAGCAAUUUAAAUGGAAAAAUGAUUCCUUGUUUCUAUUUCAAACACAAUGAAUAGUUCGUUUUUUUACCCUAAUAGACUGAAUACUUCAACAUAUCUGGAAAACUCUAUGACCCUAUAAGUUCACCAGUUCCAUUUUCAAUAGUAAGAGCAGCAUUUUAUAAGCUAACCUAAUAUGGACGGUUUGAUCUUUGUUUAUUGCACCGUACCUUGUAACAAGUCCAAUCAUAUGGCCUUCUGAAUUGACAACAGCACCCCCACUACCACCAGGGUGCACUGCAGCGGUUGUUUCAAGCAUCGCAGGAAAAUAUUCUAACGAAUCUCCUUUGUGAUAAGAUGAGGGAAUCUUUGCUUUCACCACAUUAGACACCACACCAGAGCAAACAGAAGGGGACAAGCCUAACAAAAUUCAAACUAGUGUCAGAUAAUGUAAAAUAUAAAUAUUUAUCAUAUGUUUCUCGAGACAUUAGUAAAUUAAUUUCUGUGUAAAAAGAAAAAGGAAAAUAUCAACUUGCAUAAUUUGUUUUAAAAAUAUCAUGUGAAACAUAUACUUCUAUCCAUAAACUCCAAAAGUUUUAGAAUGGCGCAUUAUUAAGAUUACCUAUGAAAAUCUUCAUUGUAUCAAUUCUUACACACAUGGACAAUAUUUGUUUUGUUACAUUUAGGAGUUUAGUUAAUAAUUUUAUGUUUGUCCAAAUGAAAUGUAAUGGAGGCUAUAAAUUGAUACACUUUACUUAAUAUUUAAAUAAGAGAAGUUCAGGAUUUUAAAUUAAUACAAUUAUUAGUUUUGAUUAAAUUGAUACAAGUUCUUGUUUAUGGGUAUAAAUUGAUAUUUUCCCAAUAGAAAAAACAGGAACGCUAGAAAAUUAGUUAUCCCAUCCAGAUGAAAAUGUAGACAGCCAUUAUUCAGUGGAACACCACUUCAUCUGUAUAAUUAGAAAUAACACGUUCUUUUUCUUUCAAGGAAUCCUUUUAGGCAAUCAAGUAACCCAUCAAAGAAUAAUGAUGAUGACUGCAGAAUGACUAUUAAAACUAUUUAAAUGGUCUAAACUGGAUAAGAAGAAAAGGCUCCUUCAUCCGGUUCAUCCCUAAUCCCGGAACAAAACUUUUUCCAACACCAACAUGAACCAUGGCAAACUAAAAGAUCACACAACAAUAAUAAUAGACCAAUAAAUUAGAUGAAAGAGAUACCAGAUUUCGGUCCCAACAGUCCAUGCCCAAUAACAUGUAUCUUUGACCCUGAGGUUGGGCAAGAACAAUCCAUUGUAAUAGGGGAGAGCUGCUCUGGUAUUUGCUCGAGCUGCAAGAGGGCAACAUCCCAAGAUCCCUUGCAGAUGUAUAACAAUUUAGCAUCACACCAUAUCCAAGGCUCUGCAUGACUCAAGCGAACAUGCAAGUUUCUACGGCCAUAGUUAGGAAAACUUAACUUAUUAUCCUCAAGUUGGUUGUGGAGAAGAAUAUUUCCAUUUUUAGAGGCAUUUGGUUCUAUAUUUCCAAUCUCUUGGCCGCCAAAAACACUGUUAUUCAUUGAACACGGAGAAUGCUCAGUGUGGGACUGCAGCAGCUUGGCAUUUUCGAUUGAUUUUUCUCCACCAACAUUUGUUUUCCCAAAUCUCCAUGGCUCUAUCAAGUGGGCAUUCGUGAGUAUUAGGCCUUGGCUGUUGAGCAAAACGCCAGAUGCCCAUAUUCCUUCGCCCAUUGUAACAAGACAAACAGAAGCCACUGCCUUCUCAAUUUUAAAUGGGAAAGGACGAGAACAGCCAGAACUUUCUUGAAUACUGCUGAAGCCUCCCUCAAGUUUUUGUUCCUUAUUCACUGCCAUAUUCCCCACAGCACCAAUACACCUGUUGUCGUUGUCAAUCCUUUCUCCAACAUUACAAGUACCUAGCAGUAGACCACUGCAAGCAGUUGCGAUGGCUCCCCAUGGAAUCAACAGCUGUUACCAAGCCUAGAGUCUCACACAAUGCAAUAACUCCGAGUGCAAUUAAAUUAAUAGCAUGUAAAGAGGCAAACAGAUUCAUUAUACCUGAAUCUCAGCACCAGUCAUAUAAUGCACAAGUGGCCUAAUCAGAACACCAAUGAGACGUGCUUUUUCAUCAAAAACUGGACAGCCCUCCAUUCCUACCAGAGAAAGUAUCAUAGUUGUAAGAAAGAAACCACCAGAAGAAAACAGAAUACAAUAGAACAGAAAGAUAAACAUACCAGGAAGACACCGCAUGUCAGCCAUCAGUAAUGACUUGCUCAAUGAGCUAGGAGGGUAGCAAUUGGAAAUUGAUCCGACCGAUAAGCUAAUUUGGUCAAAAAAUCAAAGACUACUAGUCACACAACAGACAGCAGAUGCAAUAACAGACUCAACCUGAAUUAUUUGACAGUAUAUUUACCCCUUGAAAGCAAUUAGGAUUGGCAAACAAAAAAUAGACAAGUAAAUUCAGAAACAUGUCACCAUUGUUAAAUAUGAAAGAAGAGAAAAUCUUCUACAGCCAUCUGCAGAAUUUGUAAUCAAUCAACUACUAACAUCUUCAGUGACAUUCCAGUAUUCCAUUUAAUCAUGCUGAAACCGAUACUAACUGAACUAGAAAAACAAGAGAGGAACGGGAGCAUCUAGGAUUUAACAAAAUUUAAGUGUGAAUAGAGUCCUAAAAGUUUGCUAGUCUGGAACUGUUUGAGAACUCAAGGGUAAAAUUGUAUGAACUAUGUAACAGAUAUACCUGUUAAGAAAAUGCACUGGUGAUAGAACACCAAAAGGAGAACCAACAGCAAGAAGAAAGGAUCCUCUCUGCCUUGAGGGAGAUAUACUUAUGUUUGGCAUGUCCUAGAAAGAACUCAAAUAUUAGUAACUAGCAGUAGACAUUACAAGUAAAAAAGACAAAGCUAACGCUAUAAACAUUCAUGAAAUGCCUAACCUAUCCUGCAAUCUAUAGAAUUGAAAUUUUCUAAUGAAUGACAGGUAAGGAGAGGUAGGAAUUCACCUUUGAGAGUGAGGGAACACCAAGAAUGGCGAUUCUUAUUGUUAAGUCAUUGUUCUUGCUAGAUCCCUCCAAAUCCAAAAAUUUCUGGCUACCAACAGAAGUUCUCUUUUCAUUUUCAAUCUGAAAAUGAACCAGAAACUACACUAAGGAGACUUAAAAUUGGGGGGGGGGGGGGGGGGGGGGGGGGGGAAGGCAUAAGUAUGGAAGCAAAACAAAAUAAGUGCAAUUAUAUUAAAUUUAUUGAUGGCUCUCUUUCUUUUUCUAUUGUUUCCCAAAUAGAGUUAAAACAACUUGGGACACUCUGCGAAGCAUAAUGGAACUCUCAGUUUUGAUCUAGGUGGGUGCCUCAUUUGAGCAUUAUAUUUGGCUUCAUCCUAACCCUGCUUUUGUUGCACUUUCCACCAAAUUAAUAAAAGGUUUUUUUUUUUUUUUUUUUGGUUAAAUGGGUAUCGAUUCAGUUAGUUGUUACAAGCAAAUUCAAUUUGACAAUGUGCAAAUGCUGUAGCUUCUUCUAGGUGGCGAUACAGAAUUCUACCUACAUUGCAAGUGAACCUUUUAUAGUUUUAUAUAACGAUUACCUGAGUUGUCUUGUGAUAUAUACUAUAUAGAUUACAAGAGAAAGGGAAAUAUGUAUGACAAUUAAACUAUUUUAUCAACCAAAGGACCACUCACCAUGCUAAACUCUUACAAAUGUGGUAUGAUAGCUCUUCCUAGAGAAAAUUUGUUUAAUAGAAUAUUAACUCGAACAACCUUCAAAUUUCAUUUAUCAAGCGUUAGGUUCAUUUCUUCAAAGAGUAUUGUUUUAGUUCAUAAAUAAAAGACAGCAGAUAUUAAAACCUGUCCCCGAAGAGAAUCCCUAAAAGAUGGAGAACCAUUUGUAUAUGAGGCCAAGGACCAGCCGACCUCCCAUCUCUGAUGUAAUGAAUCUAUGGAAGCAUCCAUGACUGAUUGAAGAGCAGUGGCAGAUGUAGGUAUAUCAUACUGCAAAAUACAGUUAGCUAAAUUGACAAAAAAAAACAAUUGCAUGCCAGCUAAAUAAAUUCAAACAAGCAAUAAAUUAUUAAAACAAAAUGUGCAAAUGUUUACUAUCAGAGGCAGAGCAGGUGAGUAAACAUGGUGUUAUUGGGAAGAACACAUACUCCUAAAUUUACUUAACGUUGUUUUAUACGGUAGUGGGAUCAGAAAACCUUAUAGCUUGAAAUAAAACUGACAUAAAAAAUAAAGGCUGAACCUUAUCCAUGAUUACAGAAAUUUACCCUGUGAGUUAAACUUCACCCCAUAAAAAUAGAAGUCUAAUUUGGAUUUCAUGAAACUGUUGGAAUCCCAACUAAAUAGUGAGAAAAAUGAAUGCCUACCAAAGCCAACAAGUGUGCAGCAUGCCAGUGAGGAGUUUUGCUAACAUCAGAAUCUCUCGAGAUACCCUGUGUCGCAAGGGAUUAUUCAUAUGUGAGUUUUGAAUGCUAAAUUAACCAUUCAAGAAAACUUAUGAAUUUAUCAAAUAUACAAUUACAAUUUACAAUCUUAUAAAUUAUACCUCAACCAUAAUGUCAAUCUGAACACCAGGAAUUAACUCAGGCUUUCCCUGCAGCUCGUAAAAAGGCUAAUCAAAUAAAUUGACCCAAUUAAUCACAUACAUAAGAAGUGGAAAAAAUAAUUUUAUAACUACAACAAAACCCAGAACAGUGACAAUUCCCCCCUUCUGCAGCAUUGUAAGUGAAGUUAACCUUAUGAAUCUUAUCUCUGUGUUGAAGUGGCAUAAAAGGCUCAAAAAUGGAGGAAACAGUAAGAACCAAUGUUGCAAAUUGAUCCUUAUAAUUACCAAGAUGCUUAGCGGCCCUGGUGUCAUAAAGGGUUUCAGGUAAUAUCAUUCCAGAUGCUGAAAGAGUUGUCCUCCCAGAACUUCACAUGCCAAAAAAGUAAAGGGAAUCCAUUAAUUAUUUUCCAAGUUAAAGACAUACAACCCCUAAAAAACAAUCUAUCAGAUAAGAAAUUCUCACUGAUACUGAUGGAAUGCAUGUUUUUGCAUCUUCAGGCCCUUCGGGUCCUAAAUCAUAAGGCUCGCUGAUUUUUCACCAUCUCAACGGAAAUUGAAGCAUGGGAACAUGGAAAAGGGGCAAGAAAGAUAGUGACUCACAGGGCCUUGGACUCUGACCAUGAUGGCAAAAUUUCUAGCAUGAUCCACAAUUUCACGUUUCGCCAUGACAGGAAGAUUGGCUGAUUUAGAGAAAGAGUACAAGUUCAAAAUAAAAAUAAGCUCAAUUGAAAAAACAAUUAUGCACUUUUUCCACCAUUCCUAUGAAAAUAAACUUAAAAUUCAAAGGCGAGAUAAUGAAAUGAUUCUGCUAUUGCCUUCAGGUAGAAGCUUACAAUUUGUGAAACCACACUAGCCCAGCCAGGCAUCCACAUUCUAAUACUUAUACCGAGUAAAUAAAAAGAUUCUCAACACAUUCCUUGAUGAAUUCACUGAUCUGAAUUGUCUGGUCUUAAUUUUGCAUUAAGAAAUGUGUUUUCUACAACUAGGAGUUUGCUCGUUUCUCCUACAACCUAAACUAAACCCCUCAAGCCACUAGCAUAUCAUGAGAGGAUUUCCUAUCCAUAACACAUAGGAUUGUCAAUUUAGAAGAAAAUGCAAAAAAGAUCCUUUACGCAUAGGAUUAUACUCUUUAUUUUUGUCAAAAAAAUCAACGUUCACAUAAUAAAAAAAACUAAAUUAAAGUCCUUGAUUGUUUAAAAUCUAAAUAAAAUUAUUAGUAUCAAUGUCUGUCAUUUAAAUCUGAAUAGAAUUACUAUUGCCGCUAUUUCAUAAAACCCCAACUUCCGUUAAAUAUCAAUUACAGAUACCUUAUUACUCUCCGUUCUUAUCGUAAAUACAGUGACAUUAAUUAAUAAUUAAAUUCAAAUGAGAAUAAAAACAUAAAACUACAUUAUUUACUAUACAGCUAAGAAUGGAUAAAAACAAAAAAUCAAAAGUUUUUUUCCCAAGCCAUUGUAUUAUAGACUAAAGGUUUCUUCCAAUCGUCUUCGUUCCGUAUUUAUCCUCGUUAGGUCAUGGUAUUACAUUCUGUGAAUUAUCCACAAAAACCAAAGUCAUCAAGCACUUACCUUACUAAACUUUCUACUUGUGUCCCUUCCGUCUUAAUUUGAACUUUAAUAUUUUUCACUAAAUACAGAUAAUAGAACGGAAUUUGAAGAUAGUUAAGUUAAUUACAUUGAUUGUAUGUGAAUAUCCAAUCCACAACCAAAGCACUUGAUUACUUGAUUUCUCAAGCAGGAAUCAAAUUGGGAAAAGUCGAAAAUCAUAAUCAAUCAAAAUAACUUCAAUGAUUAAUCUUGAUUGUACGUUGAAACACAUUGAAGAACUUAAUGACACACCAUAAAUUUACAGAUAUUUAUUAAACCCAAGAAAAACACGACCAACCGAAAGUAUCUUCUAUGUUCCUCUCAGAAAUAUAGUAAAUACUUUACUAGCAGAUACAUGAUUAUCCGCCAAACGUCCUUAUCUAUAAUAAUCGCCCGCAAUCAUCCAAGAAAUUCAAAUCAACUUCACAUGCGGUGAACGGAAGGAUAGAAGAUAACAGAAAGCGAAGACGAAGAAGAUAAAUAAUGAAAUAGAAAAUUAAAAAAAAAAAAAAAAAAAAAAAAAAAUUGAAGGUAAGUUCAUAGUAAAUCCAAAGAUAGUUAAAAGACGAUUGAAGAAAAAUUGUGGGGAAUGAGUUACCUGUGAAGUAGUGUGAGAAAGGAAGAUGAAGAGGCCGGUGUGGAGGAUAGCAGCUUCGGUUGAGGCAAUCAGCAGUAGACCUUCUUCUACAGGAGACGCGCGGGUAAGAUGCUGCACAAAAUCAGAAAUGUUAUCUUACGGCACGCCUAUUUAUAGUGUUACUAAUUUAAUAUUAUAUAUAAACUAUUUACCCUAAGGUUAUAAUUAAAUUUUGGAUGAUUGUCAAAAAUAGAAAAAGAAAGAAGAAAAUACUACAAGUUUAGUAUUCCACUUAAAAUUAAAAAUAGAAUAAUCUAAGCUUUGGUAAGUGCAUUUUAGAAUUUAAAUUUUGUAAUAUAUGAUUGAUUCUACUCAUUUUUUUUGAGGUUUAGAAUUUUGAAUUUUUAAAAUUUUGAUGGAUGUAAAUUUAUAUUUAGUAAAUUAAUUUUGUUGAUGAAAAAAGUUAAUUUAGUUUUGAUAAAACUCUCACCAUAUAGGUUUGAUAAAACAUUCAUAAGCUCAUAAAAUAGUAUUUUAAGGUUAAAUUCUAGCUCUAAUUUAUAUUAUUUUUUUAAUGGUAGGAGUUAGAUUAUAAUUUAAUUAAACUAAACUUGUAAUUUGGUUUAAACGUAUUAAUGUCUUAAAAAGAUUUGCUAAUAGUUAAUUAUGUGUUUAGUAGAAUUAACUUGUCAAAUCAUAGAGGACUAAUUAUAUAAAUAAAAAAUAAAGAAAAGUGUUAAUAGGUAUUCACAUUAAAAGGAACUAAAUGAAUUUCACCAUAGCCAAUCAAAUGUUGUCGCGUAUUCGUUUUUGUCCUUUUGAAGUGUAUAUAUCGUUGUUUACACAUUUUUUUUAAAUGGAAAACAAAGGGUGAGGUGAAGCAUUAUUCUGAUUUUAAUGCAACCAGUAAAUUGAAUCAAAUGGAGUUGGGUUUUUAAGUUAAAUGUUGGAUUUUCUAUCUUAUAAAUGUAAAAAAGAACAGAAAAAAUUAUACAACUGUUGUUAAUUAAUUUAUUGAUCUAUUAUCUUUUGAAGAAUUUUCUAAAAGUGUUGUUAAUGUUCAGUGCCAUGAUAUUCUAAAAUUGUCAACAAUAGCUGCGGGUACUAACCAAUAAUCUUGAGAAAGUCCUAGUGGGAAAAAGAAUCAAAACACUAUCCUGCAUAAAAAAUGAAAAAAUAAAGCAAUAUACAUCAAAAGAGAAAAAAAGAAAAAAGUAAUUCUAACUCUUCUGUUGUGACAAAAGUACUAAGCCCAUGUUGCCAACAAAGACAUGCCUCCAACUCCCAUCAAAACAGCAACAUAAGCCCAUAUAUGCAGCUUGAGAUUGGCUUGCAAUUUUGGCCCCUUGAAAUCAUGCGCCAAUAAAUUAACCAACGCCAUGUAAUUCAGCAACCCUGCCGAUAAAGCAUUCAAAAUCCCCACUACUAUUAGCGCCGUCGGACUAUUCUCACUGUACACGUUCGACAACACAAUCCCCAAUCCUAUUCCAAACGGCGUCGUAACCGAGAAGAAAAACACCAUUAUCGCCUUCAUCUUUAUCCUGUAUUGCGCCUGCAGAAUGCACCCUCCAAGCCCCAUCCCUUCAAACAGUUGAUGAAAGCACAGCGCAGCGAUGAGCGGUCUUAUGGUGCACGGAUUCUCCGAAGCCCCUAGUGAAAGCCCUAUCACUACCGAAUGCACUACAAUCCCAGCUUCUAGUAUUUGCGCGAUAACACGGUGUCGUAGCAAUUGCGACCCGAGUUUUUCUCCGGUUCCUUCUUCUUUCCCCAAAUUUUCACUCAUUUCCUUGCGGUCCUCAUUAUUGAUCUCCUCCUCCUCUUCUGAUAAUUGAUCCUGCAUCGACUGUUUAUUGAAGUGACUCAACGAAAACGAGUCCAACAUUAGAGUCAUGAUAGCGGAAAGCAUUGCUAUGAAUGUGGGGAAAGGGAAUUUCCGCCAUGGAUUCUCUGGCAAACAGGGGGAUGUUAAGAAAUCGUAGGAAUCAGGGAGAACGUGCAUAUAACCAGUUGCUAGAAUCACACCGGAGGCAAAUGCCUUGACGAUUGCAAAGGUUUGUCCGUCUGGAUGAAGAACUGGUAUGGCGCGGGAGAAGAGAGGAAGAGAAAUGCCGAUCAUGCUCGCGACUAAAAUGGUAGCAAUGGAGAUGAGCUUGAGUUUGAGGGACUCGGCUCUGUCAUGGCAGUCUUGUUGAAGCUGAGCUUCACAUUCGGAAUCGGGAGAUGGAAUUGAAUCUGAAAAUGAUAGGGAAAUGAAGGACAAGAGAAGGAGAAGGAAUAUGAGAUUACGAGCCAUGGCUGUGCUAAAACUAAUCCAAAAAUAUGUGAGUUCUUUACUGAUUUCUGUUGAGAUUUAACGGAUUCAAACUGCCAUUGAAAUGGCGGUAAUAGCCUCCAUUGGUCGAAAGAAAAAAAUGGAGUCAGAUUCUAAACUAGAGGUGAAAUGAAGGGUAUUUUGAUAAAUGGACAUGGAAUUGUAAAACUUGAGGUGGGCGUGUGGAAGUUGUGACGUGCACACAGGUAUGACUAGACUUUCGUCGAGGAGAUUUACUCUCUACAGCUGACGUGGCAUCGAUUAUUUACUUUUACCAUGCGUUACAAUGCCACGUAGAUUGUAUCUCCCUCUCUAUAAGGUAUUUUCAACUUAAUAAUUCAACCACUUUUAAUUCAUAUUUUCUCAAACGUGUUUAUAUCCUAUUUAAUUUAUAAAUGAAGUUUAUUUUCUUUCAUAGUUUAUAAAAUUUACCCAUUUGAUUAAUUUUCCAAAAAAAAAGCUAAUGAAUGCAUGAAUUUCGUUUCUCGUAGAAAAUCUCCACAAAGAGAUUAUACUGUCUAACUUCUUUUAAGUCCUAUAAUUUUUAGAAAAUAAGGGCACACUCAAUCAUAUAAUUUAAUAUUAAAUAAUAAUAUAGAACAAAAGUGAUAUAAUUAAAUUAUGCAACUAAUUAUACAAAACGAAAACGUUAAAAUAGUUUGGACUUAAGUAGUAGUGAAAUCACUUGGCCUUAACUCAACUCAGAUCCCUCUGCCAAAAGGUUAGCAGAGACCAUUGCAAACUUCAAUGUACAAGAAAUUAAUCAACCAAGGCAUCUUUCACAUUCAGCCACAAAUUAAAACAAUAUAAAUAUGACGUCCAAUGGCAUCUUAUCUAAACAUAAACUAUCAUUAUUAUAUGUUUCAUAUCAACAAAUUAAACUUUAUUUUUUAUUUUGUUGUCUUAAUCAAGACCUUACAGAACACUUAAACUGCAUACAUAAAAUCAUCAUUAACUAAACUCAUCCAAUAACUUGAAAUAACUUAAUUUUCUACUGGCAUUUAAGGAAUGAUAUAUUAUUAAAUUUAUAUUCUCUUGUAGAUUUAUCAACUUGAAGGAACGGACAUUUUUACAAAGCAUUUUAAAAUAAGAAAGGAGAAAAAUGAGUGGAUAAAACACAUUCAAUUCUAAGAUGGUUGAACUCAGGAAAUAAGAAAUGGGUAGGUGGGUAAAUAGGGAAGUGAUUGCAUUGGGAACAGCCAUGAAAAUGAUUGUAUGUAAAUGAAUUCUCUGUGCUGCUUAGAGGAUCUGAAAUCAAAGAUUAUUUCAUUGUAAUUACGAGAGGGAAAGAGUAUGUAGAUAAACGACCCAUUGACUUUUUCUUUCUAAAAUGUGGCCUUAUGGUCUCGUUCUAAAAAGAAAAGCAUAUUUGAAGCAUUAAGCUGCAAACAUUGUUAUUGUUAAAUUGGUAGAACAGAUUUACAAAUUACAAACAAAUAAGGAAAUAAUAAAAAGGAAGAGAUGAUUUGUAUACAAAAUGACUAAAAUACGGUAGAUUGAUUUAUUUGGUAGAGUAUGGAAAUUGGUAUAUUAUGUAAAUUGCAUUUUUGAUGAAAGAGCGUUCCAAAAUUCUUUGGUGUUGUGUGCUUUUUUUUCUUUUUAUUUGUUUAAUCAAAAUCUGAUGCCGUGGAAAUUUCGUAAAACCACGAAAACGAGGCUCCCUCCCUCUCGGCUCUGAUAUUUUGCUCCACCGCCCCCUUCCAUCGUGCUCUACGAACCUCAAUUUUUCUCAACUUACAACUUCUUUUCCUUCUUUCUUCAACUUAUUUUGCUUCAGACCGAAGCAAUGCCGGCUCGAAAGCGCGCUUACGACUCUCUCGAUGUUGAUCUUUUGCCGCCGCGACUCCAUAAUACCUUCAACAAUGAACGCUCUCAAGAUGAACAAUCUCAGGGUACGCUUCUACUUUCUCUUCACCAACCUUAAUUUUCACGAUGUACCCUAUUCUUUCAUCUUCCUGCAUUUCAUAUAUCUUAUUAUUUCUUCUUUUAAUUAUUUUCUUUGUGUUUGUACUGAGUUCGUGGUGUUCUUUCUCGUUCCUUCUUUUCCCAGAAUCCGAUCGAAGCUCUUCGUCCAGUCAAGGAGAUGAGGACGAGUAUGUUCCGUUUAUGAGCUCUGUUUUGCGUUUGCUUCUUUUUGUUCGUCUUCUUUUUCGUGUUGUUCCCUUUUACUCUAUUUACUCUUUUGAUUUAUUUCGUCUGGUUGGUUAUGGAGUUUCUUUGGUGGCUAACUGGCUGGGAUUGAUUUGGGAUCUGCAUGGUGUGCUUCGUGGUAUUGUUCAUUGAGGUCUUGCUGUGACCGUAUUCGAAGACCAGCUGUGUAGGCUUCACGUACUGAGGCACUCGUCGAUUUUUUUCCUGCACCGGAGUUUUCCUUACUUUCAAGUUUUGCGUUCCUUUUCCGAUUAUAGUUAGUAGAAUUGGGAGCUGGAUCUUGUGGGAGAAGUGGGUUCUCGAGGUUGUAUGUGCGAUCAAUCUGUUUUUACAUAUGCUAUGAGUUGCUGGGUGGGUAAUGACGAUGGAGCUCACAUGGUUUUAGCUUCUUUAUGAUGUUAAAGCUCACAUGAUUCGAGAUCAAUUAUUGACUCAACGUGGAAUCAAGCUUACUAUAACUGAAGCGUUCACGGGAAAAUUUUGGUGGUUCCCGCCAUUGAUUAUCGGAUCCAAUUUUACGCAAUUUCCAAUAGGUUAACGACUGGAAAUCCCGGCAUUUCAUUAGGAACGACUUUACCCAAAUUCUUGACAGCUUGAGCGGUGCCCUUUCGCUCACGCGAUGAACGAACUAUUUGGGUUUGGGUCGUGUCAUAGAAUAUUUGUGUUUGAGACUAUGAACAGAAAGUUGUUUAUCGGUUCUAUAGUUGCAUGGUGAACAGUAGAAUUCCUUGAACAAUUAACACGAUCUUAGGUGUUUUGCGAUUGUUCCGGCAUCCUAAAUUUCUGUCUGGUUUUCUUUUCCAGAUUUAUCGCCGUGAAACUGUCAGACAUUCGGAAAGAAGUUCAGUGUCCAAUCUGCUUAGGUAUGUUUGACUAAUUCCUUCUUGCUGAACAUAUUUAUCUCACGUAAGAAAAGAUUUCUAUUGAUUUGAACAUUUGGUUUGAAUACUUAUACAAUUUGCGGUCUCCAAGUGCAUAAACAUGCUUACUACUUGAAAACGAUCUAGCUGUUUAAUAUAGGUUUCAAUGUGUUAUCCAGGUCUUUACUGACUUUUACAAGAUUGUUGUUACAUACUGAAAAUCAAUCAUCAUAUAUAAUUAACUUACUUUUGUUAGUUUGUAAACUGACCUACCAAUAAGGCUAUUUCAAAUAAUUUAAUUCCGGGAUGAAAUGCUGUGGAGUAGAGGAUUAAUUUUUCCACCUCCGAGUGAGUGAAUUAUUUCACAUAUGAGGCUAUGGGAUUUGGUUUUCAUUUCUUUUGGUGUUCAACGUUCCUAUUGGAACCUUACCAUUUCAGGCUACAUAUAAGUUCAUUUGGAGCCACUGGUUUGUAAUGUUGUUACAUGUUUGCACACAACAAUUUGUAAAUUAAUGCCCGUAUUGUCAAGAUUCUUGUUCCUUGCUUUCAGUUUAUGCACUGACAGCUAACACGAAAAUAUCUUCCUUAUCAUAAGACAAUAACUAAAUUCCAAAUCAAAACAUUCCUAAAAUUUGACAUUUUUCAGUGGUUGUAUUAAGUACUAUGAGCCAUGACAUUCUAAGUCUUGGCAUGUUUGGAAAAUAUAUUUAGGUGAAUUUGGUGAGGUUACCUCAGAGUCAUUUUGGAUGUUUAUGCAUGAGUAGUUUUCUUAAGGUGGUCGUUAAGUGUUUUUCAAUUCAUAAUGUGCAGGAAUCAUAAAAAAAACCAGAACAGUUAUGGAAUGUCUGCACCGCUUCUGCAGGGAAUGUAUAGACAAAUCGAUGCGUCUAGGGUAUGUCCUUAUGUAAUUUUUAUUUUGAUUUUUCUAAUUGAUGUACAGCUCAAGAAAAUAAAUAAGUAUCGUCGCAAAGUUUCCCUCUACCUUCCAGUAAACUUGUACUAAAAUUUGCUGCAGUAACAAGGAGUGCCCUGCUUGCCGCACUCAUUGUGCCAGUCGACGCUCUCUGAGAGAUGAUCCAAACUAUGAUACCUUGAUUGCUGUGUUGUAUCCAGAUAUUGAAAAAUAUGAGGAAGAGGUGGGAAUAUUAUGUUUUAGCUUGCAAGCGUGGUGUUUGAUAAAUGAUAAUUGAUAUCGCCAUUUCUGCAUGCUCCAAUUUUGUUAAUUUAUCUCUUUUAUGGAUAGGAACUGGCUUUCCAAGAAGAAGAGAAAGCUCGUAAUAAGCAGGUGAGAAGGCUAAGUUCUGCGAAUUUGUUUGUUUCCAGAGUUAAUAAGUUCACUUUACAUUGUUCAAUAUACAUUAAACCACAUAUUUUGUUGUGCUAAAACCGACCAAGAGAGGGAGAGAGGAAUUAUUUAAGUCAUUAUUCGAUAUGCAAUGAAAAGUUGUGGGGGCAAUUGGGACAUGAAAUAGAGCAUGUUUUUCUUCGUUGUUGUGCUUUUCUAUUCCAUUUAACUUGGAAACAUCUCGGGCUGAACAUCAAAAUGGUUAUUAUAGAUUGUACUUGUAUUGGGUAUAUAUGAUCACGCUUACUUUUAUCUUCAUGUUUUGUUUAAAAUGUUACUUUUUGAUUAUUCUACAGAUCCAAACUUCCAUAGCUCAGACACUUCAACGACAAACUGAAUCUUUGGGUAGGAAACGUUCUAAACCUUCGAGGAGAUUAAGUUCUAGAGGACCCAAAAGCUUCCAAAAUCAUAUUGAAAGUCUAUGCUUUGAUGAGAAUGAGGACGAAAAUGAUUAUGAUGUCAGCAAAAAUUCAUCUUCUGCUGAUGAGCGCAUGGACACUAGACCUAAAAGACCCAGGAGAUGUGGUCCUGUUAGAUUUUCACAGUCUUCUUCAGCUACCGGAGCAGACGGAGCAGAUGGUGGUGGUAUUGAACAUGAAUAUGAAGUUAACAAAGAAAAAGUUGGUGCAUCUUUAGGGCUUGUUGGUAGCUCGGAAAAACUUUCUUGGGGCAAAGGUGGAAUAAGAAGUCACACUAGAUAUGGGGGUACAAAUGGGGGGGCUGGUAAAAUUUCCAGGAAUAACCGCAUCGCGAAGCUGUCAGAUUAUGUUCGAAACUCAGAAAAUGUCAGUGAGGAGGAGGUAAAAACAACUAUUUGAUGUGUUACUAAACUUCCUUAUGAAUAAACUGUGGACAUGUUAACGUGUAGAAAGGGCUCGCCUACUUAAUCACAUGCAUUUUGCUAUGCCUCUUUUAGAUGCUGCUUAAGAGCUCAACAAUCUUUUAUUGUUUCUAUUCAUCAAUGACUUUUGCCUACUCUUCCUGAUUUUAGUUGGACAUCCACGUUUUGCUCGUUUCCAUGGAUAGAACUAUACCUGCAUUGCAAAGACCAUAUAUUUGCUGCAGGCCUUCAGUGAUGAUUGGACACCUAAGUCAAGUAAUCAGUUAUUUAAUGGAGCUGCACUUUAUCUGUUUAAAGUCUUUAUUCAUUUAUUUAGUUAAUUCUUGAGCUUCCUUUCUUCCACAGUACGUUGCUCUUGAAACCUCACUUUCAGUGGACGUUGUUGAAAUAUGCGUGGCAAAAGAGCUUCAGGUGAAACUCGAUCCUUCCACCUCUGAAGCGACAAAGAACCCAUGUAAAGAAAGUGUACAGAUACUAAACGAGCAAGAGACACUAUCGACAGCAAAACUCAAAGCACACAGGCUAGCUUGUGGCUAUCUGGUAAAAGUUGCACACUACAUUUAUAACCAUUUGUACAAGCCUUUUGUACCACAUUUUAAGCUUGUUCCCUUGAUUCCAGCUUUUGGCAUAUAAGAAAAAGGGCUAGAGUUCUGCUGAUGAAGAGGAAUUUGUUUGGCUAAGAAGAAAAAGCACUUGUGCUUACUAGCAAUUCAUCCUUGAAGAUUUUGGCAAAUCUCCAUACGUAUAUAUCAACUCAAGAUACCAAGGGCUAUAAGAAGUUCCUGCUACAGGUCUUUUUCCCCCAUCUGAAUGUGUUGUUUAACAACUCCCUCGUUAGUUUCUUGCUACUGCUUUCUCCAUUUCUCCAUGUAUAUGUGCCAUUUUCAUCAACCUUGCAGUAUUUAACUGACUUUAAACAGAUAAAAGUUCUGAUAAGUGAAUAUAUAUACCAUGGAGUAUGGAUUACAAUCCAUUUUCAUGAUAGUUUAUUAUUGAAUGGUGGAGUUCUUAUGAUCUUCUUUUAACAAUUUAUGUACAAAUGCUCAUGUUGCUCUAAGACAAAUGAAUUCUAAACUUAAAUGAGUUAUAACUUCGCCUAGAGACGGUGCAAAAUUUUAGUCAAACUUAGUUAUGUGGUUGAUUCCCUCUCAGAAAACCAAUUGGAAUUGAUCUCUCAACUGCUAAUUAAAAUUGGCCCAAUAAUUAAGAUUGAUGUUAUGGAAUUAAAGUAAAAUCGAUGAUGUAAGAUUGAAUAAAAUAAACGUUGUAAUAAUUCUAACCUUCAACCUAGCUCAUUGAUUACGACUCUAUCCUUAUCCAUAAACCGCUUGUAUUGUUGUUUGUUAUUAUUCCUUUUGGAUUUUCCCAAACUUUUAAUACAUUUGUGGGGCCAAGGUGGAAAUAAGUAGGCCCCCACCGUAGAGGUUUUUAAAGCUUGGUGGGUCCAUUCCAUUACUAACAUUUCAAUACAAUUACACGCCAUCUAUGUAAUCAAGAUUGGAUAUUAUCACAAUUUAAUGCGCUAUCAGCAUCAUAAAAUAUCAACUUAUUCAAUGACAGAAAAAACACCAUCUUUAUUUAAACGGCAAUCAUGAGCCAAUUUUAUCACCGCCCUGCACGGCGGACUAUAUGAAGUAGUCGUCCCAUCAUUGGCUGUGUCAGCACACUUAACCCCUACUUAACUAUAGACUCACACAAAUUUAACACUACAAUUAUAAAAACUUGCUUGGGACAACUCGGAUGCGAAGAAACCUAGUUAGAAGAUGUAUCUCACAUACACAUCCAGAACCCACCGGCUCACGUCACCACACACGACACUAUUUACAUUCAACCGCCGUCGUAGCCACCGCUUAACGGUGCUGGCUCUUGGUGUCACCGCUGUAGAGCCUGAAACCGCAAAACAAAGAGUUUCAUGUCAGUUUGAUAUACGACAAAAAUAGAGGACUCAUCCAAGCCCUCAGAUGUCAGAACCAUGACCAAGUCAACAGAUCUGACGGCUUUGGAUUUCACUCGGGGGAAUCAGAACUUCGAAUCGUUUUUUUUAUCAUCCACCAACUGUUGGGAAUAUUAAGGACAAGAUACCCCAGAAUCUAAUUUUACUUCACCAUCACCAUAAUUAUAUUCCACUCGGCGGCGCGUGGAUUACAGUCGCCCCAGUGAAAAGUUGAUGUACGUACCAGUCAUAAACAGUUGGAGAAUUGGGUUGAGGUUUGUCGAAGACUUGAGCACCAAUAGUCUUGGUAGCAAAGUUUCUACCAGGGUUGAAGACGCUUCUCCAAACAUUAUCCUUACGCGCCGCUGUUAACGGCGUGACAGGUGUGACCGGAGUGGUGGGUGUUGCCGGACUGGCUGGCAUAGACGUGGAUCUUUGGUAUUUGCUUCCAUCUCCUUCCAAAUCUAAAACCAACAAGGAAUUUGUAUCAAAAUGAUCAACAAAACUAACUAUCAGAAUGAAAAGAAGAUUAUGAAUGAAUUACCCUUAACGACCAAAGGCUUAGUACUGAGUUUUCUGAGCUUGCCGAGGCCACGGGUAGGCUGAGGUCCAGCCGCAACAUCAUCCCAAAGUGUCUCAAGCAGAACCAUUGCUUAUCAACUUUUUCACUUCCAAGUUCCAACCUUCGUUUAGAACCCCAAUUCUGUAGUGAUCUUGUGUAUGCUUUUAUAAAUAGACCUUAGCCCCAAUAUCUUUUUUUACCAAUAUUUAUGCACCUAUGUUUUUUUCAAUCCACUCUUAACUAAACAACAGGUAAGAAAGGGGGGGUCAAUUAACCAAGGUUAACUUAGCUUCUUGAGUUGGUUAAUUCUUUUUUUUUUUCCUUUUUAAUGUACUUAUUACUAUCGAGCCAUGAUCACAUAGUAUAUUGGCAUUGUGGGCUACAGUCUUUAAUUAUUUUAUUUUCAAACUUCGACGCGAAGUAUGUUUAAUAAAUCACUUAAUUACAGUGUAUUUUAUUUUAUUUUUUAAGUUAAUAUUUGAAAUAUCUAAAUUCUAAGUUUAAUAUUUGAACUUUUAGAAUUAUCCAUAAAUUUUUUAUAAAUUUUGUCAAUCGUAUCAGUUACUUAUAUUAAAGUGUUUGAUCUUAUCGUUUGCUUGCAUGACUAAAUCAUAGAUAAGGGAAGAGAGAUGCUUGAAUAAACAGUCAAGUUAUUUUGUCACACAAUAAACAUUCAAGUCAAAGUGAUAUAACAUAUAUUUUUUUCACAAAUUUCUUUUGGAAGAGUUAAUUAAUUAUAAUAUUUUUAAAAGAAAUUUUAGGAGAAAUUGGUAUGAAUAGAAAAAUAAACUAUCAUCACACAUACAAAAAAUGGAUUAUGUUAAUGUACUUUUAAAAGUUUCUGUUGAAACAUUUAAAAUUUGAAAUUUGUUACAGAAAAAAUAUGAGGAACUGGUGCAGUAAAAUUAAAAGGUGAAUGAUAGGAUGGAAAUAUAAAAAGAGAAAAUAUAAAAUAUAUAUGAAAUGGAUAAGGAUGAAGAGUGAGUAAACGUAAACAUGGUGACAAAAGGGAAAAUAUCUGUUGAGAGAUACAGAGCAGGUUAUGGGUUGCUUUACAUGUGGAUUACUGUCUCCUACUUUAAUAAUAGAGAGAGAGAUAUAUAUACACACAUAUUGUCCCAUUUCUGAGUGCAAAAGGUCAGAUGAUUCAACUCAAAUUGAGAGCUCACACGUGGAUAUCUUCACUUGGUUCUUCACUUAUUAACGGCUCAGAUUUUGUUUCCAACUUGUCAAAUGGAUGUAAAUGAAAUUUAAUAUCCCAUCUUCAGAAUAAGAUGCCACUCCAAGAAUCUGGACUUCGCUUUGGUGGAAUCUUAAUUUAAUCAUUUUUCCUUUUUUUUUUUUCAAGGUUUAGGGAAAAUAUAAUGCGGUUGAUGAAUUUCAUCAUCCAAAUCCAUUAAUCCAAUUAAGGGAGAUGGAUGUUUAUUUCUCCAUUACAAAACUCUGGAUGUAUUGCCAUAUCCACUCUCCAAUAAGCAAAUGCCACGUUAGGAAUAGAAAGGUUUUAUCUUCUUGCCUUGAAAAAAUAUAUUUUUAAAAAUGUUAGGUUAUAUUAUAUGUCACACUGAGGCUCACAAAGCACGCCAUGAUUUAUGGGAGUGAGUUUUUACUUGGUGUAGUCAGAUCAGACUUCAAAGUAGUUAAUAAAUGUGAAUAAUGGAAUCAAUCUACCAUUUAGGUUUUCCAUCGCAUCUCAACUAAGCAAUAAACAAAUAACACAAAGGAGUAUUAGACCUUUUUAAGUACUUUGUUCAUUUCGAACCGACACUAAGUUACAUACUAAUGACUGACAAACAGUUGCCUCGAAUUCUUUGAAGCACUUGUAUCAGUUAAGCUUGAAGCAGACAAGGUUGGGAGAUAAAGUUUAUACAGAAACCAAAUCACAGUGUAUAGAACUGUGAACUGGGAACAAACUAAUCCUUUGUGAUGUGCCCUGCCAAAGAGGUAUGUCGUAAAGCAAACAAAAAGAGAAACAUGCGACAAAAGUCAAACCCAAAAGGCAUGAGUUAACUCCUUGAUUCGAUGCUCUAAGCUCUCUUUACCUUAUCCUUACAGCAUUUUUGCCAGUAAGAGCAAUGUUGAUAGCUAAUAUAUAUGACAUGUCUAAUCUAAUAGUUAAAUUAUUUAAGUUCAGUCACCUAAAUCUAAUACCAUUCUUUUUCGAUGGAAGGGCUAGAGGGCCAACAAUACUGUGAAUAAUGGUACAUAAUGAUUUGCAUUGAUUAUAACAUAAAUUGGAGAAGUUAUAAGAAAUCUAGUUGGCAUCUUCGUUCAAGUUCCUUUUUUUGUUUUUUUGGUUUGCAAUUUGCAAUAUUUCCAGUCGUUUCUCCUUCCCAUGAAAGAUGUCAUGGGUAUAGACAAAAAUAUAGGACACCGACGGGAUUGUCACAAGACCUUAUAGCCAUCAUUUCCUUACAAUUUUAAGAGAGAGAGAGAGAGAGAGAGAGAGAGAUGAAUUAAACUCCAAUCAAGUAAGGAAAGAUUGUACCAACAAAGGAAGAAAGGUCUAGCAACUGAGGUCCGCUAUAUACCACCAUUCAAAAUAGCAAAAAUCUCAGCCUAAUGCAAAAACAAUCCUGAAAAGUGGGAUAUAGGAGAAUUCAAGGAGAUAGUUGAACAGCUAAUGGAACGUAUAAUGUUUAAGAUACUUGAAGACUACAAGCUUAAAAUCCCAAAAGAACAAAAAUUUUCUAAGACAUCCACUUCUAAUAGGUAAAGUGACAACCGAUAUAUAUUAUCCCUCGAUAAGCUUCACUAAUCCGGUCUACCUUCAUACCGUGUAUUAUUUCACUAACUUAGGUUGGGGACUAGAAUUCAUCUACCAAAUCAAUCGAUCAAUCAAUCUAACUUGGGUAAACAUUCCUUCAAUAAACUUUAGACUCUUCAGUGUUUACUGUGAUCAGCACUUCUGCAAAAACUGCCCCAUUUCCACAGUACUUUCCAAACCACACAGAUUGAAGAAAAAACAAAAACUUUCUACCAUCAUAUUCAUCUCCUAAACAUAUGCAAUUGCUAGAGUAGUAACACUAGCAAAAAAACAAAACUAGAGGAUACCAAUUGCAGGUAGAAGAUUGAGGCUAAGUUUCUAAUGUAAAGGCUGGCUGAGUGAAGCCUUGUUUGCCUGGUACAAUAUCUCUUUGCUCAGCUGCCUUUGUUGGUCAAAGCCAAAGUAUACAUUCUGGCAAUUAAAUGGUCAGAGAUAAAUUAUUGCUCCUCAAGAUUGGAAGACAAGAAAAAAGAAAGGAAUGAUAUCUAAGCUAGAUCUAAUGAGAGGCUUUGUUGGGAUUUCCUUAAGCAGUUCUGGAGUCUAAGAGCUUUCACUCUAGAUAGAAAUGUGGAUUAGAAGCAACGUCCCUUCAUCAAUGUGAUCCUUUCCACUUAUUUGGGUUUUUGGUAAAUUGCAUUUGUUGACUGCUCAAACAAGCUUCUCAAUCUGAUUUUGACGAAGGUUUCGUGGUUGAUAGGAAUGGCUUUUGAAUUCACCAAUGGCAUUUUUCCAUUACCUAACUUGAGCUAUAGAUGUCAACCGCAGCUUAUAUUAAUUGCAUUAAAGAAGAGAAUGGGCUAGGUUGGGCUGAGGUUUUGUCGGGUCAUCAGUCUUCUGAACAUUCCUAGAAAAGAUUAGAGUGGGGUUGAGAGUUUUAGGUACGUAUCAAGUGAUUUACUUCCUCCCAAUUGGAAUCCCAGGGUCUAAGUUGUUUCUCAAUUGUAUUCUCUCCAUAAUGCCUAUUCUUCUUGAUAAUAUCUCUAAAUCCACUUAGUAAGGAGAGCCUGGUGGUUCUUGUCACCCAAGCCUUGUAUGCUAUGGCUUCCAUGUGAAAGAGGCUUAACAAUUUUGUCUCAUCUAGUAAGAUGCAUCCCAGAAUAUGAAGUGCCCCCUUUCCACAAAAAAGUUUCUGUAAGAUUUUCCAAUGAGAAUAAUGACCUUGAGUGGGAUCUUAUAUAGGGAUAAGUAAUAGGUGGAGGAGGAUUGAUAAAGUUCCUUGUAGAAGGGUAAAACCACUGCCCUUGGAAAUGUGUGAAUGAUUCCAAGACUGUAAUCUUCUGUCAACUUUGUCAUCAAUAGAAAUCCAACAUGAUAACGAUCGCGCCCAAGGCAAGCCAAGAUAUAUGUCAUGCCAGUAGCCCACCUUGCAACCAGUCCAAUUCCCUCAAGUGUAGAGUUAAAUUCCCAAAAUCUAAGAUUUGGAACGAUUUAAAUUUAGACCAGAAGCCUCCUCAAAGUGUAAGCCAGAUAUCUGGAACCAUGCCUUUCUUUUAAAAGAAGGUGUGGAUGGUGAACUUGGAAGAUGGUAAUGGGCUUCCUCUGUGAAGAGUCAAGUUUGGCUGGUAAGCCUCAUCAUGUGAUGAAAUAGAAAUUUUAGUCUUUCUUUGUGGAAAAGUUGGUCUCAGUAUCGAAAACCUUAAAUGCAAGAACGUAUCACUUCUAUCUAAAAUUUGACAGAUACUGGAGGUUACGAAAAGUCUGAACCAUGAUAUUGGAAUUAAAUUCCUGGAGUCUUCUUAAGAUGGCUCCCAGCAGAUUGUACAUGGCAAUGAUGGUGAUGGAGAUGUUAUUACAUCUCCCCUCCCCCCUAGUGAUAGAGGGGCAUUUUUAUGGCAGGCAGGCUUGUUUGCAGCUAUAUGAAACCUUUAGCUUGAGAAGAAUAGGAGUCUUUAGUAAUAAGGACAGUCGUUGGGGAGACUUGGGCUUUAGCCACGUUCAAGGUGUCCCUUUGGUAAUCCAUGACUAAGGACUUGUGAUUAUCUUUUCUUUUAUUAGUUUGAACUUAAGCCCUUUUUGUGACUCUUUUCCUGCUCCUUUUGAAUCGGCUCCCCCUGACUCUGCAUUCUUUCCAUGAAAGUCGUUCUUUUUUCUUCAAAAUAUGUGUAUACAGGUCUAAAGCCUGUGUGUAUGUUUCACAAUAAAUCAAGAUUCUAUUAUAAAAAUUAAAGUUAACAAUAAGAUAGGCACAGUUGAGGGACUCGAAAUAAAUAAAUAACACAACAAUUAGUUUUCACAGGAAUGGAAUUCGGGUGAUAUUAGGAUAUUAACAGUAUAUUAGUAACUAGUUAGAGAGGUCGUUACCAUAAUUGGUUAUACCUAAAAAGAGAGAGAAAAAAGAGAAGCAAGGUAAUACUUUUGGUGACUUAGGGCUUGGGGAGGGUCCCAGUUCCUCGCAUUUAAGUUUUUGUCAUUUACAUUCCAAUAUAGUUGAUUGUGUUUUGGUUCCUACCAAAUUUCUCUAGAAUAAAUGUAUCUCAAAAUUUCAACAAGUCCAUACAUCAAUAAGAACAACAUAUCAGAAAUUAGAUACGGCAACUAAUGAUAUAAGAAAACUUUGCUUACCUUCUAAAAACUGGCUCAGAAGCACUGCAGCUAAUAACAAAAACUCGUCUUUUAUCUUUCAACCGAAAACAAGAGAAUUCAUUAACCAGCAAAGACAGAUACAGACAUGGGAAUGUAUGGUAUUAGCUUUUCCAAAACAGAAGAAGCUCACAAAAUGUUGCACCAAUCAGAAUAAAAGACACCAGUACAAGCCCAAACUGCAAAUUUGAUCUAUAGUUGUUAAGCUCAGAUUGCACAAAUGCGUAAAUCUAAACUAUGACUACACCAUUCCCCACUGCUACAUGAAAAUAAUACCAGAAUGAUCAGUGAGACAGAAAGCAAGAAUAAAUCAAGUUGAAAGUGUUAUUUAACUAUAAAUUUAGCAUUUUUUUUAUUUCUAGGUUUAUGUCAUUACUAUCAUUCACAUGAAUAAAUGAAGGAUGAGCCUUAUUAUUUACAAUCAAGAGCAGAUAUACAGGUUAUAUGGCGAUAAAUAGUUCUUUUCUGAUAGAACUAGCAAGAAAAAUUAAACAGAACAAAAUGAGGGGAGAACAGAUGUUUAUGAAAGGUAAAUAUCACAAUGCAUUGAAUAACGACCAUCACAACUAGUUUCAAGUUGUUUCCAAUAAUCAAGAUUGUAAAACAACCUUCGACAAACUCUUCAAGGCUUCUAAAUUGUAGAAUCCUUAGAAAACUUACCCAAAGAAAAAAUGUGCUAUCCUGCCAUCUCAAGAUUUUCCAUAUUUACUAACAUAUCCCUGCAUAUAAAUGUUGAUCAUUGUCAGUAAGACAAAGAUUCUAUGAAGAUCCCAAGAUCAACAUCAUCAGAGUAUACUCAUCUUUCUAACAAAGAUACCUACCUCGACUAGCUUCUCGAUCUUUGGACGAGAUGAAGAAAGAUACUGCUUAACUGAUUCCACAGUAGUUGGAACUUGGUGAGAUUGUAGAGCACCAAGAACCUUAUCAAAUGUUUUCUUAACAACUGUGUUAUGCACAUCCUUUUUGAGAUGACCCUCACGCCACUUAGGUUUCAAUAUUUCUUUCACCAAUUCUAUGAGAGCAGAACGGAAGUGCCUAGUUGCUUUUGAUUCUUUGGGAGCAUUUCCCUCCAUGAGAUGCUUACCAUCCAUAUCACCAAGUUGCCUAUCACUAUCUGCUUCAGAGUCCUUUUCAUGUAAUGAAAUAUUUGGAAGCUUUAGUUCACCACCGAUACCCAUUUUCUUCUUUUUGGUAACAUCUUUUUCACAAGUGAGACCCUUGUGAUCAUCCUCUCUAGUCCUAGAAAAGCGGCCAUCAAGACCAAAAGAUCCACGUAUUUCUGGUUCUAACAAAAGUGGAUCUUUGCCUUGCAGAUGGCCAACCUUUCCAUUCUUAUCUGCAGCUUUAUUGUGGGAGGAUAAAGAACUUGUAUCAUCAUUAAAUUCUGGCUUUGAGCUCCCAGGAACCACAAAAUUACCCGAUGCCCUCUGUAAAGUACUAAGAGGUGAUGCUUCUUCGUGUCCUUGACGAUCAAGAGUAACAUUAUAAGAACAACCCACUAUUCUCGGUACCUCCAUGCUAUCCAAGAAAGGGUCGUAUUGGCUCGCCGUAGUUAUUGAAGGAAUGAAAAAUGAUGGUCUAAAAGGUACAGACGGUUCCCAAUCGUCCGACGAACAUUUCAUUUUGUAUUCUGAAGGAUUCUUUGACACGUGAGUGAAUGAAUUAUCUGAUCCAGAAGCAGAAAAGGGGGAACUUCUCAUCAACGAGGAGGCCGGUGUAGAAACAUGAUGUUCUCUGUCAAUAAUGGACAUCUUAUGAGCAUUGAGGAGGCUUGCACUUGAGGAAGACGUAAGAGGAAACAAAGAAGCAUUAGAGGUAGUGAAACGAGAAGAUAAAAUAGCAUCCCUUGGAAGAGUAGGAUUUGAAUUCAGAGAAGUUCUCAGAACUGGAGAAAGGUGAUCGUUCAGCAAACGUGGGCAUGCAACAUUAGUGGGUUCCUCCAUGACACCCAAUGGGGUGAAGCCAUCUGAAGAGACUCCAAACUCAGGAGGCAACUCAAGCCUUGAUGCAGAAAGCCCUCUACUAAGGGGAAAUGAUGCACCAAAACUAGUAGAAGGCAAUUUCUGGCAGUCGGGAAGUGCACUCAAAAGUGAAUCCUCCCUCUGAUGCAAUAAAAUUUUGUUUUUCUCAUGCAACCCAUCCCAUCCUUGGCUUUGGGAGAAGUCUGUAAGACCCCCAAUUAUCCAUACUUAUAGGAGGAAGGGUAGAAAAGUAACUGCACAGGGAAUUAUUAUGGAGAAAUGAUUGGAAGGACGUUCUGAGUGGUAGGGCCCACUGGGCUGAGGAAUAUGUGAGUCUAUAAAUAGGAUUAUUAGGUUGGAGUAGCUAGGGUAUUUUUAACUUUUAGGAGGUAGGGCUACAGCAGCCACCAGGGUCUCUUAAAACCAAGAGGCUGGUAUGAUCUUUUCUGCAUUUUUCCUUGUUGUUUCUUGUUAUUUCUUUUCAUCUUGUGAAUCUGGAUCAUUUGGCUUUAUAUAUAAAUAAAGUAAACCAGAGUACCGCCUCUGUUUAAGCCAUUUAUACAGUCCUUUCAGUCUAAAUUAUUGUUAGUAUCCUAACAAAGUCCCUCGGUAAAGUUCUUUCUGAAGAAAUUCCAAAUUUCAAAGAAAGUGAAGAGUCCUUUAGAAGAGAAGAAUUCGGUGGAUGACGAAUAACUGGUGAUUUCAACACAUCUGCAUUGUAUUGCAAACCUGUGCCAUUUGAAAGUACUAUUAGAAUUUGAUGAUAGAAAAGGAAUAUCGGAAUCUGCAUAAGCUACUUGAUCUCACCUUCAUUGAGCUGAGCUUGUUUUUUCAAACAUGCAGCACCAGCACGUUCCUCAGAAUGCUGGUCACUACCGUAUGCAUUAUUUUUUAUAUGCAAAAAGCUGCAAGAGCUACCUUUUAUGCACCAUCCUUUAGCAUAGAAGUCACAGAUAGCUGCAGCAGGAUGUUUUUCUUCACCAUUAACAUCAGCAACGGGGGUCAAACUUCUUGACCUCUUUUUUGAAGCAGUUGAUCUGGAAAUUCUAAUUGUUAGGAAGAGCUAAUCAAGAACUAUCCUUGACACUUGACAAGGUAAGAAAAUAACCACUAUGCAUUAGCUGCAAAAGAUGAUUGUAUGGUGGCCUUUUCUUUUUAUCAGAAAUGUUAAUAUGGAACUUUGACAAGUAACAAAGGAAGUUUUAGAACCACCCUCAUCAGUACCUUGAUGCCAUUUGAUUUUCUCCAUUAUCUAGUUGCAUGCCCAUUUGCUCACUUUCUCUCUCAGGAUUCUUGGUACCAAUAAUCCGUCCAGCCGAGUGAUUUUUUGAUCCAAUGUCAGAAUCCUCUAAGGUGUCACUUGAUCCAUUGGUAGCUGUAGCAACCAUAACUUCACUAUUGCACAAUGGAACCUUGUUAUAACUUGAGCCACCAAAAUCUUUAUUUCUCAAAGCCUCUACAUCCUUAUCACCAACAGUAGGUUCUUGAUCUUCUGUCCCCUUAUCCUUCAGGCACUUCUGUGAUUCGAAUUUUGUGCUCUCUCCAUGUGAUUGUUCCUCCUUUUUUUCCAAUGGCUUACCUGACGGACUGGAAAAUUCAAUAUUGCCACUAUUUUCAGUUUCUCCUACAAAGGACAAUUUAUUCACUUCAGAAUUUUCAGUGGCAGUAACGGUUUCCGAUCUCAAGUGCUUGUCAUGCCUCUUGGUGUCCAUAUCAUUGCAAGCAUCUACAAGGUACACAUUGAGGAAAAAAAGGUCACCUAUGUGAGAAAAGAAGAUUUUUAUAUGUAGUAUCGACGGGACAAAAGAACCAGCAUUCGGUAGAAAGAAGAUCGAGUGACUACACACUUGAGAAAACUAACCAAACAGAAUUCAAAACUAGCUAUAUAGAAAUGGUGUUCUUGAAAUUUCAACCGGAAGUCAUUGCUUCAUCUAUCUUCUAGUUGUAUUCAUAAUCAUUCUCAUAACAUGCCAUAUAGAACUCAAUGUGAGGCUUCCUUAUUUUGUUAAAUACACUAGCGGUGUAAAUGAUUCAUAUCGGCUCGGUUUGGGAGCCAAACCCAAAAGGAACCACUAGAAAUAUAAAGAAAAUAGGAAACUCGAGCCAGCCUACCAAACUGAUUAGCCAAUAGUUUUCUCAAUUUAGUCGGGUCAUUUUCAUUCACAUUUAAUUCCACAUGCAUUUUUUACGCCUAGAACCCAAUGAAAUAUUAGGCGCUUGGUUGUUAGGCUUGGGUUACACUAGUGAUGGGCAUGCUUAGCUCUCAUGUCCAUCCAUGAGUACAAGCAGAAAUAUCUCACGCUCAUUCAGGUUCAAACUCAUACCCACCCAGUGUUUUCAACAAGGUGCACUCUAAGACGACAAGCGAUGAGGCACAGAUACGGAUACGAGAUACAUAAACGAUAGGAUAGGAUAUUGUUAGAUAACUAGAUUAGUAUAGGGUUAGGAGUAUAAGGAUAAUUAGAUAUUUAGGAAGUUACUAUUAGCUAUUAUGUAAGUGUGGUUACUAGUAGUUAUUAUGUAAGUGUUGUUACUAGGGUGGUUACAUCUUGUUAUAAAUGAAGGGAUCGGUAAGUGAGAGGGAGGGAUUCGAUGGAGUGAUCUAGGGUUUGGGUGACAGUACUCAAGAGGGAUUCCUACAGCCUUAUACUUAAGUUUAUCUUGUAUUUUCUUAUAGUUACAUUUUAAUAAAUUCAGAUUUUGUUCUUGUUGAAAAGUAUCUUAACAAAUUGGUAUCAGAGCCAGGUAGAACUUAUUCUGAUUUGGUGGAAGUACGGCAAUUUCUAAAAAAUUAAAACACGAAUAUGUUCAAGAUACCUCAAGAUACUAAAUAUAAUCCACUAAAAAACAUAAAUUGCCUAAAUACAUAUUACAUUUAUCCACGGAUUUAAUUCAACAAAAAAGAUGCUAGUGCCCAGCCCAUGGCUCAGUUAAUUUGUUGUAAUCCAAAUGCUAAGUUAAAUUUUUGGAAGAUUUGGAGAGGUAACAAAGGAGAAAGAGAGAGAAGGCAAACCAUCAGCAAUGGCAAGCCUGAGGUGCAAUAGAUGGUCAAAAGCAAGGUGUUGGUGUGGCAAAUUGUCAGUGCGGGUUGAAGUAUAGAAAUGGAAAUGAAAUGAAGUUGGAAGUUAAAGUUGGAAAAUCGAAAAAACAAAGAGAAGAAGAAGAAAAGAGAGAAAAACAGAGGUGUGCUUUUGAAGUUGAAGAGAUGAAAAAGAUAUUCUAAAAUUUGAUUCUUCUAUGCGUGUGUAUAUAUAUAUUCGUAAAUGUCAAGGCCAGCUUACGCGCACCUAAACUAAUCUCACAGGACAACCCGUCUGACCCUACAACAUUUUGGUAUUAAGGAAACUCGUAGGAAAUCAAUUCCUAGGUACCUGCCACCAUGGAUUGAAUCCCUUACCUCUUAGUUAGGCAUUGAGACUAUAUCUCCUUUUUUACAACUAGGCCAAUCCAUGAUGGUUCUAAAAUUUGAUUCUUCGGUUUCUUAACUUUGUCUUUUACAUUUUAUGUUGUCUUAUUUAUUUUGUUUUAGAUUUUAGGUUGCCAGAUAUAUAGAUUAUAAUGGUCUUUAAGAACAAAGUGGGCGGGCUUGGACUGUCAUUUAAGUUUCCAAUGCAUUCAUGAUAUAUUCCACCCCAUCUAGCCAAAACCAAACCAAUAUCAAUUUGAAUUGAGUUAUGCGAUUUUUCAACUUUUUUGGCUUUUCAUGCAACUCAAAAAUACGCACAAAACUUAGAAACCUAAGUGGGAGUACCCAACAUAUCCCAUCAAGUCAAAGCUUAAUGGAGAAGAAACCUUGAAAAACAACCACAAUAGCCGACAACUAGAACCAAUACUAGUAGUCUAGUACUAGUUGGCCAAAAAACCUCGAAAAAGUAAUUUCCACAAAUGUAAAAGCACGAGAAUCUAAAAAUAACAUGCGGCUGAACCAAAAUAGACAUCCCUUUGAAGUCCACACAAGGCCCAAAAAAGAGAAACCAAGGCACCUAAAAUUCUUUGAAAACAUAAUCCCCAAACUAAGUAACAAAACAAUUAAGGGGAAAAAUAAGUUGCAAUCAAAUUUCCACAAACUUCCAAAAAAAAAAUGAAAAGACCAAAUGAGAGCCUUGGAACCUUGAAAAACGAAUUUUUGUGAAAUUGAAGGAGGGAUUUUGCUUAACUCAAGACCACGAGCUUCAAUAAAAGAUGCAUAUUUGUCGGGCAUUGGUCAGGAAGGAGGAAGAAUCUCCCUACCAUUCUUCUAAAAUAAAAAAGUGUCAAAAAGGAAUACUUCAAUCGCCAUAUCAUCAAAGUGAUCAUUCAUGGGCUGCAUAAGAGAUUCCACAUUGCUAAGUCGGUACCAAAGUUAUCACACUUGAGAGGGAGAAAGAGAAGCUGUAAGAUCUUCUGUUGAAUGGAUGAUGUCAUGAAUCAAAACAAGAUCAUUUGAAGAGAAAUCCUUGUGGCUGCAAGGAUUGAGAAUUGAAGGCUUUGAUGGAGCUCUUGUAGAUAAGCUCAGAUUACCCACUUGUCAAACAGAGGGGAUCAAGUGACCUAAACAAUUUUUUUCAAUUAAAUCAAGAUUCAUAGUAUUACCUAUACCUAUAUCUUCACUGAGAAAAUAAGGCUAUAGCUAUAAAUAUAGCUAAAUGAUUGAUUGCAUCAUCAUUCACAUUAAAAAUUCCUUUGACCCCCAUGACUUGGUUUAAACAAUGAGAAUCCAAAAAAAUGGAAAUUUCUUUAUAGAAAAUAACAUGGUUGAUGAUAUUUGGAGGAUCACCAAAGCUUGGAAGCAUUCUCUCUUUUUUUAUCAUUGAUUUUUGUGGUUGCAAGAGAACUACAAAUUCUGUUUGAUUUGUGUUAGUGUAUGAGCCUUAGUGCAAUCCAAUGUACUGAGAGUUCGAGAAGAAAUAUUCUCAAAACCACCAAAGUGUUACUGAUAGCCUCGAAUGGGCUACAACCUCAAUAGGUUAGAGGCAACAUCUUCAUGACGAUCCACCCACCAUGAUCUUCAAUCAAACCCGAAUGAUUGUGUUCUUCUCAAUACCACUUUUCAGUAUGCAAAUGAAAAUCACCGUAGAGCUUCCAUUUUCCUUCGUGAUUCUAGAGACUUUGUUGACUUUACACCCUUGAAACUAAGUAUCUUUGUCUGGCAUGAGAGGAUCAAUUAAAACUUAGUCCCAUGUUAUACUUGAUUGGAGACCAUUUUGCAAUUUGCCUAAAUUUCUAUUUUUGUGGGUUUGCUUUUGUAUGACCUUGUGUUUUGGUUUAUCCUUGUUUCAAAGAAAGUUCGGCUAUUUAUGUAAUUUGACAGUCUUGGAACAGAGGAAACUAAGAAAGAGAGCAGAUUCUUUCAUGCUGAAUAAGUCCAAAGCCUGUGUGUCGAUCCAGGAUGGGUAUACCGUGCUACUGCCAUAUGCUAUAGCAGACAUGGGCCAAAUGUGAGGGUAGCUAGAAAACCAAAUGUUGCUUAAAUCCUUGAUGCAACCCAACAUUCUGUUGGGCAAGAAAAUGAAGGCCGAAAUGAGAAACCAAACAUUACCAACUUCUCAAGGCAAGUAGAAUUUCUCAAGCCAACAUUUUUUCAUGAAACAUGUAGCUAAGCAACUCUUUCAGUACGAAAAUGCAGGAAGGAGCCUAAAAGUCCACGUCUCUCGAGGAACCUGAACACGCCCCCUUGUGUCCAGCAAGCUCGAUGAUAAUUUCCACGCAUUACUCAGCGCACCUCCUACCUCGCUUUUAAUUACUAACCCAAAAACAACUAUAUUCAACUCAAUCCACUUUCUUUGUAAUUUCAGAAUAAGAAAACAUAGAUUGGGCAGCGAAAAAAAUAAAUAAACCCUAGAAAUCAAAUUGAUAGCUAAAGAUCUGAUAUUUGAACUAAAUAUGUAUCUUUACAUUAAAAGAUUCAAAACCCAGGUACGAAAUGGCAAAUACAGUCAGAUAGAAACAUAGAAAGAGAGGAGGGAGCAACGUACGUAUUCAAUAAUUAAGCUACUGGGAAGACGAAAACGCUAAAAUCGAAAGCUAGGGCUUCCGGCUUCCGGCCUCCGGCCUCCGGUCUCUGGCUUCGGCAGGAAAAGGCUUCUCCCUACAGCUUUCAGUGCUAGAAAUCGAGUAAACAGGUAAACGAAGAAAUGUGGUUCGGGGGUACUUUCUAUUCCUUUUGACAGUCAUGGGAAAAACAUAAAUCAAUCUUUCACAUAACCCAAAACCUUCAAUCUUGAUCUUAAACAGUUUACAAUAUGUUGUUAAAAUCUUUGGGUUCUUUUAGUAUAAGUCAAAAAUUUUAGAUAAAUUAUAUAACAUGGGUUAAAACUCUCCUCAAUUCAUAUAUAUAUAUAUAUAUAUAUCAAAGAUCAAAAGUUGUAAAUCCCUUCAUAUGAUCAACCUUAUUUAAACAAAUGCAUCAAAACAUUACUCUACUUGAAUUAAUGUGUUGUUGACUUCUCUAGCCCUCUAAUUUGUUAUAAUUUUUGGUUGAUUGUGUGCAUAGUCCUCAAAAGUAACUUUUAUCAUAACUGGUAUGGUACGAUGAUAUUUGAUUUAUGGACGAACAAGUUAUGAUUGCGUUGGUUUGAUAAUAAUAUACUUAACAAGAAAGAAUUAUUGUAGUUAGUUUUUCUUAGUUAGGUGGUUGUAUCAACCAAAUAAUGCAUCUUAUUAUUUGUUUAUCAAAGUAAAUGAAAUUCAAACCUCUAACCUUUUAGUCACAUAUCAAAUACACAAGUCCACAGAUAAAUUAAAAUAAUAAACUUUGUGUAUUAGUUUAUAUGUCAUUCUCUAAAAUUUAACAAACUAAUAUUGCAUCAAAUGUAUGUACAUAUCUGGUCAAUCAAAUUCUUAAAUUUCCAUUAGUUAAUUAAAGAUUAUAUUUCAAAAUCGUUAAUGUUAACAACUAGAAUGUGUAGACUCAUUCAAAUGUUUGUACAACAAAACAAACCAUAAGGAAUCAAUUUUAUUUACAAAAAGCUAUUAGCUAAGAAUUAAAUUGAUCACAAAGGAGAAUGAUAAAUAUAUAUAUAUUGAUGUUAUAAAAUAAUUAUUGUGUUGGAAUGAAACCAUGUUAAAAAAUAUAAAUAAAAAAAUCGCCGUUGCCGGGGAUCGAACCCGGGUCACCCGCGUGACAGGCGGGAAUACUCACCACUAUACUACAACGACCUCUUUGACAUGAGCGUGAACUUAAACUUAUUUAAUUUCUUGCUCUUACUCUCUACUCAUUUUCCUCUAAGAAAACUCUGUAAAUAAAACUGAAGCACUCAGAUCCAAAAGUUUUGAACACAGAGGAUGUUGUAAAAGUUGAUCCAAGUAAAAAAAAAAAAAAAUUAAAAGUCAAAUUCAUGAAACAAUCAUUUGAAUACGUCAACAAAUACAAGAACUACUAAAGUUGAUGAAUCAUAUUAAAAGAAUGAAACACAACAAUGAUUGCAAUGUAAAUAAACAAAUCAGGUUCAUUUCCACGGGUUAUGUCUUGACGUGGAAUAGUUUAUAUAAGAAAAGUUGCUAUUUUCUUUCUCAUAAUGACAAGGAAGCUUAUUACUCACACCGUGGAUGUGGAUGGGAAAUGGAAGCCUCCCUUACUGCUCUUUUAUUUCUUAGUUAUUUAAAAGAACACUGUACUCCAAUUUUCAUACAAAAUACAUUAACUUUGUUACAAGUUUAAAAUAAAAACAACAGUUACAAGAGGAUAGCAUUUGACAUUUAUACCGAUACUUUGAAGAAGACCGAUACCAAUAUUGAUUACUGAGUAAGAAUAAUGAAUGAAUACAAAUGAUGGGUAUGGAUAUUAUAUUGUUACAGACAAAUAGAAGAGACAAAUAAUUGAAUAAAGGCAGUAAAAGAGAUGGAUGGUGGUGUGUAUCCAAGUAACAAUCAUUUUGAAUUUUGUUACAAAAUUGACCGUAGAUCCCACGUUAUAUAUAUAAACAAGAAGUAACAUAAAUGAAAUGGGACCUAACGUUGAUUGGGGGUAACAAAGAUGACUUUGAUGAGAAGUAGCCACGCGGCGAAAAGAAGCCCAGGUGGGGGAGCAAAUACAAAGCCGUACAAAAGAGUGGGUCCAGAUUCGCCUUCAAUGCCACGUUCUUCAUCAAAUCAAAGCUAACCCUCACACUUUCUUCUGUCCAUCACAUUUUCCCCUUGUGGGAUACAAAUCCCCUUUCUCAAUAUUUCAUCACACGCACCCUCUCCCACGCCCUUUCAUCACCUGCUCUCCACGCGCCCCCUAUUGGGCCUCAGGCCCAUAUCAUUAUCCCCUUUUCACUCGUGCCAAAGCCUGGGGUGUCGCCUCAAAAUGCAGCAACGUCCACGUCGGAAGCAGAAGCAGCAGCAGCAGCAGCCGCCGCCACCCACUCAUUUAAUAUUAUUAUGCUAUAAGAUUAAUGGUUUAUAAUUUAUUUUAUUCGUGCAGUCGGUUCAUCAUAAUAAUAAGAAUUUGUAUUAUAAUUGUUGUGAAACUGUGAGGUGGGUAUAGCAGUGUUCUAGAUUAGGGUGCCAAACGUGGCACAUCAUAUAGACAUAAAGCAUCUCUCUUUCAAAUUUCGGCCGCUUUUUAUAAUAUAAAAAAAGAUAAUUUGGUGUGGGAGGAAUAAAAAAGGGAAUUUGUGGGUGCCCACAGGCGUUGGUGAACAUGCCAACUUGCCGGUGUGACCAUCUGUCUCUCUGUCUCUAUCCAACACGUCAACACGUUCUCACCUCUUCCCCGCGCCGUACGUUCCUCCAAUACCUCCUCUAUAUCCUCUUUUUAUAUUCACAUUCUAUACUUCCUUUCUAACCUAUUUUUUCCUCAUAUGGGGACUUCAAUUAAUACAUUAAAUCAAUUUUCCAUUUCCCUAAACAUUUGAUUACCCGUGGUUUUUACAACUUUUAAUAAUACACCUAAAGGGGUUCAGUGCGGCGGACCUAAUUUCCAAUAACAUUUUUUAAUUCUACACAUUAAUCUUCUGCCAGAAAAGCUUGCUUUUUAAGUCAUGCAAAUUCAAUUAUAUUGACUUUUUUCUCUCUCUUUCUACGUUUUAUUGUUUUUAUAUCCAAACAGUAUAAUAUUUAUAUUUGGGUUUGGUUUGGUAAAAUGAAUCUUCCAAUCACCAUUCUUGUGAAAUCUCAUUCGAUGUAAGUUUUUUUUUUUUUUUUUGUUUCCCUUCUUUUAAUUAAUUAAUGAAUGCCCACCUACUCUAUUAACAAAUGCGUAAUGGAAGUGAAAGGGAAUAUUUUGAGAAGAGAGGGUGGGGUGAAAAUACUUUAUCCCAGUCGUCAUAGACUUACCUUCUUUUGAUAUAUAUAUAUAUGAUCUUCAUUGGAUUUGAUGUGAAUACAACACGCCUUUUCAAAACAUAGCCAAGGAUUUGCGGUAAACACAUAGGUAUUUUCAUGUUUUGUAAAGGAAUUUUGUAGGACGAUUUGUUUUUCUCUUGGUUCAAUUUAUGGCAAUUCAAUUUCAGUAAUUAAGAUGCCAUUUCUUUUAAGUAAGAAAUACGAACUCUCACCUUAUAAAUUACAAAGAACAGUUUAAAUUAGUUUUAGUAUAUAAAAAUCGGAACACUUUGAGGUAAAGAGAAAAGUUCUAAAGUUGUGGGAUCAUAGAGUAAGAAUAUUAUAGAACAUAAAAGAGUAGAAAGAGUAGAGUUCACAACUCUACCAUACAACUAUAACUUAUUGAUCACAUAGAUAGAAUCAUAGCUUAAAUAGUUUAUUUUUCUACCAUUGGAUUUGGAGGUUAAUAAUAAAGUAUGAUGCUUUUAGUGGAGAUAGAAUUAGAAUGCUCCAACUCCAAGUAUCUACAGUUUUGGCCGAUAUGCAAUAUAAUAUUAUAAUAUAGGUUGAUAACUUUUUGGCAUACUUAUGUUUUUGUAAGUGUUAGAAAUUAGCAUACGAAUGUUUCCCUUAGUAACCAAGUUAUGAAAAUUUCAAAGAGGUUGAGAUAAUGCCAACAUUGACCGUCUUGGCGUGGGAAUAACUGCAUGUGCUUCAAAGUUAAACGAGCUGCAAUAAUUAAGUUCUAUGUUUGGGUAAGUAAUAAACUCGUUGUUAAUACUAUAAUUUAAAAGAAAAUUACAGGGUAAUUAAUAAAAACAUUUAUGUUAUGAAUUUAAUAAUGAAAAACUUGAAUGGGAUCCCCAUGUAGCAUGAGCAAUAAAUUGUCAUAAAUUGGUGGAAGGCAUAGUGUUUGAAUUAAUUGAUUUAGUUAUGGGAGCAUUUUCAGAUAUAGUAAAUGAGUUAAAAGGAUUAUAGUUAAUUAAUUUGUGGUGAGAGAGUGGGAGAGUGGGAGAGUGGGAGAGGGAAUAAAGGGGAAGGAUAGGAGGGGUUUCCAAAUUCCUCAUUUAAAAUGGAAACCCAUAUAUGGGAAAAGCAAAAUCUCCCUCAUUUACAUAAAUUGACCAUCCUACCCCCGUCAGGGAAGGCCGCGCCAUCCCCACUUCAGCCUUUCCAACGUGGUCCCGACCUCGUCUCCCCUUCUAAAGAAAACCGCCUUCAAAGCUUUCACACUCUCUGCUCCCAUUGGCCGCCACGCACGUGCCCUUCCUCCCCUUCCGAACGUGUGGCCAACGCCACUGCACCACAUCUAAUCAAUUAUUUCUAUUUAUUGUUAUUCUAUUAUCAUUUUAUAAAUUAAUAUUUAAAAAAAAAAAGAAAAAAGAAAGGAAAGGAAAGGAAAUUGGUGCAGUGUAUGAAACGCAACCACUGUGGCAAAGCCGCCGGCGGAUUUCACUACACGUGUCCUCUCUGUUUUCUCCAUCCACAACAACUUUUCCAUCAGUCUUCCCAUUUUUGGAACACUCUUUCUUCCACGUGUCGUCCAUUUCGUAAUUGAAUUUUGAUUCCAGAUCGAUCCAUAAAUUACAUGUUCUUCAUCAUCAUCAUCAUCAUCCCAUGUUCUGCUCUUAAUUUUUAUACCAUUGCGAUUCUUCAAGUAAAACUAUAUCCGUUUAGAUCGUUACAAUUCUUCAACUAUCAUAAAAUAUUAAUAUGGGAGAAAAAGAACAAGGAAAAUUGCAAAAUGAUCCCUCGUCAACCAACAACAUCAGGAGGACAAAAAUUCCAUAUAUGGAUUUUUCAUUCUCUCUGUGUUGAAAAAAAUGAGGAGAUCAGAUUUAUAUUCACAAUCAUAUUCAUAAUAUCUUCCCUGAUCGUAAUAUUUCGUAUUUAAGUUAUUUUCAUAAACCCAAAAAUUAAGAAGAAAAAAAAAGUGGGGGCCUAAUUUAUGAUAAAUCCCAGCCGAUCUUCGCUUAGGGAAAAAAAAAUUCAGGCGGAUUCUGGUGGGGGAAAGUUGAGAUCCAAAUCAAGGCGGCCGCCACUUCCUCCUCGGGGCUUGAGGUCUUGACCGUUCAUGUCCACAACGGAGGAGGAAUCGGAGUCGCUCUGAACACCGCUGCCGGCGAACUCGCGUCGGAAAUCACUCACCGCUUCGCGAAUACGGUCGAAGUGUAGCCGUUGGUUCGGAUGACUGUUGAUCAUUCCAGCACGUAGAGCCGCAUCGAAAUAGAGAACGUGAUUCGAAGGCGGUAUGCCGCGGGUAAAAACUUCUCCGAUCAUGGGAAUUUGGUAACGCUGAAAUGGGAAACUGAUGGGUCCAGCGUUCGUGAGUCCGCCAAUACCGUGACCUAGAUUGAGAUUCAAAGGGGAGGAAUCAACCAUCAGAGCUUGCUCCCGGCUAGAGGACUCAACCGUGCUACUCUGACUCGGGCUCUGAUUAUUGUUGAUGUUGUUAAUCUUAUUGUUAAGGUUAAGAAGCUGAUCAUCGGAGGGCAAAGGGAAAUUGGUCUUGGCCUUAACGCCGCGGAAAUCUCUAGCGGCGCUGUCGUAGGCUCGAGCCGCCUCCUCCGCGGUAUCAAAGGUUCCAAGCCAAACCCGGCUUUUCUUACUGGGAUCUCUGAUCUCAGCGGCAUAUCUCCCCCAUGGCCGCUUCCUCACUCCUCUAAAAUGCACUUCCUUCACGUUACCGACGCUAGGCUUGACGGCAACUGCCUUCUCCCUCGGAGCCAUAAAUCCCGAAAUCCAGAUCAGAUCAGAUCAAACCACAAGAAAUAAAAAAGAGGGCGAUCUCCGUCACCGUUUGGAUUCUUCCACCUCGAGAAAACGAUAUCUCGCUUCUGUUACCAAUUUCUAUUGUUCUGGGUAUUGGGGUGAGAAAGAGGGAGAGAUGGAUGGGGGAAAAAGGGGGCAAAUGGGUCGAGAUGCCGAGGAGUGGGGAUGGGAUGGUGGGAAUUUAUAGAAGGGGUGAGAAAAUCGGGGAAGGAAUCGGCGAGUAAUUGAUUUGAUUAAGAUGGAGGAAAUGAGAGGAAGGGAAGGGAAGGGUGUGGAUAGAGAGAGAGAGAGAGAAAAAAAAGAAGGGGCACAGUCAACAAGAGGUUUGACUGAGAAAGGGGCGGCUAGUCCGAAGGGUGUGGUGGUAAUUUCCAAAUCCAGUCCCCGAAUUAUGUGUCAUGUGGGGUUGUCAAUACAGCAGAUCCACAGGGAAAGGGCGCGUUUUGCCAUCACUCUUCAUUACGUUUGCCUUUCUUUUUACCAUCAACUACGCGCGCUCCCUCUCUCUCUCUCUCUUUCUAUCACUACACUACCCCCCAUCACGUACAUUCCACGCACUCCCCCCCCAUUAAUUUUCAUUAACUUUUAACGUUUAAAAAUGUAUAAUAAACUUAGUUAUCUCUAAUUAAGUAUAGGAUUUGACGUUUAGGGUGGGGGCGGGGGGAUUUUGAGAAACCAUAAAUACAUUAAUUGAAAUAAAUGAAUAAAGAAGGUGUGGUGUGGAGUGUAGUGGUAAAUAAAUAAAAUAAAAUAAAUAGUGAGAGGGAAAAAAAUCACGAAAAAUCCGGAGACAAAAUAGAGAAGGGAAAUAAUAAAUAAGAAAUUAAAAAAAAAAAAAGAGCGCGUGUAAGGGGGGGCAGCAGGUGGGAAAAAGUUUUGUCGGCAUAUUCUGGCAAUUCUUCGCCUCGUGACUAGGAUUUAAUUAAUUGUUUUUCUAAAAGAAAAGGCUCCAGCAAUUACGUGUUUUUAUUUCUUCUUUUCCGAUAAAAAAAGAAAUAAAUAAAGAAAUAAAUGAAAAGGGGGCUGCUCCUGCUAUACACAUAUAGAUAGAGAUAGAGAUAGAGAUAGAGAGAAAAGGGGUUUGAAGCGGUCCAUUGACCAUGUGGGUGCGAUGUCCCAGGGAUGGAACCAAUGCCCCUAAGACACGUGCUAUUAGAAUAGGAAUUGCCUAAUAACGCGUUGGCGGGUUCCGCAGCCAGCCACGAUUAGGAACCAUGCCCCGCCCCUUCCCACUUCUGACGCCACCGCUUUCUUCUAAAUCACACGCUCUUUUUCAUCAACUUUUAUCUCACGCCCCCUCCUCCCUCCCACCUCACAUACACUCAAUUUUUCUCCCAAUUUCAUCUAACCUGGUGCAAUUUUUUUAAAUUACCUCCUGGAAUUCUUAAUACGUGCUUCAAAAUACAUUUUUUUAGUCUUCAAUUUUUAAGAACAAUAACCUAAAUUAUACAUAAAAAUAUAUAUUAUAUAGUCUACCAAACAAAGCUUCGAAUUUUGAAGGUAAAUAUGCCGUAGUCAAUCAAGUGUUAUAAGUAGCAAUACUCCACGUAUUUAAUUAUUUAAGAGAAUCAAAAUGAAAGCGAAUUGAACUACGUGCCAGUGUUGUAAUUGAGAUGGACUAUGUUUUGAGUCAGUAACGUUUUAAUUUAUGGUCUCUUUCUAUUUUAGUGAAUUGAACACGUCUUUCUUUUUACCUGUUUACACACUAAUUAAGAAUAAUAUAUUCAUUACGUUCAUGUAUUCAACCUUUUAUUUUAUGGUCUAACUUCUCUCUCCAUUUUUGUUUGUAUUUGAUCCUCCUUUUCUGUGUGACAGAUAAUUGUAGUUUAUGCAUUUUUUUUUUUAAUUAGAAAUAUCAAAAUCCUCAAGAACCUAAGUAGUUGGUUGGCUAACUAGUUGUUGAGGUUAUUUGGUCAUUAGUUGGUUAUGUUUAGUUGAAAAAAAAUACAAUCACGUUAUUUAGUGACUACAAACAACAGUAAAUUAAUUUAUUGUUCAUUUGCAAGUAUGAAGAAUUUAGAAGUAGCUACUACACAUAUUCCUAGAUAAACUAAAAUUAUUGUAUAUAAAAUUUUAAGAGGUAGAGAUUUUGCGUGUCAAUCUACACAAACUAUGAGGAUAAGAUGAUUCGGUCGAGGUUAAGAACUUAAAUAAUUAAGAUGGGGUUAUGGGUGUUCCAUCAUGUCUUAAUUUAAGAAGGUUGUGAUUUGUGAAACGGGAAUGUGUUAUAUAUCAUGUUCAAGUUGAAAUUUGUAUGGUUGUCAUGAUUCGAGUUAAGACAAACAUAUGUCCCUUAAAAUGUCACAUUUUAUAGAAAUAUGAUGAUGCUAUUGGCUCAACUACGAAUAAUGAUUUUUGUUCAAAUGACCGAUAAGAUUGGAAUAAAAUUCCUUAUCUAAAUAAAAACCACACGUAAUUGCAUAAUUAUAAUUGAAUGAAAAGAGUUUGAGUGGAUUCAUUUGAUUGAUUUUUUUUUUUGGGCACGAUAGGGUUUGAAGUAUUCAAACCAAUAUUAAAUUAGGUCACAUUACACUAAACUUUAAUUUGAUUUAAAAAAAAAAAGAAAAGAAAUAGUAGAAAGAAACGUCAUGUCGUUCAAUCAGUGUAGAAUAAAUGUUUUUAUUUCCAAAAUAUAGAGAGUGAAUCUGAAACCGUUACUUAGUUGGGUAUGGAGAAAGAAAGAAAGAAAAGAAAAGAAAAGAAAAGGGGAAAUAAGAUAAAAAGAAAUGAAAAGGGAAUGGCACUUAGUGAAUGGAGAAAAAGGACAAAAGUGGGGAUUAAGAAGAAAGGUCAAUAUUUGAGGCGGAAAAGCCGGCGGAUAAUUGUGGGAAAGCGGGCGGAGGAAGUGCCGGAAUGUUGACGCCAUCAAAUGCUAAAUGUUAAAUGCUAAAUGCAAAUGCAAAUGAGACUUCAAAUUGACUUCGAAAUUACAAUUUGGAAGGAGAAGAGAGAAGAGAGAAGAGAGAAGAGAGAUAGAUGGGUUGUUGUUGCUGUUGCUGUUGCUGCUGCUGUUGGUCUCCCCCAACCAAAUGCUAUAUAUUAUUAGUAUUAAAUUGGGAUGUUGGAUGCGGUUGCUUUCGUGGCAGCAAAUUAAAAGAAAAAGAGAGAGAGAGAGAGUUAGUUUUAACGGAAAGACCUGAAGAUGGAAAACGUUGACAAAAUAAAAAAGGAAGAAGAAAAGGUAAAGAGUGUUUGAUGUCAGUUUGACCCGUGACGGGGCGUGUCCGUUUCUUUUACUUAAGAAGCACCCAAAUUAAAUUAAAUGCUUCUUCCCUUUCCACUUUCCACUUUCCACUUUCAUCUAUUUCUAAUUUCUACUUAUAAUUCAAUUAUAUAAUCUCAUAAUAAUAAAUGCAGGCUACAACUUUCAACUCCUCCUUUCAAUUUUGGAAACCAAAUAAUGAAGUUUUUUCUAUGCUCAAUUUGUUAAUACUUCUCUUGUAUUAUGAUUGAAUUUUCAAUAUAUUUUCUAUUACUACCAAUUCGUCCAUUUUGGUUCACACUUUGUGUGUUGUGUUUAUCACAAUUCGUCCAUUCCCCAUUAUUUUCUAAGUUUGAAUGAUAUAUAUAUAUAAGUUCUAAAUUGUUCAUGCACCCAUACCCAUGUUGAUUGAGCCAUUAAAUGUUAAAGUGGAUCAUGGGUUAGUAUUUGUAAAAAUAACUUGUUUUCCUUUUGCUUUCCCAUGAAGCAUAGAUUAGGUGCUCCACUUGUUUGAAGGAUCGAAGGGGAAGUUGACAGUGGAAGUGAAAAACAAGACUUUGACUUUGGCAAAACUUUUAAGUGAGACUAAGAGAGAAGAGGACGGAGUGAAGUUGAGUGGUGGAAAUGGCAAUGCCUCAGAACGCAACACUUUGUGGCCAAUAACAAUAACUCUCUCUCAUAUCAUCUAUUGCUCCCAUCCCUACCUAAUAAAUUGCUUCUACAUUUUGUUUUCUUAAAUAAUAUUUUAUUUUGCUUUACUUCUUGUUCUUAAUUUUCAUGUUUAGGUAUUUUUUAAUUUAUGAGAGACUUUAAGUUUUAGUAAGUAAUGACGUUGCAAAUAUUUGCUUCCAAAUAACGCCAAAGUCAACCCCCCCUGAUAGUUAAGAUUUAUUUAUCAGUUCUUUACAAAAAGAUGAAUGCUAAACCUAUGAGUUAUGUCAAUUUUAGUGGAGGCUUUUAGUUUCGACUGUGAAGUAUUUUAGUUUACAUAGCAGAUUAUCUGAUUAUAGUUUAAUUAGUUAAAAGAUACUAGUUAAGUUAUUAGAAGUUUGAGUGGUUAUUUCUUACAUAUUUAGAUUCAUAAAAAUUUGAAAUUGUAGUGGUAAUCAUCAGUUGGUUUUAUUCUUUUUAAGAAGAAAAUAGUCACAUAAAUAAGAACCUCCAGAAACUUCUUUUUAAGUCAAAAAGUAUCUGUUCUUUAUCGUUAAAUAAAUUUUACACUUUGUUUCGUAUCAAUUUUUUAUCAUUAGAUCAUUCAUAUCAAUCCAGAAUAAUUUGGAGCCAUUAUCUCACAUUUUUUGAUGCAUUCUUUAUUCCCAACAAAAAUGGCAUACAAUUUUGAACAUGAAAGUACGAUCGCUUUAGAAUAAACAAAGAAAACAAUAACUUCCAUGUUUUUCUUUGUGUAACGUAUGUACUAAAUAUUAAAGACUAAAAAGAAAACAAAUACCCAAUAAUCCAAACACUUAAGUUUUAAGGGUUCAGUUGGAAUGGAGACGGCAUUGGGAUCAUUUAGAUUGCUACAAUCUGACCACCCCAAACAACCCACAAUCCAAGUAUUGCCCUACUUUUUGAGGGAUUAAUCAUUCCAAAUUUGGGGAUUAUAUCUCCUGAAGAAAACAACUCAUUUUUCAGAUUAAUUAAAGUUAGAUGGCAAUUACCAUUAGAUUAACUGGACUUGAAGAUAGAGAUACAAUUAAUGGUUGGGCAGCUACGGUCAGAAUGCAUAAAAUAAAAACUGCAAGUCAUUCGAGACAGAAUACGUACCGUCACUGACAGUCAUUUGAAAUAGUUUGAUAUAUAAUAAAUCCUUUUGCAACCACUAGAAUCAAACUUAACCAUCCGUGCCAAAGUCAGAGUAUGGCAGAGGCAGGUCAAGACAUUUAAAUCCACGAGGGGCUUGAAAUUUCACCCUCACCCCGGCCCCCAAAAAGAAAAGCAAAGGCAGACAUCAGAUUCUAAUUUUGAAAUUCUCAGUUCCUCAAAACUGCACAAUAUUUAUUAUAAAGUAAAGGUAAAUGGACUACUUGCAAUCCAUUAUCCACUCCACAAACAUGGAAAUGGAAUCAUGGCGAAAAUAUGCAAAAACAAGUUGAUGAAUGGAUGCAAUAACUACAGUCCAUAAAAGGAAAACGCGAUUAUUUCGUGAAUUAAUACUCAUUAAUGGGAAUAAGAUUAUUAUGAUUAAAGAGUAAAUGUAGACUACAAAUUAAAAAUCAGAAUGUGGGAUAUAUACAGAGUCCAAUCUGGCGAUCCACCACUCCCCCUUGAUCUCCAAUUCCUACCAUAUUCCAAUCGCACCCAAGAAACUGAAAUCACGAAAAAAAAAAGGUUGUGAAAAUUUACACAUCAAAAUUGUAGUAAUUAGGUUUAACAGGAUCACGUGACCACAGAAUUAAAAAUGAGAAGGAAUUUAGAAACAGAGAGGAAUGCCCUCGGCCUAAAUGAAUGGGAGAAGAAAUGGAAAGGGGUGGAGGAUACGUGAGAGAUCGGAGGAGGGUGAAAUGGUGGAAGAGAGUGUGGAAGAAGAAAUUAGCUCCAUGGAGGAAGACCACAACACCAGUGCAGCCCAAGACGAAAAGCUCCAACGCCAUUGGAAACGGGAAGAAGAAGAAGAAGAAGAAGAUCAAUAAAUUUGGAGUUUAUUUGAGGGUUUUUUAGGGGUAGGAAUUGGAAUUGACAUUUGGAGUUUUAGGGUUAAAGAGAACAAGAAAGAGAGUGAAAAAGGAUUAAUGGGAUGGAAGUUGGUGACGUCAGAGCUCCACGUUCUUAUCCACAACGCUGGUUGCUUCUGUUCCCUUACGUUACUUCUUACGUGGAAAUCAGCACACUUCUCUUUUUCUUACUUUUAUGUUUACAAUUUGGGAGGGUGUGGUUGAAACUUGAAAGCGUAGAUACGUAGGUGGGGGAAAUAGAGGGUGGAGAUGAGGAGGGGAAAGGAGAGUGGUUAAUAAAAAGCAUAAAUGUGCAUACAAUGGCCCAAUGGGUCGCCCCACCUGGCGGCAUCUUUGUCUGUGAAGUGGUGGGAACUGCCACCUGCCACCUGCCAUCUGCCACCCACUUUUGUUUGAAGUGGUCCAUUUCAUUGCAAUCCCCACCGCCGCACCGCCGCACCGCCCCCCCCUCAUUAUAUCUACACAUAUUAUGCAACACAAAAGCUAAACAUUCAUUGAGGCAUUUGUUUGGGUAGUGGAAUCAUGACUAAGAAAGUUCUAAAUAUUUGGAUUCUACUAAUUUUGGUGGUGAAAUCAACCAAUUAAGUGAAUUUGGUACUAGGUUUUAAAAUUUAUGGAUCAUUCCAUUCAUUUAGGAGUGUUCAAAGUAAUUAUGUAUUGUUAAAACUGUUUCAGUAUAUACACACUUUAGAAAGAUGAUUAAAAUUACGAGCCAAAUCAUUUUUAGCAAGUCUGUAAUUUCUAUGUUUUCUCAAGAAUAUUUGUAUAUAUAAUAUAUGGAAGAAUUGUAAAAUAUGGCACAUUAAAACUUUUCUUCCCUCCCUUUUUUAGACAACUUAAAAGAUGUAGUUGUUACUUAAUAUUCUAGUAAAACCCCCUAUUCCAGAACUAAACAUUUCGUAAUAAAUUCUUAUUUAACGAACUGAAACACACCAUUUCAAGUCAAUGAUUUAAUAAUUCACUCACAAAAGUGUAACUUAGAAAAAAUAUGUUUCCAGAUACUUCUAUAUGCACUUGAUGAGUAACAUAAUUAUUGGGAAUUUGACUCGGGGGCUAGUAGGUUAAUCAAUAAUGGUCAUCCAAUAUCUAUAACAGCAACAAUAUAAUAAUAAAAGAAACAUUGAAGUUUGCAAUAUGAAAUAAUUCCUUUUUUUAUAAUCUAAUCGCUUUCAAUUCCCAAGUUUAGUAAUAAUCAAAAUAAAAUGUAUAAUAAUUUAAAUAUAAUAUCAUGGAACAGCUGAGGCACAAAUAAUUAAAUAAAAACUAAUUUAAUAACAAUAUUCGUUUAGAACGAGGGGGCAAUUUGAAUCCAAACAUCAAGUUGGUUCCUAGACAGUAUCUCCAUACCAAAAUCACCAUUAUAACCUAUUGAGAAUGGCCUGUAAAUGAUUUAAGCACAACGUGAUAUUAUAUGAACAUGAACAGACCUAAAGAGAUAGCUGAAACGAGUUUAAAAUAAUAAAAGGCAACAAGCAGUAUGAGAUAUGUAAUGUUCCCUUCCACGAACAUUGGAUAUUUGAUCUUUAAUUAAAACAGCAAAUUCCAAUUCAUUAUCAAGCUAUAAUAAAUUGCAGCGUCUCAAUUUCAGAAUGAUAAUUCAACCUAGUUGUGUUGUGUCAUAAUGAAAAGAGAAGGUUUUAAAAACAAAAGCAUUGAUAAUUUCCUUGGAAGUAGCUGUAGGCACAGUCCCAAUAGUUGCCAUUUAAUUGGAGAUUCUUAGGCUGUGUUGACCAUCUUACUUUCUCUUCAAGUUUCUCCUUGUAUGGUGGUUAUGGUCUGGCUCCUUGUCCUGCUCGGCUGACUUUCGAGCGCCAACAAGCAUAAUGCUCCCCUUCUGUCGUUCACUAUUCUGAAAUUUUUACAUUCAAAUUCUUCUUGCAACACAACUACAAAUAUGGUACAGUUAAAUUAUCAAAUAAAUAAACAGACAGACUUUAUAUUAAAGUGUAAUCCAUUCACUGGUUGUAAUGAAGGAUAUUGUCAUCAACCGUACUCAAAGAGUGUUUGAUCUCAACGAGUUUGUUAUUGGGUCGACAACAAAUAAAGCCAUAAGAAUCAAUUUAACGUCUGUUCAUUUAUUCAUUUUUUGCAUCACUUUGGCGAUAACUUACUGCUUUCAUUAGUGCUCUAAGAGAGUUGAGAAAAGCAUAUCUCGCAUAAAGCCUGCUCUCCCAAUAGCCUGUCUCAUCCUUUUUUCCCGCUCUUCCUGGCUCAAAGAAGGAUCAAAACUGGGGAGAAGGAGAGAAGUGUUAAUACUAAACAACAGGAAGAGAUAAUCAGAGGGCGUACAACUAGAGCAAUUCCUUGGUCAAUGCAAAACGGAAGAUCUCUGUUACUUGACUGUGGUCAUCAAGGAAAAUUUCUCUUACCUUAUGACCAAAGACCGGUAGUUGUAAAGGCUGAUGGAAUUACUUGGAUUGGAUUAAAGCAUAGGGACUUUUCAGUCCUGGCAUAUAAGGAAAUGGAAAGGUAUGCAGUUUUUUAUCUAACCAAACCUUUUUGGAUGAACAAACAAAAUACUAGCUCGAAACAUUAACAAUUAGAGAGAAAUCCAAUACUAUAAGAGGAAAAAGAAAGCAGAAGAAAGGGAUGGAUGUGAACGAUUACCUUGAUUUCCAAAUUGGUGAUGGUGCCACGUUCUCUGAAGACACAUCUUCGGCACUCGUUAGCAUGGAUUUUGAGAUAUCUUCAACAUCAGAUGCAGGAUAAUUUAAAAUAAGUGAUGAUAAAAACGGAUCAUGAGUUGCACUAGGCACGUUAGUGGUGCUUGUACGGUACCCACUGCUCCCUAAAAGGACUUGCAGAUGAGCCUCGCGAAGGUCCCUGCUCAAAAGGGACAAUGCUUGACUGUUGGGGAUGGAAAUCUUACGCAACCUGCGACGCCUCUGAAGGUGAUCUUUUGUUAAGCAAACAGGAUGGAUAUGGUAAAACAAAUAGUUUUCUCCUCAAAAUAAACCACUUAAAUGAAAGUAAUCAGUAAACACAAGUAUCAAAUAUAAAAGGAUAUCUUGUACAAGUGCCCAUGGUGCAACGUUAUAUGACUUAACAUGUCCCCCAUGACUUUAACUGAGCAUAUGGGGCAAACCUGCAAGUAAGCAGAAACAAAAUUUCUCAUAAAUCAAUAACCUAAAAGUGCAGGGGGGAAAAAGCAGAAGAAACAGCGAGAGCUUAUAAAAGUUGAUGUGGAACAAGUUUCUUUCUCCGCACAGUUCAUCAAAUUACUUUGGGGAUCUCAUCACAGAAUGGAUAGGGAGAAAAUCAAUUUCACAAGCAAAAGGAACUUUUGGACAAUGCAACAGAAUAUUAACUUAAAAGUUAAAACAAUUCUUACAUACAGCUACUACAUAGAAUUGGCAAAACAAUAAUGAAAAAUGUCCAAACACAACAAUUGCUACAAUCUCUCUGAACAUGAAACAAGAGAAUAAAUUGAAAAGGCAGAUAGAAACAAUAGUUUCAGCAUUAAGAAGCAAAAAAAAAAAAAAGCAUCUUCCCAAUCUUAGGUGAAUAGUAAAUAAAAAUUUGGUUGCACCCAGGUAACAGAAAGGGGAAAUAAAUACCGUGACUCUUGUCUCGCAAGAGUGUUCGUCUUCCAGAUGCGAACAAAGGGACAUAACGUCAAAAUUCUCAUAACAAAAAGGGCAGGGAAAAUGGGGACGGGUAUCAUCAUCCAUCUCCAAAUCAUCGAUUCCCAACAGAUCUAAAACCAAACCAAAUCAACAAAUUAGAACAAAAGAGAAAAAGGGUAGAUCAGAAAAGCAAAACAGAAGAGAAGGGAAAACCUAAGUUGGAAGCUUGGUGAUGAUGCUGCAACAUAUACUGACGUUUAGCAGCGGCAAGGCGAGAUGUCCAGAAAUCAGAAUCCAUUUUCCAGGAGAGAAAACUCCGAAAAAAAAUGGAUUAAAAAUAAGAACAAGAAGAAGAGAGAAGAGCAGAAGGGGUUGCAGAGUAGCCGAAAGCAAGAAACUACAGGGAUUAGGAGGUGAGAAAUGGAGGAUUAAAGAAAGAGAGAAAAGAAAGGAGCCGGAAAUAGGGUAUGGUUGUGGGUAUGAAAAAUGAAGGAAUGAUUGAUUGGAAAAAGAAGAAAAAAAGAAAGAGAGAAAGAAAGAGAGAAAGAAAGAAGAAUUGGAAGGGUGGAAUUGAUUUGACCUUUUCCUGAGAUUAGAUUUCGAAGUUUGAAGCUAACGAAAGGCGUUUCUGUAAAAAAACUAACCAACACACAGAUGGCUCUGCCUCACCUUUCCACUCUUCAUCUCCAUGCCACCAAAUUUCCUUUCUUCUUCUUCCAAUUCCCUCCUUUUCCUUUUUUCUAAUUUACUUUUUUUUCUUUCUCCACAUGUCCUUUUUGUUUUGGUGGUUCUUCUUUUUUCACUUCCUUUUCUUUUUAUCAAUGCUCAGUUUUAACUUCUUUAUUCUUCUUGUUACUAUCUGGUUUUUAUUUUAGAUUUAUGACUUUUUAAAUUAUGUAGUCUACUUCUUGAACUUACAAAAAAGCAGUCAAAUUAGUUUAUGUCUUUGUGUGUCUCACCCAUGGCUUAAAAUACCAAUGGCAUUUGAGGUGGUUUUAGAUAUGUGCAUUAGUUAAAAAGAACAGCUAAAUAUGAUUUCAAGCUACAUAAUUUGGAUGAAAUGAUAUUUAGUUAGGUCUAGUCCUCAAAAAAUAUAUUAGAUUUAUUACGUGGCCUUAACAAUAAGAAUAAAAUGGUUUUUUUCUUCUUCUUUUUUCUAAAGCUCAACAAAUAAAUGUUAUAAAAGUUAAAUCAAACUAAUGUUAUUUUGCUAUAUAAUUUGAUAUUUCACAAGUAGCACCAGUAAGAAUUCAUGUUGUGUUUUUUGAAGUUAAUAGUUUUAAAGUUUAGAAAGAAAAAAACUAAUGAAAUGAAGCAGAUGUACAAUUACUGAUAAUGGAAGAGAGGAGAAGAAUGAAAUUGCACAGAAAAAAAGAAUUGAAGAAACAGAGAUAUUAAAAUAUUGAGUCUUAUUUGGUCACCCUUUGUUUUUAAAAAAUCAAGACAGCAAAUUGCAUUUUAAAAUUGUUUUUGAGGUUUCGUUGCCUAAUUUUUAGGAGUAUUUUUAAAAGCAAAAAAAAAAAAAAAAAGGGUUGAUUUUCCAAUUUAAAAACUAAAAAGGAAAUAGUUUUUAAACAAUCAUGUGUGUUUUUGAAAUGUGAUUAAGAUUUCGAACUCUUGUAUAAAAAUGAUAGAUCUCAUUGUAAAAAAAUGGGAGAAAAUGAGUUUAAUUUGAAGAAACCAAAUGGUUGAAAUUAAAUGCAAUGUUAUUAGUUCCCCAUGAAAAAAUUAGCCUGAAAACUAACAAAGACAAAAGGAAAAAGAAAAGGCAUUAUUCGUAAAUCAAUAAGAACCACACAAACUAAUAAAGUCAUUAUCAUCCAAAAGUUAGAGGCUCCCAUUUUUUUCUUUUGAUUUUAUUAUUCUACAGUUGGCAAAAUGAUAAAAACAUUAUUGCACAGCUGAAAAUUCUCAAAUCAUUGAGAAGUCAUGUAUCAUAAACAACAUGAUUAAUAAGCACGUAAAUUGUUAUUUUUCAGAGGCAUUCAUCUACCAUGAUAUCGCAACCACUAUGUUUGAGAGUAUGAAAUAAUAUAAAAAAUAUUUUAAUAGAAUUGUUCAUAUGCAAAACUAUAAAAUUGAUCAUAUUUACUAUAUGAAAAGCAUAAAGUUGAGAACACUAUGAUCUAAUAACACAAUUUGAAUUCAUUACUGAGUUUUCAAUGUAAAAUAGACUCAGUAAAAAAAUAUAGAUAUUGUUAGCUUAAAAGUUGUCAAAAAAAUUAAUUGUAUUUCGUUCAAACAAAUUUAUUCUCGUUCAUAUAUAAUAUUUUGAUUUUUUUAUUAAUCCUAACUGGGUAAAUUUGUGUAUAAAAGUCGAUCUCUCAAACUUGAAUUUCUCUAUUAUUAGGUUUACAAUUACCUUUAAUCCAUUCAAACGAGUUUUGUAGUUUAAAUUGUUAAUUGUUAUUUCUGUAUUUAAAAAAAGCAUGUCUAACUAUGAACAAAUUUUUUUGGUUGGAACAAACCAAAACUUAGUUUCUAGUUUUUGAAUGACAACAAGAGAUCAUUGACAAGUUAUACAACUUUCUACUUUAAGGUCUUGAAAUAGAAAUAAAUAUGAAGAUGAGUUCACCUAAAAAUUUAGAAGACAGCGUUUCCUAUGAGAAAUUGGAGAGAGGUUGCCGAAGAAGAGUUCUAACUCUUGUAGGAAGAAAAAGUGCAACAUGAAGGAAUUACUUAUCGUUGCAUGGAAUCAUAAAACAUUAUUCUACAACUGGAAAUCUAAAAUAAUCAAACAAGACAUCUAUGAUCUUUAAUUUGAAAAAAAAAAAAAAAUCUUACAGUCUCUCCAAUCAAAUUCUCGAAACUAUGAUCAAUGCACCGCAUCUCAACAGACAGUAAUCAUCCAUCUACAAUACAACAAAAAGGAGAAAAUGUAGAUAGAUUAUAAACAUCGUCUAAAAUCUGCAUAACCAACUCAUCUAAAGUUCAAUUUUUAUGCCUAAAACAUCAUGAUUAACAAUCAUGUAAAUUGUUAUCCUCCAACAUGAAAAUUGUAAAGGUGUCCACCCCUAGGACUUCUAAAGCAUGUAAGCGGUAAAGAAUCACACAGCAAGUCGCUUAGCCAAGUUCAGCAAUACGCAAUCGCUCACGAUCCUAGAGAAAGAAACAUGUGGAGUUAGAUAUAUAGAUUGGUGAUGAUGGAUGCAAGGUUACAUUCAUGAAAUUAUACAUUUGAAACCUAUUUUAGACAAUGAGUUUGAAGAUGGGUGGGGACGGACUUGAAGAGAGGCUGAUAGCAAAUUUCAAGGAGGAAAGCCAUCAUGAAAGGUUGUGGCCGUGAGGAAUCAGUCACUGGAACAACUAUAGGAGAACUAAAUUCUUUCUAAGGCUGAUCCUUUGAUAUAAUUCAAGGUGUGUAAACCAGUUACAUAACAUCUGUUUCGAGAAGUACUGGCACAGGACCUUCUAUAUGUUCUAUAAACCCAGAAACUACUUCCCAUUGCUUUCUCUUAGAACUACGACUCAUUUCAACUACAUUGUAAUUUAUUGGGUCCAUUUAGUGCACACCACACUAAAAUUUUGAUCUUGUUAAUAUUUGUAUGAUACUUCAUAAUAAUCUUUUAGUUGCAGGAGGAAGGCUUGGAUGCUAACCUAGAAUUGAUUACCUUAGGUAAGUCCUGCUGAGUAGUAUGCAUUCAUCAUUCAAGAAUCUACAACAUAAACGUAGAAGUUUCACGUUUCAGGGUGACAAUUGAUGUAAUAACACCAUUUUAUAGAAAGUAACAUUGAAAGGAUACGAACUGAAGUAAAGUCCCCAAAGUUUAAAAACAAAGAACAUUUAUACAGUAGGGAUAACUCAAGGAUUUGAACUGUCAUCAAGAACGGUGAAUACAACAAAAUCAUUCCUCGCCAACUCAUAUGAAUCUACGCAAACUCAGUUAUGAGUUUGUUUCUUCCUAAUGCUAUAAAAAAACCCAAUGUCACUGAACUACUUGCACACGAAAAACAAGCAACACAUGACUUUAUUUCAGCAUCUUGUCUUUUGAGGGCAAGUGCUCGAACCAUCCGAUAUUCAUCAUACAUCAUCAUUGCAAUCUGAGUGGUAGAAGAAAUCAAUAUCAUACUUGUCGUAUUACUAAAAUUAAGGCCAUCAAUGAACAAAAUAAAAUGAAAAUUCACAAGUAACCUUGCCGACUCGUUCUUAUGGUUUAUUAUUAAUUCAACAUCCCCAAUAAAAUGAUCAAGAUUGAGCUCUUUACAGUCUAAUUAUUGAAAAUUCAGUUCAGACAAUGACUAGACAGUAAUACCACAAAGCAUUGAGAGGAUAAAGAUUUGUAAACAUCACAUGUAAAUUCAAAUUCUUUGACCACAAAACAUGAAACUGGAAUAUCAUAUUGGUCUAAGCCCCAAUGAUUCAAUUGAUAAACAGAACACAUAGAAUUUUCCACAUAAAGAUGUGCAAUAACAAGAUCUGAACUUAAUACUUGGUUUGGAAUUUCAUCAGCUAUGAAUGGUCAACAACUCCAUAAAGUCAUGGGAACAAAAGGUCUGAAUCUCUCAGCUCAAAUUCAUCACAAAAAAGAAUGAUUUCUUUUUUAAAACAUAAUCUACUCGAGUAAUAUUUUACCACAAUUUCCAAAACGUCGACGACAAAAAUAAAUCCAGUCAUACCAUCGUUGAUGCUUAGACCUCAAAUAGUAUCGUCUUGCCCUACAAAAGGAAAAGCAAUGUGCACUCUUUCAUCGCACAAGAGAGUAAAAGAUGGGUUGACGUAAAUGCAAAUUAAAAAUUAUCCAGCCAGACGAACAAAUUUGUUCUUUCAAAUUCUCAAAGAACACUUCACUCAACCACAUUUUAAACGCACCUAAAAUAUAAACCCCCGACCUUGAGCUAGGGAAUUGGAGAACCACAAGAACCAACCAACUUAUUAGCCACUAAAGGAAGAUAAAAUCACCAACACCCAUAGCUAAAGCCAUACAGGACAAGAGGGGAAACUCAAUUCAAAGAGAAUAAAAAAAAAAAAAGAGGGGAAAACUCAAUUCAAUUCGUAGAGAAAUCCGGCAAUAAGAGGAGGAAAAUACCUUCAGGAGUCCAACCGUAGCUUCGACGAGAGACGGAAAGCAUAGAAGUAAGCAAUGCAGAAGCAGUAGCAGAGUGGUAAGGAAGCAAGGAUUCCAGACAGCAACUCAACUCAACAGGUGACCUUCAAAAAAUAACAAUAAUAAUCAGACGCAUAGCAUAAAUCGAAAAGAGAGAUAAGUUUGGUCGAAGUAUUACCUCAAAAUGCGAUGGGAUUGGGAGAGUGGGUUCUGCUUAGGGAUGGCAAACGGAGAUGGAGCUGAUUUCGUUUUGGCACUGCUGGUAAACCUGCCGGAGAUAGGUGCUCGGGCUAGGGUCGAUCUGAAGGCUGACCUAGCAGCCAUGGCAGCGGCGGAGGACAUGAUUUCAAGAAUUUGGCAAAGGAAUUCGGAAAUCUUCGUUCUUUGGGUUUUCUCAAGGGUUUAGCCCUUUCCUUUUAGCGUUAGGUAUUCCUGUGUAUGCGGGUGCACCCUACAAACACACUUCAACCUUAACGAUAUUAUUUGAUUCAUCAAAUUUGUUAUAUACCUAAUUAAUUGCAUAAACUAUAUUUCCUUUGGUUAACUUAGAAACAAUCAACUAAAUAUUUCACAUAUUUAAAUUCUUCCGCUCCUUACACUACUCAACAAACUAGUAUAAAUAAUUGUAAAGCUUUAUAAUCAACUUUGUUAUAAUUCAACCUAAGUUUUUCAGUUGAAGAUGAUUCAAUAUUAUAUCAUAUUAAAAAAUCAUAGCUUUUGAAAUGUCAUUUUCAUCUAUAAUUAAUAUUGAUUUAAUUAGCUCAUUGAGUGAAGAUAAGUGUAAAGCUAUAGACAUAAUUAAUUUUUUUGGGUUGAGCUUUUAGAUUAAUCAUUGACAAGGCUAAUUUGUGAUUAGGUCAAUCUUAAAUUUGUGUCAACCUUUUGAAAUUAGCAAGUUUGUGGAGCUCGUUAUUUAUGUGAAACAUCGAAAACUGAAUAAAUGACAAACGAAAAUUGCAACAUUUAUCCAAGUAUGGAUCUAGUUUGAGAGAAGGAGACUUUAAAGACCAAAGUCCAAUCAACUAAGAGCCAACAUAAGAAUAGGGUCAAAGGCUACAAUGUUUUUAUGACCCAAGAGCGAACUAAGCCGAGAGGCACACCAAGCCUGACAAUGAGAACGAGUAUAAGAGUUUGGUUGAGUUGGGACAGAGGAUAGACUUUGUAGGUUGUUCAACUUAACAUUUUACAAAUGCUUUGAGAUAUAAGAUGGGUGAGAAUAAUCCUGAUAGAAACAAAAUACUUGUUUAUUGUUGUAUUGUUAUCGUGCAUGGAUAUGUUGUAAGGAUUUGAAGGUAAUUGACCGACCACAUUUAUCUGUAUAUGUUAUUUCAUGAGAUUACAAUCACAAAACUGAUUAAUGAGAGUAAUAAUUCUGAGUAUAAUGUUAAAAACAGAUAAACAAACAUGAGUCAAGCACUUAAAAAAAAAGAAGUUAACAUAUACUUAUUUUAUUCAUAGAAAAUCUUAAACUAAAUGACUGGAUAGUUGAGUAUUACAUGACAAAUCCAUGUAAUUUAAGAAUUAAGUGUACGCAACUUAUUCAAAUUCAGCCAGAUUCAAGAUCCCCUCAAACAAUUGAGUGGAGCAUGGUAAUAUCAUUUGUCCAUUUUGUCCAGAAUGUAUUUCAUCUUCAUAUUGAUUCAGUAGUUCUUGAAAGGUGAUGGAGGAUAAGAACUUUAAUGAAAUGACAAAGCGUUUUUGUUUUUGUUGUUGAUCUCCAACGUAAAUCACAAAAUGUCCUCUCUUCGAUCUCCACAUCUUAUUGAGCCACAAGUGAUGCAUUUUUUUAAAGAUCUUCAUUUGUACGAAAUUAAUCUGGCGAUGGGAAUUGAAAAUUAUGAAGGCCAAGAAGUGACUUUUAUAGAAGAGUUUGAACUCAAUAUCCACGUAGGAAUGAGAAUUACUUUUCCUCUUCCGAUUUAGACUUUGAAAUGAUUUUUGGAUUUUUUUUAUCCUAAUUACAUUUGAAAAUGGGCCUUAUUUAUUUUUGUUAAUAAUAAUUAGAAUCGUUGUUUUUAAUUUAUAUAUGGCUCAUUUUGUAUAAUUAAGAUUUAGAUUAUUCUUAAAUACGUAAUAUUAAUUAAUUUAAAAUGAUUAGAAAGGAAAUAUAAACUUAAUUUUUCAAUUAGGAUGAAAAUAUAGAUACUUAAUUAAUUGUAAUUUAUUUAAUAUUUUUUUAAAAAAUGUGAAUCCGAAACCUUAAAUUCUUAAUUUUUUUAAGAAGUAAUAAAAUGUUGAGUGGUAAAGUUGUAAUGUUUUAAGAAUUUAAUAGAGUUUAUGAAACCAACAAAUAUGUGGUUAGUGAAUAAAUGGAAAAUUUAAGAAUUUAAUAUUUAUUCUAAUCAAACUAUUUUAUGUUUGUUUAUUAGUUAUGUUUAUUUAUCGAGUGAGUUAGGGAAAAAGGCCAAAAUCUUAGGAGAGAGUAUUUUCGAUAGAAAUUGAUCAAAUACAUUUUCGAUUAGUCCUCGAAACCUGGUUUCUGUUUGUUUCUCGGGAAAAUGAAAUCUCAAACUCUUGAUCCGUAUUUUGUUUUAUACUCUUGAGGUAGAUUAGACAUUGAAACUGUUGAACACAGCUUUUAAAAUCCAAGAAAACCAACCGAGAAAUUUAUUUAUUAGACUCAAUAAUCUUCCAUCAUAACAAAUUUCUAAGAAUCAGGUCCAAGGAAUAAUUUAUCCUACACUACACUUUCUGGAAUUUCUCCGACUUCUAAUCAUCUUCAAGAUCACACCAAUCACAAUCGGAAUGCAGAUUCGUCCCGAUAUAAUUUCAUGUUCACCGGCGUUCUUCGUUUUGGAAUCAUCUACGCGGCGGCCAGCAGAAUUAGCCGACACACUCUUUUUCUCCUCGGUCGGAAAGUACAACCACGUCUUGUCGGCCGGCUUUAGUCCAAUGAGCCGUCCAAGCGAUACGCUAGGGUCUUGAAAGAAGGAGGCCGUCGACUGUCAAAAACCAAAUGUAAGUAAGAAAGAAAGAAGAGUUGGGUUAAAUUGAGAAAAAUGAAAUAGAGAGAGAAAAGUAAACCAGAGUGUCGAGUUCAGAGGAAGAGAGAGAGGAGAAACUGAAUGAAGGAAUGAGCAAAUUAGGGGAAGGUUGGGCAGAUGGUAAUGUGUGUGUUCCUGAAUCAGCCAUUAAUCGAAGUGUGGAGUUCAUGACCUGAAGUCCAAGCGGCCAACCAUUGAGAAGAUCUUGAUGAUCCUACAAAAGAAUUUUAAUAAUUAGAGUUCAAAGAAAAAAGGUGGGGAAGCGUUACGUUAAUUAGUUAAAAGAGAGUGAAGAGGGAAAGGAGGCUCACAGAUUGGUUAAACAUGGAGGUUUUGGAAUGAAUCGUUUGGUGAGAACAGAUGAGAUAUUAUUGCAUGAAAUGUGAUAGUAUUUAUAUAUAUAUAUAUAUUGAAUGUGAAAAUCACGAGGGGGGGAUGUAGAUAUCAAUGAUGAGAUUGGACAAACAAAGGAGGGGUUAGGAACUUUAGAAGACCCAUUUGGUUUUUGUUUGGAAUACAAAAUUGGGUGAGUUUCUACUUUCUAUUGCGUCCAAAAAGCUACAAACAAUUCAAAAUAGUAAUUGGACCUUAAUAAGUAGUUCCUUUAUUUAUGAUUCUCUCUUCUCUUUUCUAAACUGAAAAUUCAGCUUCCAAAUUAACCAAAAUAUAUUAGUGUGAUAUAUGAUAUUAUCAGAUAUAUCCAAGAAAAUUAGGUUUUUAAUUUAAGCAAAAAGGUUGCUACAACCACCUUUCUAUGUGUGAAGAGAUCGAAGGUAAGGGAUAUUAUGGGGUAAAGAAUUGAAAAUGGAAGGGGCGGGGGCAGGUGAAGAGUGUACGUAAAAAGAUGCAAAUAUGGAUAUGUACAACAACCAAUUGGUCAUGGGGUGCUCAAUACUCCUCUUAGGCACACCUUUGUCAAUGCUGUUUAAUAUGAAGAUAACAUUUUGGGUCUGUUUUUGUCGGAAGGUCCACCCCUAACAAUCACUUCUUCUUCUUCCUCUUCUUCUUUUCAAUUUUAUUAAAAUGGUCUUUUACAUAUUUGAACGAUCUCAAAAAUGAUUCUUUGAUAUAUCAUUUCAAUGCGAGUGGAUUAUUGAGUAUAUUUGCAGUUAUCAAGGUUAACUCAUGAUUUUUUGUGAUAAAAAAGAGGAUGCUUAGUUUUUUUCUUUUCUUUUUGGAUAUUUGAUAGUUUUGGUAUUCUUUACAUUGAUACCUUUUACUUAUUAUUGAUUUUGAGGAUGAUUAUGGAUGAAUAGUUUGUUGUUUUAGAAGAGUUUAGGUUCACUAAAAACCAAGGUAUUAAACCAGUUGACCAUUUUUUCACCUAGUCGUUCGUACUGUUAAUUACGUGAUUAAUAAGAUUAGUGUUUAUUGGGUGGAUGUGGCUUUAUUUGUAUUUCCAAUUCUUUAGCAGAUUUUUUUUUCUCUUUCAUAUUUUUGUGUGUAUGGAUUUUUUAGCAGAUUUGAGUUAAUUUUCUUCUUAACAUAACACCAAUAAAUAAAUUGUGAGAAAGUAAAUAUAUAUAUAUAUAUAUAUAUUAUUAUGAAACGAUCUUUCAUUUCUAGUCUUUUUUUUACAAUUAUUUUUAUAAUGACACUUAAAUUAUAUAUAUUGAAGAAACCCCUAAUGGUAGCACAAAUGUGAAAUGAGAAGAUAAAGACAAUGUUUAAGAGAUCCAUGAAGUAAAAGAGGGACUGCAUACGAACAAGAAAUUAAGACAAAGAAACCAAUAAUGUUACUUCCAUCUAUUGUAAUGGCAUGGAGGUAACGUUUUCACCAAUACAUGUCGAGAGCUAAGAGAUUUUAAAUUUAAAUCUUUCAGUUGUGUAUUCAAGAAAUGGUAGUAUUCAAAAAGGUAAAUAAUUGGUGUUAUAAAAUAUGAAAAAGCAUAGAUAGAAUAUAUGAAUUGAUUCACCGACUUCACUAGACUUGGACCGAUUGAUUACAAACCUUCCCUUUUUUCUUUUCCUAAACAAUAAUAAUAAAUCAACAUAGCAUUAACUAUCUUUGCUUUCUUUCAAUAGAGGCUGCAAGAGAAGGGGUUUUCUGUCAUCGCAUUUAUUGUGGCCCAAAUUUAUAUUGAAACUUAAACUUAGCAUUGACCCGAACCUCCACUCUCCACUCUCCAACCUUUAUAUCUUCGUAUUUGUAUUGAAAAAAGUAAUACUCAAUCAAAACUUGGUAUUUGUACCUUUAAUUUGAAAGUUGUAUAUUAUAAAUAGACCUCUAAUACAUAAUAAAACAUCCUUUCCAUCAGUAGUUUUUGAACCAUUAAUAAUAACUCUGAAGACUUGAAAAGGUUUAGAACAUGAGAAACUAUGAGUUAUGGAAACAUUUUCAAUCUAUAUUCUAUUCUAAAGAUUUUCAUCCAUUUUAGAUAAGCGAUAAGAGUUGCUUUGAAGGCCACUAAAAAGUUAAGAGUUUAGAAGAGCCUUUGGCAGAGGUGUAGUGGUAGCAAUACAAAAUCAUAAGAAACAAUGGAUGAAAGAGUUAUUACCAAUCUAUUUCUCUUGUGAACAUUGCCAUGCCACAAUGGCCCAACACAUUUUCCUUUUCCUACAUAUGGUUGAGGUAGCACUUUUUUCUUUCUUUAAAAAAGAAUUACUUAAUAUUGCCAUCAUUUUCAUUAAAGUGAUGUAUAAAUGUCCACAUCUAAUUUGCUUGAAGCAUAGGGUGAAAGACUUCCUUCUAAAUGAUUGCCACAUGAAUCACUUUCAGAUUGCCAAACACUCCCCCUAAUUAAAUGGUUUAAUUCAUACAUUAUGCACUACUACAGAACAUGAUCAGGUACUUAUGCUCUAAAAAGUACUCAAUAUGUAUUAAAUUUGAUUUCUUGUUAUAUCUGCUUUGUCUUUAAUUGGGCCACUUAUUUUCAUUCCAGACGUGAGUUGGGCCUUUUAUCCAUCGGUUGUGCUUCUCUAAUGACAAACUUUCAUAUCUAAACCAACGUUUUCUAAACAAUUUUACCCAUGACUAAUCCUACAAAUCAUUCUUCAGUACUUGAUUCAAAAACUUGCAAGAUUUAUAUAUACUCAUGAUGUUUAUGUUUUCUCCGUCAAUAAAAAAGUUUAUGUUGACAUAUAUGUUUUGACUAAUCCAUUCACUUCUGUUUGUUUGGUAUUUUGAAUAAAUUAAUCUUGUAACUUGAGUAGGCAGUGGUAGUAAUUAUUACACAAAAGUGAAUAAAUUAAAGAAAAUUGAGAAGAUAGAGUUUGGAGAGAUUUUAAUGGAGAUUGAAACGUAUGGAUUUGAUGUUGAACUAAUGAGUUGUGUCGGCAACACACACCUGAAGAAACUCCACACAACAAUCUAUCAUUAUUGUCUCUUCAAUUCCACGCCAUGUCCCCAAUUAUAUAAUAUAUAUACAUACACAUUACGAUCAUCCACGAACACUUCUCCAACAUUUUAAUUAUUAUAUGCUGCUGAAAUUUAUGUUUUUACUUUAUUGUUUCUGAAUCCCCAUCUUCAUUUCUUUUUGUACUGACUUAAAUGUUGUGUUCAUGUCAUUAUAUUUGUUCUGGGUCCGAAUUUUUUCAGCAAAUAAAAAUAAAUGUCUAUCCCUCUUUGUUUGAAUCCUCUAGAAUUUGUAAUAUUUUAUCAAAAUAUAGUUAAGAUGACAUUGGGUAUCAAAUGAAAGAAAAAGAAAACCGGCCUUAAGUGACUCUUUUAUUGCUUACCUAAAAUGGAUGAAACUUGAGUGUUCAUAGCCUUGCAUGUUUGACCCAAGCUAUCUAUCUAGGUUAGGUAUAUACUUUAUAAGACAUCACAUUAAAUAUCAUUCAACUAUUAACAUUGUGACAUCAAUCGGCCAAUAAUAUGUCGUAACACGCAUGGAACCUCCAAACAUUGCAAUUAGUGAUUUUGAAUUUUGUGUUUUAACUAUUUCAUUUUAUAGGACCGUAGUAGUUGAGUUUGUAGUGACAAAAUAACUAUUGUUAUUUCAUGUUGAUUUACAUGAUAUUGUAUGUUACUCAAUCGAUAGUGAGUAGUUAAAGUCCGUUUGGGUUGAUUUUUUAAGUAUCUAUCGACAUUUUCUUUAUAUUUAUGAGUAGUUAUAUAAACAAUUAGAAAAUUUAUCGAAACAUGUUCUUAGCGAUGGUGUUGAUAAUCACCCGGUAAUUAAUUUCAACCGAUUACAUAAAUGUUAGAUGUAAUUUUCUUUUUUUUUUUGUAAAGAAAGGUUAAACAUCUGAUAUAAUUUCAACGUUGGUAAUAAGUUUCAAUCACUACCCUACUUUUUGAUUCAUACAAUCAGUUGAACCAAAAUAAUGCAAGCAAAGAUUAGUAUAGAAAUAAUAUAAUGCAUGUGAGGAGGUUAAAAAAAUGAUGAAGUUUUUAGGUUGUAGAUAAUAAUGGUUAAUGGAAUUGAAUUGGGUAACAUCCAUAAGUAAGUAAUGUCGUAUCACCUUGAAUGUAUUCUAGUUUUUUUCUUCCUUUUUCUUUAUAAUAAAUGGAUUAGAUAUUUGGUAACUAGAAACGUUAAAAAGUGAAAUUGUUUAAUUUUGAGGAGUAAAUAAUAAAGUUGGAUGAAUUGCAUUAGGUAACAUCCAUAAAUUGACAAUAUGGUACUACGUUGAAUGAAUGAAUGAAGUAUAUGUAUACAUUUUUCUUAGAUCUUUAUGAAGUUGUAAAUUGUAAUAGAUGCAUUUAGUAUGGAAAUAAAUAUAAAUUGAUGUGUGUGAAUAAUGUUAUUGGAAUUUAUUUAAGAAAGUAGCAUGUGACAGUAGAAUAAUACGCCACUUAUUUCUACCGGAAAUUGAAGACUAUAUAUGAUAUAAUAUACUAUAUAAUAUAGUUAUAGACUUUAAUGUAUUUCUUUUUUGACUGCAUGAUAUUGUUUCAUUAAUUGAUAUUUUUCACAUCCACAAGAGAAAAGCCCCACAAAAGCCAAAGCAAACUGCUUGUUUCGUUUUCAUACCCUAUUUUUGUCUAAACUUUAAAAAAGAAUGGGAAAAAAAGUGAGUCAAAUAUCCGCCAUUCACGCCCAACACUCUCAAUCAAUCACAGCCACCCAUUUCUAUUUUCUCUCUUACUUUAUGAAAUUGUUAGCCAUAUAAUUAUAUAAUAAAUAUGAAAUAAAUCAGCCAAAAUAAAGUAAGGGCAUGCUUGUUAUUUUUAUAAAUUUUUAUGCUUUGUAUUAUUAUUUUUUUAAACAAAAUAUGAAUGUGGUUUGUGGGUAGUAGUUAACUUGAUUCUAAGAAAAGAAAUCAAUUCCAAGAAUAAACAAAGACGUGGAAAACUUAUAAAUGUAAUCAAAUGUAUAUAUUUGAGUCAUUUUAGUGUUAUUUUAUUAAGCUAGUUGUCCCACUCCCACAUUUAAUCAUUUAGAACGAUUAAGCAUCACUUGACAUAAAAGUACUAUAUUUUAUCAAAAUAAAUGAAAACAACGUUUAAAAACUUAUAAUUUUGGUAAGCAAAAAUACAGAUUUACCAAAUGAUUGUCUUAGAUAAUGGACCAUCUCCAUAGAAAACCAAAUCAAGAAAAAUAGUAAAGUUGCAAAAUUAUAGACAAACAGUUAAUAUAAAGAUGCAAAAUUAAUUUCCAAAACAGGGUUGAGAUAUUUGUGACAUGUAUAUAUAUAUAUAUAUGGGAUUUGUCCACGCACACUAAUUUCAAGAACCCUAAUCAUUAAAACUAGUGCAUAAGGUUUAAUGAGUUGAAAGAAAAAGCAAACAAAAGAUAUCAAAAGAGAAAAUAUUUUGCAUACAUAUUCUCUCCCAUCAAUUAUCAAAUAUGAUAAUAUAUAUAUUCCAAUCCCCACAAUAUCCCUAAAGAAAAAGAAAUUAUUUAUAAAAAAAAAAAAGUGCAAUUCUGGUUGUUCCCAUUUCUUCUCCCCCACUGCCUAUAAUGGACCACCACCGUAACUGUCCGGCGGACCCAUUGAAUUAAUUAUCACUCACCCUCCCCAUCAUCUUCUCCAAUUAGCCCAAGGAAAUUUUAUACCGAUCAACGACUUUGGAUAAAUGGUAAGGUUUUAGAUGCGGGAGGAAUGGAAUUGCCAAAAUGCAUGAAAGGAUCUAUGUAUUCAUGUUAUGGUCAUAGCCACAAAUUAAAUGGAAGACAAGAAAAAAAAUGAUCUGUCAUUAUUUGUUAGCAUUCCUUUGAGUAUAUAUCAAACAGCUUGGUUGAAAGAGACGAAAAUGGAGUCACGGAUAUGGUGCGGUGGUGCGUCCCCUUAUCUCAACUAAUUUAUGGUAUACGCUUUGGAGUAGGUAUUUCUUAAGGAGCAAUAUGGACCACCAAACCCCUCCAUAUCAAAUUUCUUGCAUACUUUGUAAUUUUGGACAUAUGCAUUCAUUGCAUCAUAUGACUCAAUAACUCUUCCCAAAGUAUCGGUUUCUAGGGACACCUUUCCCUACUUACUACCAAUAUUUCCUUUUCAUUUGUCUACAUUUAUAGAUUAGAAGAUAUAUUAAGCUUUUCUAUAUAUAAAGAAUUGGAAGAUUAAAAACAUAUUAAAAUUAUACCAUUUUGGUUUCUUUUUCUUCCAUUUUAGUUAUUAUACUCUAAUAAAUCUCAAAUUUCAGUCCGUUUGUUUUCACAAAAUUAAAUUAGUUAAAUAAUAUUAGUAAUAAUUUUUAUUAAAAGAAAUAUAACAUGUGAAUUCAUGUUUUCAUAUAUUCUAAAGUAAAAAUGUUAAUAAAUAAAUUUAAACAGUAAUAUUAAGUUUAAGAGAUUUUUGAAAUAAUAGAAUUACUCUAUGUGUCCAAUAAUAGAGAUAGGAACACAUGAUAAAACAAGGAAUAAAUGCAUCUCAAUUAUCGAUUAGUUAUGGUUACAAUAAACUAUCAUCUAGCGUAAGAAUCAAGGAAACAUAAACAAGAAGCUAUAAUAAUACUAUAACAAUGUACAUUUAUUUUAUUGCAAUAACCCAUUGAUAUAAUGGAAAACAAAAACAUUUGUAUAUCAUUUUAUAUAUCAUAUUGUUCCAGACCCCAAAAACAUAAAAGAUAAACAAGUUACCACUUAACCCACACGAAUAUAUAUAUAAAAGUAAAAAGCAGACACUAAAAAUAUAUAAUUUAAUCUUUGGUGGACUGCGGAUUUUGGUUUUGUGAAGAAAAAGCAGAAUUAAAUAUGAGGUGAAUUAAGCAAACGUAAAACUAGGAGAGAAGGAGAUAUAUAGUUCGCAUGCACAACUAAAUUAAAUAUAUCGUUUUUUUUCUUUCUUAAUCUAGAAGUGGAAUAACGAACAUUUAUGGCACGAACUCAUCGGGUUCCUCCUGAAAUUCUGCUUCAUCAUUUUGAUUCUGAUACCUUCCCAUGGAAUUACCGUACUGGUAUGAGUUCCCGUUGUUGUUGUUGUUGUUUCCAAAAUAGCCCCUGGAUGAUCUGCUGUAAUGGUGUGGCUCCCUGUUGAGGUCAUAAUAAUACUUUCCAUUCUCCAUGAAUCUCGUGUCGCUCAUUCCUUGUCGUACCACAUUAUUCCCAUUGUCAUUGUUGUUGUUAUCGUUGCGGUCUCCGUUGUUGCUGUAGAAGUUAUCGUAUUUUCCCUGGUCGUACAGAGGAGUUGUAGUGUAAUCGUCUCGGGAAAGGCGGGCAUUUGGGAAGCUUUGUCGUCCGUUGUCGUAAAGAUCCUUGUUGUAGUAAAACGAGUUCUUGUAUGGCUUCGAGCCGCUAUUUUCAAAAGUUUGGAAAUUGUUGUUGUUGUUGUCCUCGUCGUAGUUGUAGUACUCUUCUGACUCAGAUUUGUAAUUAGAAACAACGUCAUUUUUGAAUUUGUUGUUGUCGUCGUCGUCGUUGUAGGUGGUGGUAGUGGUAAAAGAGCGGCCAUUUUCGCGGCCGUUUUGAGAGAAGAAUUUGCUGUUGGAAUUAGGGGGGAGCUGACCGGAUUCGUGACCGUAUAGACCAUAGCCGUUGUCUUGGGUUUGAGGGAUGAAGUUUGGCUGUUGAUUAUUUUGUGAGGAAGUGGUGGUUUUUUCUGGAUUUGUUAAAGGAUCAACUUUCUCAUCGUUGGUGAUUUGGGUUUCUUUGGCAUCAAAGUUGUUGUCAACAUUGUUGUUGGGUAUUUUGCUGAAGAAGUACUUGCUUUCUCUUGCAUGAAUUUGAAGGAAGAAAAGAGUGAGAAUGAGAAUAGAAGUGAAUAAUGUGGGUGAGGAAGCCAUGAAUGGGUUGGGUUGAAAGAAGAAGGUAAGGAGAAGGUAAGAGAGGGGAUAAAAGGGUAUAUUGUGUGUGAGUGUUGUUUGAACUGUGUGUUGUGUUGUUGUGUGUAUAGUGAAGGAGAGUUGGGAUAGGUAACAUUUUAUUUUAUAGGCCCCUUUUGCUUCUCUACUCAUUAGGUACAAGUGGGUUGGGGGAAAUUUUGAUGUUGGUGGACCCUACUCUUUACAACUACUUGAAAAAGUCGUUGUUUUAAUUACCAUAAUUUCCAUUAUCUUUUCGCUUAAUUUAUGUGAUCAUUUGUAUUUGUUUUAAGUCAUAUAUUUCAAUCUUUACUAAGUUUAUAAAUGAAUAAAAAAAAAUUUAAUUCAUAAUUAAUAUUGAUUUUUAAAAAUAUAAUAUGUGCAAACUUUUAUCAUUGUGAAAUCCGUCUUAGUUAUUUAGGCGUUUUAAAGAAAGAACUACGUACAUGCUACUUAUACGACACGAGGAAGAAGUAGUUGUGUGUUUUGGCUAGGCAACACACAUUAAUUUGGAUUAGUCAGCAAGUUACGUGUUGGAUUAAAGUUAAGCAUGAUUAGAAAAAAUAAUAAACCUACACAUGGAUGAUCAAUUUAAAUAUUAUUAAUUUGAUUUAAGAUUAAUAUAAAUAAGUUUUGCAAGCUCAAAUGAAAGAUUGCAAACAAGUGUUAAGCUUAAGUUCGGUAAAAAAAAAUGGUUUGAGAGAGAAGAGGAAAUUGUAAAAUCAUGUGAUAAUAAUGUUCACAAACAUUAUUCAAAACAACUACAUUUCUUUUUUAAACAGCUGGAAUUUUUUUUAAUAGUUAUAUAUUUAGUAUUGGAUGGUAAUUAGGUAAGUAAAUUUUUUAUAUUUGAAAAGACAAUUGUAGAAGACGAGAGGUUAAAAGCAAGCAUAGUUUAAUACAUUAGAUCAAAAUAGGGUAGAAAGAGAAAAAAAGAAUAAUAAUCAUUAAAAGUUUUAAUUGUGGAGAGUGAAAAACCAAAGGUAGAGUGUGGAGGUAAGUUUUAAUUUUGUUAUUUGUAAGGGUGCAAAUGAAGUAAUGCAUACUUUGAAAGCUAACCGGAAUUUGUGAGUGGGCAAUGUAAUUAUUGUUGAUUAUGAACUGAAAAUUUGUGAUUAUUCGUUGAUUAAUUAAUAAGGAAAGAUGGAUUCAUCCUUUAUGAAUGGAUGUAUCUAAUUGAGUGUGUUAUAUGCCUUUUGAAAUCAAAUUAAAGUUUAGAUUAAAUUGAAUAUGCACAAAUGUUGAGACACUAAUGAAUUAUUAUUAUGAAUAAACAAUAAGUUUAUACAUAUUUGGAUAUAAGAAAGAUGGAAGGGAAAUUAAUUAUUAGGCCGUGCGGUGAUUCCUCUUUUGCUAUCCUUGGAAGCAAACACCAAAUGAAUAAUUAAAAGGAUGGAAGGGGUAGAACUUUACACUUUUGUCUCUCUAUUUUUAUGUAAUAUUUUAAAUGAAUAUGGGGAAAUUUUUAUGCAAAGAAAAAGAAAAAGAAAAAGGAAAUUGAAUUUGGUUUUUCAAGAGGUGGAUAGAUGGGAAAGAAAUAAAGUGGGAUUUAGGUGUAGCAAUUGAUGUUGGGGUGUUGAAAAAUGUUGGAAGCUAAAUAAUAAUAAUAAUAGAGUUGUGCAAUAAAGCUUUUAUUUUUAUUUGCUACAACUAAACCAAUACCAAAUCCUACCUCUAUUUAACUGCACCUAAAAGUGAGGUGUUCAGGGUGGUAGUUUAAUUUUUGACCAAUUCUAACCAUCAUCAAACCAAAGAAAAGAUCUUCCUUCAUUAAUAAAAUAUCAAAUAUUUAAUUUUCUAUAUGUUUAAUAAAUACAAUUACUGUUUCAAUAAAUUGAAAAGAUAUCAUAUUAUCACUUUGGUUAACUCAAGAGAGAAAUACAAAACAAAAUCUCACACACUUAUGUAAUAUUUUGCCUCUCAGUAUUUAAGUUAAUCUCACACAACAUUUAUUUGGAGUCUAGUUGAAGACUUUGCAUUAUUGAUAAGAGUGAUAUUAUCUUUUGAGUAAUAUGCUUUAUCAAUUGACUUGGUCACACGACCCUUAAGGACUUUCAUUCUCUUUUUGGAUGGAUGAACAUGAUGGGUCUAGUGGGUUAGAGCAAUAAGUCAUCAUAUCAUUUAAUUUUUCACAUUAUAUAUGGGUUGGUUCAAACCCAAUUGUGUCCCUCUGUACUGUAUAAAAGAAAAUUUACAUUAGGAUACUAAAAAAUUAGAAUAAAAUGUCCAAUAUUACAAGCUAUUGAGGAGUAGUAUAAGUUGAAAAUAGGAAGAAAUAUGGAUGGAUGGAUGAUUAUAUGUGUGUAUAUGAUAUAGAAGAAGAUUGAAAAGGGGAAUGUGUGGUAGAUUAAGAAGUAGGAUUUGGGAAGAGAGAAAAGGAGUAAUGAUAUGUGGGGGUUGUUGUGGGACAAACAAAAUAAUGGCAUUUAGUGAAAGGAUCAUGUGGGCUUUAAUUUCAGAAGAGACCAAAAAGGGAUGGCGUUGGCUAAGGCUAAGGAUGCACCCCUUGCCCUUGGCUUGGCCUUAUCAAACAGCUCAGUGUGCAGAAGGGUCCCACUCCCACGCCCCCUCCACCUUCUCAGGCGCGACCUCCGUUUUGUAUUAUACCCUAAACCCAAUCUCCCGCUCCCCACCACCUAAUCUUUUGACCUUUCCACCUUCACCCACAUUCAUCCCCUAUUUUCUCUACACACACUUUCAAUAUUCAUCCAUUCAUUAUUUCCCUCCCAAUCUUUUCUCUUUUCUCAUUUCUCCACUUUUUUUUUUCUAUUUUUAACUUGUAAAAUAUUACUCCAAACCAUACCUCUCUAUUUAAUUUCUAAAUUAAUUUUAAAAAGCUUACUGAGAGUGACCUCAUGACAUUUGGAAAAAAAAAAGAGAAAGGAAUAUGUUCUUAUAAUUAACUACACUCCCAAUAUUUUCAAAACUAAUAUCAACACAGAAUUGAAGUGUUCCAAAGGGAAAAAGCUGGGGAGUAAGUUAAGUAAAGGAAAGUUCCACAGGCUUUGGACUACUGAGUCAAUACUUGGUAAUUGCUAAAGAAAAAAUAAUGGUAAAGAAGAGAAAAUGAAACUAAAAAUAAAAGUGAAAGUAAAAGAAAAAAAAAAGGUUUAAAGAUGUAUUUUAUUAAAGGUAAAGCUCCAGUGCUAAUUUAAACAUAAACCAGACCUUUCAAAGAAAUCUGAAUAAGUUUACCUUUUGAACAAUCAGUGUAAUGGAAGCUAUUAUCAAAUAGAUAAAAUCUUUUAAGUCCAAGUUAUGAACAACAAAAAUAUACUAAAUUUUACUUAAAAGAAAGCUUUACGUAAAACAAAGAUGUUUCUGUCAUAAACUUUGCACUAAAUUCAUCAUUUAAAACUCUACGAAUAAUAAUGCAGCAUUACCUAUGCAAUUUUUUUUCGGUUAGCAACUUUGAUGUUUGAAUGUGAUAUAAGUGUGAUUGGACUUUAAAUCGGUGCACACGUCUUCCAUAUAUUGAACAUUAAAUUAGAAAAUAAUAUUGUAAAUAUAAUUGACGUUAGAUUAAAUAAAGGGAGAAAAAUAUCCAUAUAAUUUUUGCAUAAACAGAAAGAAAAGUGUAUGCUUUUGUUUUGGGAGUGUGUUGUAAUGAGAAUUAGAAUGUGAUAGUCAAAUGUCAACAUUAGUAGUUUGACAAUUAAAUGAAGUUUGUUGUUUUAUUUUUCCUUGGAAUAAGUGAGAAUUAAUGCGUGAUUAGCGGUGAUUGGUAAACCACUUUAUUUGGAAAUUAAUAGAAACAUUAAAGAAAAUGAAAAGUUAGAUAUUAGUCUUUUUCUUUUCUUAUAAUUGGCAAUAAGGAAUAAAGUGAAAACAAAUAUAAAAUAAAGUUAAAGUAAAACAAAAUGAAAGUAUCCAAUGAGAAGGUUAAAUUUAGGUUCAAAUUCCACCUCUCUAAUCUCUAGACUUCCGGUGGCUAACCCAACCCCCCAAUUAAAAUAUGUCUCAUUUUGUAGGAUUCUUUCAUACAUUUACGUUUACCUAAGAAUUUGAGCCCAACUGUUCUUUUUUUUUUUUUUGUCUUAUUUUAUUUCAAAACGUUGUUUUCAUAACAAAUUUUAACGUGUUCUUUUCCUUCUUUCUCUUACAACGAUCGUUUUAUCCUUUCUUCUAUGCAUUUCAUUGCCAAUGUUGACAACAAUGAUAGUGAUGAAGCUGUUUUUAUUCUUUGUCCAAUAAUGCAUGGUUAUUAGUGACAAUAAAUAGAGUCUUUUAAAUAUCAAACCAAUUAAAUGUGAAGGGUAAGAAGCAGAAAGUGAAAUAAAAUUGGAACUAGAAGAGAAAAGUGAGCUAGAAUAAGAAUAAAAACAAGAAAGCGAUAAGGAACUGAGCUAAGAGUUAAAAAGUAGUUGAAAUUGGAACUAAAAUUGAAACAAGAAUAGGAAAGUGAGCAAAGACUAAACCAUGAAAGUGAACAAAGACUAUAACAGGAUAAGAAAAAAAGGAAAAAAAAGCAAUCAUAUUAAGGAUUAGUAAGUUUGUAACACCACAAAGAAAUAAAUAACUCUAAAUUAAUUUUUCCAGAAACUAAGAACAUGGGAACAAAAAUCCAAAAUUUUAGGUGUGACUUGGAGCAAGGUGAGGAACAACUCGUUAAAGUAUAUGGAUAUUAACGAAAUAUGCUUGUAAUGUAUCCACUACUUAUGCCUUUUCUUCUUGUUUCUUUCCUUUCAUUUUCUCUCUCUCUUUUCUUUUAAAUGUUGAAUGGUGAUUUGACCCAAUUAAGAAAUUGAUCUCAGGCUUUUAGAUUUAACCAUUCAAUUGUGGAUAAGGUUUUCUUGCAGAAGGAAAUAAAAUAUAUAUACAUAAUUAGUGUUAUAGCGUUGUGAACAAUCCAAGAAAUAAAUAGCAGUUGCAAUCACACACACAGUUAUGGAAGUUCAGAAUAACCACACAAACAAAUUAGUUUGCAUUCAAAGUUUUGAAUUUGAUGGUUCCUUUGAAUCCCUCUCGUCGAUGCCAUUGCAGCCCAAAUUAAAAGCUUCCUUUAUCCCUUCUGUGUGCUUCCAAACAGAGACGAAUUCACAACAAACUCGAACCACAAUUUGUUGUCUUCUCUAAUUAUUAUUUCUUGCAUUUCUCAGCCUCAAUUACUUUUCAGCCACACGCAUUAAUGAAAACAAAGAAACUCAGAACUUUGUUUAUAUCCCAACUGCUCUUUUACUUAUACACUUUACAUUAUUCAGCCAUUAAUAAGUUACUAAAAACCCGAGGGCCCAAACAAUCAAUUUACAGCAAAAACUUCAGAGUUGUAUCAAUCAGUGGAAGAGAAUGGAUUCCAUAGAAGCAGAGUAAACAGCAACAUAUUGGGAAUCAUAAUAGGGAUUAAGGGAUGAACAUCGCUGCCGAGACGUUUUCUUCUAAGCCUCAUUCUGGCGUAGUUUAUCCUCUGUUCAUCAUCCCACUGAGCAGGGUGGACGCCCUUAGCGAGAAUCAAAGGCGGUGGAAGUUGAUAAGGGCAUUUGGAUCGCCAGGAGGUUUUGGGGAGGCCGAAUCGGGAGAGUUUUUUGAGGAAGAGGGAGAAACCCCAUUGGAGGUGAAGUGAGAGAAAGGGGAAAAUCGAAGAUUUAGGGCAGAGGAGAGGAGGGUAGUCCCAAUUGAGGUAACAGGGGAUUUUGGUGGCGAUGAAGAAUUGAGAAGCGAGCGGCGGAGCGGUGGUGGGGCAGAGCAGAAUGUGGGUUAGGGCUUGAAGCUUUUGAGGCCAUGGUGCUUCUUCCAUUGUUUCCUUCAUUGGAAGAAGAAUUGACAGCAUCAGAUGAGGAUUGGAGAUGGAGAUUGGAAAUAUCGUUGAGAGAGCUUCGAGACUUAGGGCUUAUUGGGCCUAUUGAUACUUGGUUCUUGUUGGGCCUAUGAAUUUGGGCUUAAUGACUUAGCUUCAGUUUUUUGUCUUGGGCUUUCACAGUUUUGGAUCCGGAGGAGAAGAGGGCAGGACACCGAUAUUUGGAACAAACCAUAGCCCACAAACAAAUUUUUAUUUAAAGUUCUAAGAUCAAAAUUUAGACAUUAAAAUAAAUAAAAUGUAUGAUUUCCAAUUACGUUGAUUUUAUUUGGAAAGAUGGCCUCAUCUUACUAAAAUAAUAAAAAAAGAAAAAGAACCCAAUGACUUAACUAAUAGCUUGAGGUAAUUGCAUGGUGAUUAAGAAAACAAUUCAUGCUUGGUUACAAUAAUAUUUAGGAGAAGAAAAAUGAAUUAAACCCAUAAUUUGAUAAAGAAAUAAAAUUAAAAGAAGAAAGAGUGUGACGUGGCUUUCCCAAAUCGAAUGAUGGGAUUCCAUCUGGAAGCUUCCACAGUGUUCUGGAUCUCUGUUGUUCUUCCAGACUCAUCCUUCUGAACCCCUUUUCUACGCCCCGACGCUUCUUCUCCCAACUCCAAUUGCGAUUCUCUCCAGCUUUAACAACACUACAAUUCUAGCUUCCAACUUUUUGCAGAUUUAGAUCAACAACAAGUCCAAGGGAGGUCCAGAUUCACAUGGGUGUAGAUUAUUACAAGAUUUUGCAGGUAGACAAGAGCGCUAAAGACGAUGAUUUGAAGAAGGCUUACAGGAAACUUGCCAUGAAAUGGCAUCCCGAUAAGAAUCCCAACAAUAAGAAAGAAGCUGAGUCUAAAUUCAAACAGAUUUCUGAGGCUUAUGAGGUAAAAUUCCCUUGUUUCCGUCUCUCUCUCUCUCUCUCGAUUGAUUAAUUUAAUCGUCUCGGUUUUUGGGUUCUGAAAACUUUGUGUCGAUCAAUGAAACAAGUUUGUUGUAGGAAUUGAUAACUGUUCUGGUCGUUGUUUCGAAUGCUAAUAUUCAAUUGUGGGUUUCUAUUGAAAUUUGUGGCAGGUUUUGAGUGAUCCACAGAAGAGAGCGAUCUACGAUCAAUAUGGUGAAGAAGGCUUGAAAGGUCAGGUACCUCCUCCAGGCGCCGGAGGUCCAGGUGGAGCAUCGUUUUUCCAAACUGGGGAUGGACCAACGGUGUUCAGAUUCAACCCUAGAAAUGCCAACGACAUCUUUGCAGAGUUCUUUGGAUUUUCGACUCCAUUUGGGGGAAUGGGUGGCGGCGGCGGCGGCGGCGGCAGUGGUAUGGGCAUGAGGGGCGGUCCCAGGUCAUUCGGUGGUGGCAUGUUUGGGGAUGAUAUGUUCGCUUCAUUCGGUGAUGGCCAGCCGAUGAGCCAAGGCCCACGAAAAGCUGCUCCAAUUGAAAGGAGAUUGCCAUGUAGCCUUGAAGAUCUCUACAAAGGCACCACCAAGAAGAUGAAAAUCUCAAGAGAAAUAGCUGAUGCUAGUGGGUAUGUGCUUUCAUCUCCAUUCCUUGCUUGUUUUUCCAUGGUUUUGAGUCGAAGUAACUCCAUGAAUAACUUCUCUUUUUACUCAAUAUGCAGGAAGACAUUGCCGGUGGAAGAGAUACUUACGAUAGAAAUCAAGCCUGGUUGGAAAAAGGGUACAAAAAUAACAUUCCCAGAGAAAGGGAAUGAGCAACCAAACGUGAUACCAGCAGACCUUGUUUUCAUUAUAGAUGAAAAGCCACACAGCACAUUCACAAGGGAUGGAAAUGACUUGGUCGUUACAAGGAAAAUCUCUCUUGCUGAAGCCUUAACGGGUUACACAGCUCAUGUGACCACACUAGAUGGAAGGAGCCUAACCAUCCCAAUUAACAAUGUCAUUCAUCCAGACUAUGUGGAGGUUGUACCACGUGAGGGCAUGCCAAUACCAAAAGAACCCUCCAAAAAGGGGAACUUGAAGAUCAAGUUCGACAUCAAGUUUCCCACAUACUUGACUUCAGAUCAGAAAUCUGGGAUUAAGAAACUUCUAGUGUCUUAAGACUCUGGCGCUUGCUUCACUACUGUACAAAAAAAAAAAAAAAAAGGAAGUAUGCUUAAGGGUCUGUAAUUGUAAUCGUAAUGCAAAUCUGUUUUAUUUAAACGCUGUACUCGAGGCUUCCUCGUGUUUGAGGUAACUAUAAAUGUGGAAUACUUCAGGACGAAAAGCUGAUUUUGAGCUUGUUAAAGGUGUUGAGCUGUGUCUAUGCUGGGAGUGAUGUCUUUGUUGGUAUUUUUCUUUUUAGUAUAAUGAUUAAAUUUUGAUAGUUCAUAGUGUAUGCAUGAAAUAAAUAGAAAAUUUAAUAAAUACAGAGAAUGGCACUUGGAAAUAAAACAAGGCCUUGUAAAAUUUCAACGAUUCUGCAGUGUGAUCAAGUCAUGUUUUUUCCCCCCCAUGUAGAACAACUUGUAGCAACUAUAACUUUACAAAUUUUUAUUAUCAAAUAAUCUAGGAUAGGAUGAUACAUUUUCCAGUAAUAAAUUAGACUAAAGAUCAUCUAGAUAAUGUCAGUCAUGGGGGAUUCUAAAACUAAAAUAUAUUUGGUUUGGGGAAAAACUGCUAUUUUGUUCCCCUGUACACAAAUUCAGCCGCUAGUUGAAGGGUAUCAAAAUUAUGCACCUCCUUAAUGUCUGAUAUUUUAUUUAGUCACUAUAGUCGUCUGAAACAGCGGAUUCUCCUCCACCAUUGUUGCCUAUCCUAUUUGGUGAACAAUCCGACUCCUCGCUGCUAUCAACAUCUAAUUCCUCUAUAUCAUCAUUUCCUCCCUCUUCAGUGCCAUUGUAGUCAGAUAAAUCCACAUCCUCAUCACUACCUAUCCCUAAAUCACCAUUCCAUCUGUUGGAAGUCCCUUCAAACCCAAACUCCCAGCCCCCUUGCUCAUAUCCAACUUCCUGGCCAUCGUCGGAGUCCAUCUGUUCUACGUUGUUUACAUUCUCUUCAUUCUCCUCAUUUUCCUCAUCUUCCAUCAUAUUCUCUUCAUCUUCCAUCACAUUCUCUUCGUCUUCCAUAUCGACAAAUCUAUCCAUUUUUUCAUCCUCCCAUUCCCCAAGAUAAUCUUUUGGGGAUUCAUCUAUGUUCUGAGUGCUACUACUAGGCACUAGCCCUGACAAUCCUUCAUCUGGAAUGCUCUUCUCAGCCCUCCUUUUCCUUACUGUACGGCGGCCGCGUAUGCCCAUAAGCUGAGUUCCUUGUCCCAGCUCUCCCUGUCCUUGAUUAAUCUUCUCGUUACUCUUGACAUUUUGCCGGACCCGGCCAGAUCUGGAUCCAUUAACUUUUUUCUGCCACUUCCUACGACGUCCAAAAUCUCUACUUCCUCUACCGCGUUUAUAGCUGUUCCUUAAACUUUUUGGAUCGGCUGAGUUUUCGUUCUUCAUCAGAUCAUCAUAAUCCAAGCCAUUUAGUUUAGUCCGCUCAUCAUUCUUAACCUGGACAUAUCUACUGGAAAAGUUCUGCAAGGAGACAAGUACAUAAGUUCUAAAGUCUAAUAAGAAAGCAUAAAAGAAAAUAUAACUUGCUGUUAUAAAUUCUCUAAUAACGAAGCAAUAAGAGAGAAUGCAACUUACUAUAUGUUCUCCGAGUUCCUUGUCCUGGUCAGGCUCUGGUUUCUCACAUCCAAUAUAAUAAAUUGAUGCAUCUACCUCACAAAGCCUUAAACCAACAGCUGCACUAGUCCGUGGAAUCCACGGUAAUGUAAUUACCGAUCCAAUAUCUGCGGGAUCAUGUAUAACAUUCCCAGAGAUAGAACAUGAACUUAGGUGCUCGUCAGUUGUAGUGAAGUCUGAUUUUAGAAAGUCUCGCUUAAUUACACUUUCAAACAUGGUCAAUAACUGUAAAGUUCAGCAAGAGGAGAUAGUGGUUAAAGCAUCAUCCACGGGAAAAAUAGAGAAAACAGAAAAACUAGAAACAAUUAGAAGAUUUGAUAUAGUUCAGAAUCAAAUACAAAGAUUAGACGCAGGCAGCCUUUAGUAAUGCAUAUUGCAAGGUGCAUGUUAAAUAUGUAGCCAGAAUUUAGAUAUCAAUUUCAAGUUCAACAAAAUAAACAUGGAUGUAGAGUGAUGAAAAAUCAAUUGACCAGUAAAUCCAAGCGUCUAAUUGAUGUUAAAAAUAUAACUCAGAAAUGUUAACACAAGUUCCUAUUGUUUCAAGCAGAUGGUAACAAAUUACUUUAGUAGUGGAGUAGGAUAGCCUAUCAUGACACAAGUAACCAAGAUUUAGGAUGCCGGCAGUGGUUUAUGGAAGUAACAGACAACCGGUUUAGAAGAUCCAAGGGUUGGAGAUUGGUAUCUAAAAACUUUAACGUGAGGCCAGCACUUGAAAAUGCAGAAAUACCUGUAGAAGCUCCUCAAUAGAAGAAGAUAGUUUCAUCCUGACACCCCACUCUUGCCUAUGUUCUGUCCAAAAUGAUUGAAAAGCUUCCGACGGAACAUGUACCUGUGAAAAGGCAACUCAAUGAUGUGUAAGUCCCGAAAGCAGUAGAGGCAACCAAAUUGCAGGCAUUAGCCUUUAAGUCUAAAAGAAAAAUAGGAAUUAAUUGAAAAUUGGCCUCAAUGGUUACUGCUUACCUCAAUGAAAGCUAGGAAAGCCUUGAGCAACCUACUUUUGAGGGGAAGAGAUGCAUCUAAAAAGUGUGUAUCCAAAGGGCUAGACUUCCUUUCCCUCUCACAGUGACGUGUGUGUUCUAGAAAAUUAAUAUCAUUCCCACCAACACCAAAAGUUUGAUGGCACGAAGGACAGUGAGAAUGUUGAGAAUCAAACAAGCACAGACAAGAAUCACAAAUGUCAAACAGUGAAUUGCAUCUUUUUUCUCCAAAUUUCAUGGCACAUAGCGUAGAUGUGCUAAAGCACUCUCUUAACAUCCACCUCUGCAAGUCUUGAUACCGUCUAAAUGCAUUCUUCUUUUCGUUUUCAUUUCUCCCAAGCUCAAUUCUGAAUGAAGAUGAUGUUACCAUUGUAUCCAAAUUUAAUCCGCAAACAGUACUGCUAGGACUGUUAAAACCAGCAGUGCAAUCAGGACUAGAGCUUGAAUAAUCAUUUUCAUUUUUAGGAGUAAUUCCACUUUGAACCAUCUCAUUGGCACACUGCAGAUUCCUCCUAACAUUUUCCUUAAAUGAUGUCUCUAUCAUUUGCAACAUUAUGCGUAAGUGUGAUUCUCUAAUCCCACGUGUGUCCAAAGCCAAUGAAAGAGCAUCAAAACCCUACAAACAAGAGAGCAAUUAAUUUCAAAAGUCGAAGUAUAGAUGUCAGAAUCAAAACACAAAGGGCUGAGUUUGAGCCAAAGAUAACAAUAAUUAACAAAUAAAAUAAACAUCACCCUUUUGAGAGAUGAGAUCCUACAAACAAAAGAAGCAGGAUCUUAUAUAAGAUAAACCAAACACCAAAAAAAACAUUAUGUCUACCUCUUCAGAAUCAAUAAGCCUCCAGUUUCCAUCGUACAUUUCAACAAAGAUUCUCCCAGAACCAGGAUCAUUGCUUGAAGAAGAUGCAACAAAUUGCCAAUACCGAUUACGCCUACGAUCUCGACCAAGAGGCAAAGAUCUGUAUGUGUACAUUUCUUCAGCUCUAUGGGCAAUAUAAGAUUUUAACUGUGAACGUGACCUCUUUGAAGCAUGUCCACAUUGCUGAGCCAAGAAGUUAUCUGGACCUGGGAAAAGAUCUGGCACUAAAGUACCCCUCUCAUUAGGCACACUACUGUGGUUUUCUGCAGUGCUUGGGGUUGUUUCAUUGUUCUUAUUGUCAGCGACAGGAAAAGGGCUUUGCCCACCAUCCAUAGUGGAACCGUUGAGUUCAAUUUCCACCUUGCUUACUAUAUGAAUUGGAAAAUCAGAUUUAGUAAUGAUCUCUUCUUUUAGGCGAGAUUUAUCAAUCUGAGCCUCUGUCAACAUUUGCUUCUUAACAGCAUUUGCAGCUUCCAAGCGAUCCUAUAUAAUUGUUACUCAAAUCAAAAUCCUCCGAUAGAAAUGAAUUGAAAACAUUUAAUAACUAUCAUGAAGAAGUUCCAUACAUCAAACCAGAAGUAAUGUUUACCUCAAGGACAAGGCGAAUAGAGUUUCCUUCAUUUGCAAUACUGGUCAAGACAACAAGGGCAUUCAAGCGCUCCUCAACACUAAGAUCAUGGUAUUCACCUUCUGUAAGUCCUUGGAUCCAUGAUUCACCUUCCUUGCUUUCAUCGAUCUCCAUAUUUUCUUGAUCAAGGUCACUGAUAGUAGUGUCAUCAACAGCAGCAUACUGCUCUGUAGGCAUGCUUAAAUAUUUUGCAUCCUUAGAAUCACUUAGAGGGAAUGGCAAUACAUCUUUGGCAAUAUCAUUUUGUAGAUUUCCAGCAAUAUCAUGACAUAAGUUCUCAUUCUCAACUUCCAAGUUCACAUCUCCUUUGCUAACAUCUUCAUUCACCAAGGAAGUCGUCGCUAUAUCAUCAACUUCAGGAUCUUCGUCAACAUCAUCACAUUCAGAUUCUUCAUCUCUUUCAACAUCAUCGGCAUCUUCUCCAGCCAAGAACCCAUUCUGGAAUACCUGAAUUUUCUUUCUAGCUACAGAAAGUAUCUCAUCGGCAUCAUCUGGAUCCUUCCUAUAGGGGGCUCGUACGCGAUAUGUGGAAGGAGCUAUUCUUUCAAAAAGCUUAGUAUCCCUUGUCAAAGCAACAGAAAUGGAAGCCUCCGGUGUUUUGCUUGUAGACAGAUCUCUAAGUCCUGAUCUCUACAUAAUUGACUUGUGGGUAAGAUUUCUUAAUUAAGAUUCGACAGCAUAACAAACUAUAUUAUCAAUAUUCUCAGUCAACCUUAAUAUUGGGCUCACCUGUAUCUUCUCUGCAAGCUCUAGUACUGUUAGCCCCUCACUGCCUUCUAGGGAAAGAACAUGAAAAGCAGCAAAUUUGACAGUUCCAGGAGUUAGCCGAUGCCUAGAUCUGCGAGGAGCUAACAAACCUUUUUCUUGCAUGAUAGCAAAUGCAUUUUCAGCGGCUGAACCAUUGCGUAAAGUAGAAACUACGUCCUCACCGCAUUUAGCCUACAAAACAAGAAUAACUCAAUAAAAGAAAAGAAUGAAAGUUUCAUUUGAAUAUUAAAAUUUUUGCACGUACUUUGGAAGGUCAAAAUUAAUAAUAAUGCAGGAGUCAUAUCUAUGAUCAGGCAUUGCCUUGGAUCUAGAUCAUGCAGCUGAUCCAAAAAAUUGAUUUUAAGUAUUAACACUAAACAGAAUAGCCCCUUCACUAUGUCCAGCACCAUCUCCCUACUUCCUUGUCGACAUUGUUAGUUCAGGACAGUGCAUUUUCUAGUAAUUAAGUACAAAAAUUAGAGAGUUCUAUGUAAUAGAAGUAAUUGCCCGUUGCUAAAGUAUUGAAGAGUAGACCUCAUCUUUGCUACGCAUUUCAGACAUUGCCAAACUCCUCUUUUUCAACUGAGGUCCAUGUCCAGCUGAUAGUGCUAAUUGUCUAAAUAUUUCUGGCCAUGUUAAUGGGUUUAAAUGCUUCUGCCAAUUGCAAAUGUCAAACCCCCAUGCAUAUGCCUGACACAAAAAAUAAAGGUCAGAUGGUUUCGAUAAGAUUCAGAGAGACCCAUCUUAGAAUAUACAAAUUAUUAUUAUUAUUCAAAAUGAUUACCCCUUCAACAAUCUGCGGAUGUCCGCCUCCAGAAUUGGCAACACCAUUCUGGUUCAUUCCCAUUCCAGUAGAAGGUGUUCUUGCAACAUCUUCAAUAUCUUUUACAAUCAGUCUCAAAAGGCAAAUGUGAAUCUCAGCCAGCAAUCUCGAAUCCUAGUAUUGAACAAGGGUGUCAAAAUGGAUAGGUAAUGAACUUAAAAUUAUUUUACGGGGGAGAAAAUGUCCUUAUAGGUGACUUACAUAGUCAUGAAGAGCUUGAACAAACUCAUCAAGAGUAAAGGGCCACAGCUCUAGAACAUCAGAAAACGUAAUAAAAAAUCUCCAGACCUGAGAAACAAACUCAAGAUAUUUAGGUGACAUUUCUCCUAUCAAAAAGAUGUUCCAACAACACUACCAUGCCCCUUCAAGUGGUCAUUGAAUUAUAAAAAGGAGGCUUUGGAAUGUACCAUGAGAAGGUUACCAAUGUUCUCCUCUGAAUUGACCCAAGGCUGAAUGCCGAAAGGUUUCUUCAGUUGCACAGACUUGGGUGGAAAUGCACCAAGAUAAUCUGGAAAACAAGAUGUCAACAGCUGACUGUAAGAUUCAGAAGUUUACAAGACAGAACAAUAAUGAUAAUGAUGAUAAUAACAAUGGUAUUAAUAAAAAAGUCAAGGCUAACGAGAUCAAGAGUCCUAAAAGUGUCUUAUCAUAAUAACAAAAACUCUCUUUUUACUUUGAGCUUGCAUGCACCUUGACUAUCCUAAUGGGAAUAGCUGCUAAGAAAACUCAUAUAAAAUAUCGAAAUCUAGGUAGGCGACCACUAGGGAUUGAAUCGUGUCCUUCUAAGCCCUUUAUUAUUUACAUAGUUCUUAUUUGUGUACGACCAGGAGCAAUCAAUCUGAUUUGUCAUUUUGACGAAGUAAUUGGUAUGUUAGUUUCAAAAAUACAAAUUAAUUGGGCUUUGAGCAUAUACUUCACUCAUUUUGGACAUACAAAGAAAUACAUGGAAAAGGAAUUGUCAUUCUUAAUAAAUACAAAUAUUUGAACUACCAAACAAGCAGCGCCAUUUAGCUCACAUGACUGACACCAAGUAUGACCUAAUCUUACAAAAUAUUUGAGGUUAAGAAACAAUGCAAACCUCGGAAAGAUUCAAGAUUCUGCAAAGUGUCGUGAUCAAGAUUUAAUAUGGAGGAUAAUCCUUUGUUCGCGGCAGCCAGUUCCAUCAGUUCAAGCUGUUCGUCCUCAAUAAGCUCCAUAGACUCACGGGCAAUUCUACGAGCAGUAGCCUUCUCAAUAGCAGCUUUGCGCCUCACAGCUUCCUUCUCUUUGCGAAUAGCUUCUUUUUGUUUCCUCUUUUCAGCCUAGAGUUAAAGUAAAUAAUGGUUAGCAAGGAUAAACAAUUACCUAUUUUAGUAAUUUCUGUAAGAACCCAGCAGCAAAGGAGAAACAAACACUUGAACCUGCUUAACCUACCCUCAAAUACUCCCUCUGCAGAAACUUUUCCCUUCGUUCAUGUUCACGUCUUUCCUCACGCUUCAAUCUCUCAGCUUCACGCUGCUUUUCUCGCAGUAACCUCUCCUCCUCUCUUCUUCUUUCGCGAUCUUGCUUUUCCAUUUCUUUCCUCAUUCGUUCUUCAUUCUACCGACAAGAAAAUUAUUGUUGGUAAGUUUCCUUCAGUUUUUCUUACAGAACACAGGGUACAUAUUGUAAAAAAACCUCUGUACUACAAAAUAAAAUAAUAGCAUAAUUAUUUUACAUAACAAAAUAAUAAAUGAAAGAAUAAAAACCUUUUUCCUCAAAAUAUCUUGUUUUUCAAGCUCUUUCCGCAUUCUUAUUUCGUGGGCUUCAGCUUCUUUGCUCAAACGAGCUUCUUCACUCUAUGAAGGAAACCAAAAGAAAUAAGAAUUUGAAUCCACAUUCGAGUAUUGCAAUAUCUUUUGAAUGCUUGGGAAUACCUUGCGUUUCCUUUCCAUCCUAAUCAUGGCAUCGUUUGGAAAAUGCCCAUCAGGCAACACAUAAGAAUUUUCUUGUCCAACAAUUGGGUGUUCGGUGAACUGCGAACUCAUUCUGAUAUUUGGAUAAGAAUCCCUUGGAAGGGAAAAUGCAUUGUCUUCAGCAGGAGAUGAAAUUGUAACUCCCUGCUUCUCCUGUUGAGACAUGUGACGAACCCUUGAGACCUGACUGUGGUAAUUAUGGCUCCUGUUCAACUGUUCAUGACCAUGCAAAAAUGAUGGUGUCCUGGCUGCUGAAACCUCGCCUAAAGAAUCUGAAUAAUGUAAUUGGGAAACUGGACCAUAGGCAUCAGCUCUAAUAUUAGCCUGGUCCGGCAUAAAGGGAUAUUCAGGGAAUCCUCUUGCAGCCACCUGCAUGAGAAUUCAAUCCAUUUCAACACAUGAUAAACCAGAAGAAUUAGUGGGAACACGUGAAAUCAUUUUUCUUAAUGUGCAUUCUUUCCUUUUUUUAAGAGAUAUUAUACAUUCACAUAUGCCUUAUAUUUUAUUUGAGAGGACCACUAUGGUAGCAGUUAGAGGUAGUUUUAUUUAAAUAAUAGAAAAACUUGUAAUCAUGAAUAAUUGAGAUGGAAAAAUUAGAAAAACUAUGAGCAAAAGAUUUAGAUCAGGAUGAAUCACCAUGUCAUCGUUGGUUUUUUUUUAACAAGAGACAAUUUUAUUUAUAGAUGAAAUAUAAAACAUGUCAUUGUUGGCUAGAAAUGCUAAAGUAUAAUAAAACAGCAUAUUCAAUUAACAAAAUAGACUAACUUUAUUUGAUUUUGCAUCCCGUUGUUCAUAAUGUCCAGAUCGCUUCUGCUGUUCUGCUACUGUAAACACAUGUAAAAAAUUGAGCAGCAAAAUACUGUUAUCUUCGAGAAUACUAUUGAAGUUAGGCAUCAAGUCACAGGGUCAUACUCAAGAUGAUAACAAAAGAACAUUUUAGGAGGAAAUCUGAACAUAACAGAGCAUGGUUAAUGCAAACAAAUAGAUUUUUUAGAUAUAUUUAAACACUUACAAUGAACCACGUAAUUCUUUUCAAGCAGUUAUUAUCCAUAACACAAACUUUUAUAAAAAACUUUUAUCACCAAAUAAAGCAAGAUUCAAAACCACAAUUGAACUUUACAGCAUCAGAUGGUAGUUUAUCAUUACUUGCAAAAAUAAAAAAUAAGUUUGAACUAGAGAGAAAUGCUUUUUUACUAAUGUUAAACACUCCUCAAUUUUCUGAUAAGGAGUAAGCUAAAAAGUAACACCAAGAGCUUUCCUUUAAGGCCCCUCAUACCAAACCCAAAAAGGGAUGAAGCCACAACAAUUGAUUCCUAUCCUAAGGAAAAAAGAUAGAGAGAAAUAUCAGUAAAACAACCCUUCUAACCAAUAGAGACCAUUUGAGAAACUAAUUGUUCAAGAGUUCCACUUCGAGCCAUCUUGGGGUACCAGUGGCCACCAGCAAUCAUAAUCAACAAGUUGCAAGUACCUUAUACGACAAGAUUCAGGCUCUAAAGGAAAGCACUGAGUGAAACCAUUAAGCCACUAAAGCACUGUUCUGUUCAACUGGGUUUCCCAAGAACAUGACCCUCUUAGGCUCAUCUCUGUUGAUACAUCACUUCGAUUAACCAUGCAUGGCCCUCCCUCCUCAGAUCCCUCCGAUCCAACAUAAUGUCUUUCAUCAGGUAAUGUAACUAUUUCACUCAGGUUACUGAUGACAAGAAAUGAAGAUCAAAUAGAUUUCAAGCAACCACCUACACAAAUGCCGUCAAUGCCCAUGCCAUUUUUUACAGAAUGACCUUUUUAAGAAAAUUUAAUCCUAAAUAAACAUAGGUCCUUUAGAGAAAAAUUAUGCAAGCAAUCCCCUUCUUCCAUAUAAGAUUAACAAUCAUCAGUAGCAUUUCAAUAAUGAAAACUUGAUCAAGAAUCUACCUCUAAGCCACAAAGACCCCUCACACCACUCUCAGUCAGUUGGGCAACUCAUAAGAAACAAUCUUAUACAGGCUGAUAACUAAACUAAUCAUCCCAAAGUCCUUCAAAUAAGAUGUACCAGACUUCAUUGGGGAAGGGUAGUAAACAUUCCAUUCAUAGAUGAAUCAAUGAGACCCCUCUUAUAAAAAUUUUGAAGAACUUAAACUAAGUCCUCUUUCACAGCCUCCCAAUUAAAUCAAAUCCUUGGAGAACUUUAAGCAACUCCUCAACCAAAACCUCCCGACUAUAAUUCAACCUUCAGGGCCAGGUGCUUCAUUCUCAUUGCUUAUCAAAAUGCUAUUCAACUUACCACAACAUUCGGCAGGAGCAGCUAAACAUACUGCAUCGUCAUAAAUAGUACUUUAAGUAGGACACGUCUCUAACUAUUAAACCAAUACUAGAAAUUGAGACCAACACGAGAAAUGAAAUGCAUGCUUCCUCUCUUGGUCCUCAUUCUACACGCCCGAUUCAUGAAUAUGGCAAUUGAAGUUCUUUAAGUAACUCCUUAGGCAAUUCUAGAGCUUUUGUCCUAUGUAUCUUCAUAUGAAGAUAUAUAAACUCAUUUCUAAAAUUAAAAAUAAAUAAGAUGUCCAUAUACACGAAGCCGCAAGUUUUAAACUUCCAAGAAAGGUUUCAUAAGAAAAAAAAUAAUAAUAAUAAUAAUAAUCAGCCAUACCUAUAGGUGCUCCGAAAGCAUCAGGUGGUAGUGGAUCAAAUUCGAUCCCAAGAAUAGGUCCGUCCUCCCUCAAUGGCUCACCUAACUGCGACUCCACACAAGCAAUAGCUCUAAGUUCCAUAACAGACCGUGAAGUUUCAUAAUACCUUCUCAUCAUUGGCAUAUCAUCUCCAACACUUCUAGGUGCCGCAUUACGCAACCCAACAUCACCAAAUGGACUCGAACCCGAUCCCGACCCUGAAGCAUAAUCACUACCCGGCUCAGCCACUACUCUCAAUUCGUCAAUGGGAGAAUCAGGUAACGCCGGAGCAGGUACCACCUUUCUGGGUUUCUUCGCCGGCUCUUUCUUGUCCUUCAACCUCCUGUGACAAAACCACAUCUGCAAUUGCCGAUCGGUGAGGCCCAAUUUCUCCGAAAGUUCAGCCCUUGUGGACUCCGAUGGGUAAGUCUCCACUGAUCAAAUCAACCAAAAAGAAGAAGAAGAAGAAGAAGAAGAAAAAAACCCAGUGAGAAAACAAGGAAAGAAAAGAAAAACAAAUUGAUAAAAUUAAAAGAAGAAGAAAAAGAAAAGGUAUGUAGACGAACAAGCAUAGGCUUUCUCGAGGGUUUCAAGCUGAAACGGAGUCUUCAUCUGGCGCUUGGGCUUGCUAAGACCCUCACUGGAGUUACUAAUUUUGUUAAUAUUAUCAUUAUUGAGGUUGUGAUUCUCGCCGUCGGAGGCAGCAGCUUCCAUCGAAAUCGAAGAUGAAGAUCGAAGGAAGAGGAAGAAGAAGAUAAAAAGAACAAAAAAAAAAAGGGGGAAACCCUAGAAUCAAAAACGAAAAACACUCAUCCGAAACAAAAUUGAAAAACCGGAAGCAAUGAAACUACGAAUUCCCGUUUGGGCACUUAACCUAAAUACCGUAAUAGUCAAGGAACAGAAAAGCAGUAUAGAAUAAUUAUCAUGAUGGAAUAACAAAAAAUAAAUAAUAAAAGAAUAAUAAAUGAUGAGAAAAGAAAGAAGAAGAAAUUAUAAGAAAAGGCAAAUUCAGGAACAAAUAACCAACAACAGUCUCUUCUCACUCUAAUCCAUCCUUCCAUAAUUCUCUUUAAUUUCUUUUCUUAAAAACCCUUUUUAAUGAAUGUCAAACAAUACUUUUUCUUUUUAUUUUGUUUCUUACUUUCUUUUCUUUCUUUCUUUCUUUCUUUCUUUUUCUAAAAAUUAUAUUAAAAUUUACCACCACUCACAACCCCUCUUCCCAUGUGCUUCAUCUGAAUUUUGAUGAACUUUUAAGUUUGCUUCUUCCCUAUUUACAUAUAUAUUUUCUUUUUCUUUUUCUUCUUUCUUCUUCCCACCAUCUACUUUUCUUUUUUUUUUUUUUAAUUUUUAAUGUCGUGACUGAGUUUCCUAUUUGUAGGGCUAAUUUCCUUCUUCCAUCAACUUUAGAUUGCAAAAAGGGGCUCCAAGUUUAUGAACUUCUGUUUUUGACCCCUUUACCUCCCCACCGCUGAUUGCUGAUUGCUGAUUGCUGAUUGCUGAUUGCUGAUUGCUGAUUGGUGACUGCUGAUUGGUGGAUUUAAUAUCAAGUAUCCACAUCAUAUAACACAAAACCUUUGCACAUCCACAUCGCAACCAAACCACCUUAUAUGUGUAUGCAUUCUUUUACUUUCAUUCUCUUUUCAAUCAAUAAAUUCUUCUCAUUUUUUUAUGGUCUGUAUUCACAUGUAUAUUUCAAUUUAUAUUCAUUAUUAAUAAUAGAUAAUGAUAUAUUUUCUAUAUUUUUAAAAAUUAUUUUUUUUUUCAGUGAAAGAAUUCCAACCAUAACUUUAUCAAGGGUUCACUAAUUUCUAUUACCCUACAAAAUCAAAAAUUAUGUUUGCUUUUUAAUAUCUUACCAUUCAAACUUUUGUUCUUAAUGUUUUUUGAAAUUUGUUAAAAAAUAAUGAUUCAUCCUUAGAUUGUUAUGUUGUUAACAAAGUUAAAUAGAUAGGCAUGCCACUUUUAAAUGUUAUUUAUUUGUUAGAUCCAUUUUAUUUAUCCUUAAAUCUUUCUCCUCAAUCCAUAAAUUUUGAUUUAUUUUUCAAGUGGCUUUUCAUGUGUUAGAACCUCGAACUUAUUAUCUUGUUAGAAAAGUGAUGUCCUUAACUAUCCUUGAUUUGUUAACUAUAAUCUAUUUACUUCAAUGCAGCUAGAUUUGUAAUAACAUGAAAAAUAGGAAGAUUCUUGUAUCAGUACGAUGCUUAGUAGUAUGGUUUGACAUUUGAAUGACGAUUAUAUCAUUGAUGAUUUCAAAGAAUGGUAAAAUAGAGGUUCAUACCAUUUAUGGUCGUUCAACUAAUUAAUUCAAUCACUAAUCGUAUUGUCAUUGUACAUUAUGUAACAAGUCGUUGAAACAACUUUGUUCAUGGAUCUAAGCAAAAAUUCCAAUAGAAUUUCAGGUUAGCUAACUCAUAAAAGCGUUCUCACAUGAUCAUUUUGAACUUGCGGGUUGACCUCUUUUCUUCUUUUGUGACCUUGUGGUGAUUUUAUGAGUAGGUCUCCAGAGUUAAAUAAACGCUCUCUUUAGAAUGAUUGAUUGGGUUAUAUCCUCAAAGUUAGAUACUUAACUAAAUAAUUUACCCAGCCAUAGCAUCACGCCACGUGAUACUGUCAAACUUUUGAACUAAUGUUAGUUAUACUUGUGUUGGCAUCUCAAACAUAACUCAAUUAUUCUUUAUUCCUUUCGUUUAAAAGCAUUUGCACAUACUUACCUAUGUCCAAUCCUGGUAGCCAUUUUGUGAAAGAGAUAAAUCUUUCAUGGCAAUAAAAUUAAAAAUAAUCUUAAUUCAUUUAAAUCAAUUAAGUUUAUUUUUAAAGAACCACAUAUCUAUAGACGAAAACAACAAUGAAAUUCAAAGCCAUAUUUCACUAUUCUAAUAAGACCAAAAUUAACCAAACACACACCAGACAAAAGUCAAGAAAAAUUAUCCCCAAGUGCAAAAGAUCUCAAUAACCUGCCCUACAAAUGAAUAAAAAAGGUUCCAUAACUUAAUCCGUCAAUUCAAUUUUGUGAACCUUAGAACUCUUGAUCGCUUCACAUACAUAGUCGACUAACUAAAAAAUCCGGAAUAGUUUGACUAAACUUUGGGAUGUUAUUGAAAGCAAAGGUUCUUGCGAAGUGCUAAGAAGCGACAUAGUUUUGAAAUUAAAAAGGCUUUAAAAUGAGACAGCGUUGGAUAAUUACAAAAUCAACAAAUGUCUGAGCUCAGAAUCAAUAAAAAUUGAUCGAAUACUUCCAAAAUAACUUCUUUUUUUUUUUUCGUUUUCAUGUUGAUGGAAUUAUUAUUUUAAAAUUUACAACACCAAAUCCUUCCUCAUUUCCAAGCUUCCCAUCUCCUCCAUCCCAUGUUUCUUCAAGCCACCUUUGUUCGCUGUCCAAACAACAAAAAUUUCAUUCAGAGAGCAGAAGGAAGCAAAUAAUAUUGAUUUAGACAGUAUAUCAACUCUUUUCAUGUCAUAAACUUUUGUUAGAUGAAAUAUAGUUUGAGCACAGAGCCUUCCUAAACCAUCCAAUCGAUACCAUCUUAAAUCUUGACUAACCCAAAUGUUUAAAUCAAAGAGUGAAGGCAAAAUAAAUAUUAUAUCAUCAAAUAAGAUGGAACUCACUCGUUUCUCUUCUUCCAUCUUAGCCUUGAUGUAAGAGUAAAGUGCUACUCCUGCAAUUGCAAUGCAGGUUCCAAUACCAGUUUGUGUAGAGAUUUUGUUACCUGCAAGCAGAAAUUUUCAUUGCAACAAUUGAAAGUAGAAAACUGCAAUAUACAUACAAACUGAAAAAAACGAAGUAUUACCAAAGAUAAUGAUGGAGAAUCCAAUCACAAAUACACGUUUCAGCACAUUUCCGACUGCAUGAGUAAGUGGUGCUACCCUCUCCAAGGUGUUGGUUGCUAACUGUCAAGUUAUCCAAAGCAAUAUUAUUCUCUUAAAACCAUGGAAAUCUACUGUCUCUCUUAGAUAUAAAAUGAAAUUAGGCAACAUACCUGAUUGUAAAGGUGAUAAAACAUUCCUACCCAGAAGAGAUCUAAGACGAAUUUGGUUAGACCAACUUUGGCUAUGGCAUCAUUGAAACCAAACUUAAGCAGUUGAGGUCCUUCCACCUAUCAAGAACCACAUGCAAGAUUGUGAAAAAUGAUGCCUAUUAGGCUUUGUUUGAGAACAAUUUCGUUUUCUAAUUCUCUGUUUCUGAACUUUACGUUUGUUCUCUCCUUAUUUCCUUAUCAUGGUUUUCUCAGUCGGAUUCUAAUUUUUUUAGUUUUCAAAUUUUGAAUGGUUUUUAGAAACACGGUAGAAAGUGGAUAAGAAAACAAAAACAGAGAAUUUUAAUGGUAUAUAGUCAAUCAACACUCUCCCUCACUUCACUUCAGCUUAAAAGUUUGUAAAAUAUCAAUCGAGAGGGCAAUAUUGAUUUGGAAGCAAAUGAUAUAACACAAAGUUCUAAUACCAUGUUAAAUCACCAAUUAAUCAUAUGGUAAAUUUAAUUUGAUCGAUACUUCAGUAUUAUAGCAGAAAGAAACUUACAAUCACAGCAGGUGGAAUGCAGAAAAGGAGAGCAAUAAUGGAAAUAUAAGCAUAGACGUUGGUACUGUCCAUGUCAGUCUGUCAACAAACCAUAUAGAUCAGUACUAGUUAAAAAUGUCAAAGUUUAAAAGAAUCAAAGGUAAGUUAGGUCGAAGAUAACCAUGGCUUUCUUUGAAUAAAUACUUCUGUAGGUAAAGGAAAUAUUGGAAAUCAUAGCACUAAUGAAACCAGUCCAGUUAAAUGAAAGCUCAGUCAAAGAUGCCAUUGACACACCUGCAUUGAUCAAAAUCCAAGCAAAAGUAUAAUCACAUGAAACCAAAUCUAUAUGACAACACAAGAAACCUCAACCUCAAGGUAGUGCUAUGGGUUCAUAUUAUGCAUCAAAAUGCAGCUAAAGGGAGAAGGGUUUUACCAAUGACAACAGGAGCCAAUGAAAGCCACAAGGUAAUGGGAAUGGAUUGCCCCAAAAUGAAUUGAGAAGCGGCAGCGUUAAAGAAUGGUUCCAGAGCUGAAAAUGAUUAAACAAAAAUUUCAGAAAAACAACAAAAUCCAGGAAUGUGAACUCGUUCAUUAGUAAAUUUGGUGGUUUACCUUUGAUUGUGUGAGUGAAUGAGACAGCAACAGCUGCGAAUGAGACAUUGCUAGUGACGUGGCCAAGUGCAUGACAGAAAGCUACAGGGAUCAGCAACUUCAGGAGGGUUGAAUCAAUAGGCUGCAAGCCAAAACACAUGUUAGCAAUCACUUGUGUGAAAUAGAGAGAACAGAGUUACCCUUAUACUAAGCGCACCAAAAAUAACUGAAUUAUCUUUUGACAUUGUUAAUCACCUAAAACUUAAGUUAAUAAGCUACGAUAUAUUUAAUUGAAAUUUUGAAGAAGUCUCAAUAGCUGGAUCUAUAUUAACCUCCUACCCUAAAUCUCUAGUACAACUAAAAAUUUAAGCUGAUAAAUUUUUUUAAAAAAAAAUUAUAUCCAUACUUUAGCAAAUACAUUGUCAUAAAAGAUUACCAUACUUGCAAUAUUUUCAUUGAAAAACAAACCCCCAAAAACUAUAUAUAUAUAAAAAAAAAACCAUUGCUAAUUAUAAAAAAUUUCAUGAAUUGAUAGUUCAGUCUUUAGAUUAGUAAGUUUGCAUUUACUUGUAAGUGCUAUAUUUUAGCGCACCUUAUAUAAUCUAUUCACUAAAAAUAAUAAUUUAGUUGACCAUUUUACACUUUCCUUUUCUUUUUUCCCCCUAUACAAUGUAGCUUCAAAUAAACAUGGGCACAAAGAUUACAAAAGUUAUAUUGCCAUCUUUGAAAUAAAUAGAGAAAAAGAACUCAAUGAACACUGCAAUGACAUCAUAUAUGAUAUAGUACUGUCUCAAUCUAAAUACUCAUUAAAACAACCCUACCAAUUAGACAAUUAAUACUAAUAAACAAACUAAAUUGGGUAUGAAAAAGUUAAAAAUAACAAUUUGAAUGAAAGAAAAAGAAUAGAAAAUUGGCAUAUUGGGGUAUAGAAAGAGUUGACUUACUGCUCGCUUAGGAAGACCCACUGCCCAGCUUAUCAAGCAGUACACAACCCCAACAACCAAAUGGAUCACCGACACAAAACUGCAAGGUAGACAAAUAUUAAUAACGAUAUUUACAAAGAAAAAAAAAUACAGGGAUGAAAAUGUAAAUUGGAAAUACAUACUAUGGAUAGGGGAAGUAAUUAUAUAUCUUCUUGUUGAGGAUAUUGAAAAUCACGUUCAAAAAGUACCUACAAAACAAAAAGGGACAACACGGUAAUUUCACACAACCCAGCUCAAACCUUCGCCGUGCAAAACACGUGACCAGCAAUUAAACCCACCACAUGAAGAAGAAAAACCCGGUCACCAACGCCGGGUACUUCUCGAAGAAACCAACCGGAGCAACCUUCGCGUCUCUGCAAGAAUUUCAAAAAGGAAAACAGAAUGAGUUGAAAGAUGAAUCUCGGAGCCGGUCCGGUUCAUAACGGAGGAGACGAACCUCACCCGGCGGAAUCGCUACCUCCGGCUGGAGAAGAGGAGGCCGCCGCAAAGGUAGGGCGAAUAGUGUCACGUUUACCGGAGACAAGAUGCGGCGUAUCGAGAAGCAAAGAGGGGCGGAGUUGUCUUCCCCAGAUCAAGUUGGCUCCCUCGGCGAUAGGCCUAGUGUGGACAAAGGCGACAUGGUUACUGUUAGAGGUGACGUCUCUGUGCAACUUGCGGAGGGUGGGAAUGGCGCCGGCGAAGGAGGUGGCGCGUGAGAGAAAGUGGGACUCCAUAACUUGAGAGAGAAAGAGAAGGAAAUGUGGUCUGGUUGGGUAAGGGGAGGAUUUAUUGAGGAGGGGCUUAUCGCGAACCAAUUUCUGGCGGUAAUUCCAUGAGAUGUCGUAUUAUUGUACUGUUGGAUUGGGUGGAUGCAGGAGUAGAGUAAGGGGGGGUGUUGAGACGGUUGAUGGGGGGGGGAGGGAGGGAGAGAGAGAGAGAGAGUGGAUAUUUGUGUUUUCUGUGGAGGGGAUUGGGGAUGUGGUGGGGUAUAGUUAUCGGGAGAGAGAGCGAAUGAGCGAAGGGAUGGAGCUGAGUUGUCAAAAUGUGAAGGAGGGUUGUUUUCUGUUCAGAUAUCUCCUUAUCGUUUCCAAUUUCCAUUUCCCCAAUGUCUUUCUUUCUGUGAUUUUAACUUUAUAAUAUAAAGCCAUCACUAAAUCCAAAUAAACAAUGCCAAUAAAUCAAAAUCAUUGACUAUAAUAUACUCUAUACUUACGAAAAACGGCUUAUGGUUUUCUUUUUCUUUUUUUAUCCUUCUAUUUAACCAUUCUUUUGCCCACUUCCAAUUUUGUAAUUUUAAAAAUAUCUCAUUUUGGUUUUUUCUUUCUUUUCUUUCAUUUUAGCUUGUCUGUUGCUAGAAAAAAAUUGCUAUUUUUUUCUUAUUUAUUUUGAAAAGUUACUUUUGUUUCAAAAAUAUUCUUUAUAUACUUUCAAUUUAAGAACACAUUUUAUCACCCCAAGAAAGUAGUUAUCUUGUCCGGUAGCAGUUGAAAAAUCAUCUCUAUACUGCAUAGUCUAUCUACAUUUUAACUUAUGGAAGUGGAAGAACUCUUUAAUCAAUAAAAUAAUAGAACGUAAUCAAAAUUGUAUGAAAUAUUUUCUAUAAUAAAUAUUAACAACCAUGUGGGAAUGAAAAAUAUUUAAAACAAGUUUGUUUGGUAAUUGACUGUGUUCGUUCUUUUAACAGGAAGAGGUCUAUCUAUUUUAAAAUAUAAUGAUCAAAUGUAAACUAAAACUUAAAAAUGUUUGGAAAUAACUUCAUCAAUUUUUGUAGGAGUUUUUCAAAAAUAGUAAAAGACAAAAUUCAUUUUAUUACAAAUUUUUCUUAAACGAUAAAUAUUUUAUCAAUUUUUUUAUUUUUAACAAUUUCACUUAUUUUUAUAGAUAAAAAGUUGUUUAGUAUUUUUUAAUACACUCCAACAUUCUUUUCUUAAUGAAUAGCGUAUUUAAUGUAUUAAUAGUUCUCAUUUAUUCCUAUUAAAGUUUCACCCCAUUUUUAUAUAUUAUUUGAGUUAUAAUCAUGUGUUAUUAUAGGUUUAUAUAUGAGUUAUAAUAGUUUGUAUUUUGGAUGUUGAAUAUUUUAGUGGCUAUACUAAUAUGUUUCUGAGGUAGGUUAUUUUAGUUUGGAAAUGAAAUAGUAAAUAUUGUAUCUAAUAAUAAAAAAUUGAUAGAUGUGAAAUAGUAAAUAAAUAAGGAAUUUUAGAAUAGUGUUACUAUAACUAAUUGAGGAUUUUCAAAUAAUAUUUAGUGGAGGUAGAGGUGAUUAUUAUAGUCUUACAUAAUUAUCGUCCCAAACGGUCCCUUAAAGUGCCACUCAUGUUAUAGUAUAUUGUUCGAUCAUUAAAUUAUUGAUUGGCCAAUUUACAUCUAAACAAGCUUAAAUACCUUAGUUCUCGAACUGCACAAGUAGAUACUACUUAAAAUUUCGAUGUCAAACCGAACAUAUAUAUUUUAGUUAGUGAUAAUCACGAGAUAUGUAUAGUUGAAUCCCCUACUCCAAUUGUACUAAAAAAAACACAACUUCAAGUUUCAACCUUCAAUAUUUUCACGUACUUACUCUUCACUCAAAAUACGAAAUUAGUUGCAAAUUGUAAUAGAAUUCGAUACCUCACUGUUUAUGUGAAACAUUGUAGUAUAUUAAAAUUAAAGUUGUGAUCAUACUUUUAUUGUUCCACGGAAGUAUGAACGAGUUUUCAAAAUCUAUCAUUGUUUAUUUGAAUUAAGUACUAAAUAUAUUUUGAAUAAUUCAAGCCUUUAAUUCUAAGAUAAGAAUAAAUGCUUUUUAAUUGGUCAAAAACCUAUCCACCAUAUAAAAUUUAGAAUUAUACAAAUGAUGCAUAUUUCAAAAGAAUCAUUUUUCUAUAUCGACAAACUCUAAUAAGAGAUAUCAAAAUUAUUUUUUUGGUUAAGGCAUUAAACUUGAGAACAACAUUUUCUAGUUCAAUAAAGUACGAAAAAGUAGUUUAAAGUUUAUGGUAUGAUAUUUACUUAUAUAGUCGGAGGUUUGAUCACACGUCACAAUGGUUGCACUUCAAAAAGUUAAAUAAUUUGUUUUUGUUAGAAUUAGUAAAUAUAAUUGGAUCAUAUGUUUUAGUUUAUGUUUGAGGUGGAGUGAAAUUUGGGAAUAAAAAAUUGAAAUGCCAUGGGAAGUUGAGAGGUGUAUCACUUUGAAAUACGUUCUAUCAACAUCCUAUUGCUUUUUUCUUAUUAGAGAAAGAAAAAUGGACCCAUUUGAUUCGGUUGUAGUAUUAAUAAUGUGUACCAAAUAGUAAUUUAAUCCUUGGUUUUUAUAUAUAUGCAUAUUUUGUUAAUGUCAAAUUUCAAAGGAAAUCAUUUCUCCAAAUUGAUGAAUUCGAGCAAUAUCAAAAUGAUUAAUAAUCAUAAAAAGAAUCAUCAGAAUCACACAAAGUAUCUCCGACUUCUGGAGAGAAAUUUCGGCGAAUCACAUAGCAACUUCGCCGCUAAUUAGCAGAGACAGGGAAACCAAUUCCAUGGCGUCUGGUAGGAAAAGCAACAAACAACAUACUACAAAACACCCCAAUUGCAACCGGCAAAGACGUCAAAAUCUCCUCCGCCUGAUCCGAUGGCGUCGGGUAAAAACAGUUCACCACAUCCUCAUCAAACAGAGCAACAGCCGAGAAAACCAGAAUCGACAUGAAAGCAUGCAAGAAAUCAAUAAACCUCAGCCGAUAACUAGCCGCGACGGUCGGCGGAAGUUCCACGGAGCCGUCGAUGACCCACAAGCCUCUGAAAGUGGCGAAUCCAUAGGAAACAUUCCCCUGACUGUCUCUGAAACUAUCAGUGAAACUCUGAAAGAAACAAGACAAUCCACAGAGAGCAACAAGGCCGGCGGUGAGGUAGCGAGAAAUUGAGUCGCAGUUGCCUUGAUUGGUGAAAAUGGGGGAAAGAAGUUGAAAUGCGAGGACGGUUCCAGUGGGUAGAAGAUUAGCCAAAUUAGCAGUGCUUCGAAAGGUUUGAGAAAUAGCUUUUUGGAUGAGUGUUUUUUCAUCUCUUGAUGGGAUGAUCAUGGUUUCUCGCAAAAGGGGUCGUUUCUGGUCAAUAUGAGAUUGGGUUUCUUCGUCGGCGGUUUUGAUCUCCAUGGUUGAGAGGUUGAAAUUGGAAUGCAAUCAGUUAAAGGGUUCAGUAGUUGAUGGAAAAUUGAAGAGUUUGAAGAGUAUUAAUAUGCAGGAAGAAGUAGAAGAUGAGUGUGGGAAAAGGGAGGUUAAUGAUGGCUUCAAAGCAAUAAAGAUAAUAGAAAAUUUGGAUUGUAGAAAGAAAGAAAGAAGAGGGGAUUUUGAAAAUAGAAAGAAAGAUGGAGUAAGAUUUGGGUAAAGGAGUUUUGUUGCUUCACACAUAUUUGAGCAGUGGGAGUUGUAUGAUUUUGUUAGGUAUUGGGGUUGUUCAAACUUGUAAGAAAUUUAAUAUACAGAAUAUUAGGAAUUUAAUCAAUAUGAUUUUGUUAGGAAUUUGAUAUACAGAAUUUGGAUUUUGUCACGUUUGACCCUCUACUGCUAUUCUUCUCCAAUCAUUUUCAGCUUUCCAAAUAGUUAGGAACAUUAUAUAUCAAUUGAUCAAUCAUAUUGUAUUCCAUGCAAAACGUCUUUCAUCCUUUCAUCUUAAAAACAUUGCUUCAUCUAAUAUAACAUUAGAACUUUGAGGACUCACUCAAAAGAUAACCAAAAUAAAUAUUAAAUUCAUAGGAACAAACAUGAUUUAGAUCUAGAAAAAUAGCUCACCUAUAGUGUUACGGCAAAAACUAGAGUAAAAGAACGAAAAAGAAAACUUUAUAAAUUAAUUCAGUUUUAAUACAAUGAUAAAAAGAAAAUGUGUCAAUUACGGGUAAGUUAAAUUCAAAACUUCUAUUUCAAUAUGGUCUCCUAAACUUAUUUUCCUUUGAAGUUGAAAUAAAUUUUGGGAUCAUAUUCUUGUAAACAAUUUAGUCUUGGUUGGUCUUCACAAUUUCAAAGAUGGUAUUGACCUUUAGAAUCUAGUUGUAAUUCAAAUGAAUUGGUUUACCAUUAGAAGGUGGCUUUGAAAACUUGGCCAGCUGAGAUUUUUUGGACAAGAAAGUUUGAAAGUAACAGAAGUUUACCCUAAAUAGACUACGUUUGCAACUGAAAGGGGAAAAAAAUUGUAAACAAUUUAGUCCUCACAUUUAAAAAACUGUCACACAUUUAGAAUCUUAGUUGUAAUUAAUUGAAAUGAAUUGAUUGUAAAAUAAUUUAACCAUCUUUGGUUGUUGUUUCUAUACUGUUUUGAGAAUUUUUACCAUUACAACGUGGCUGUGAAAGAUCAAGUAGGUUGAGAAUUUUGAGUCAAGGAAGUUCAAAAAGUAACAAAAUUUUAGGGGAAUUAUUGAAGUAUGGUUAUUUCUGUAUAAUUCAACUAAGAAACAUUAAAAGGUUGGUAUGCAUGGGAUUUUGAAGGAACUUUGAAUGUCGUAUAGAUUUUGAGGUUUUUCUUUUGAAUGAUUUUAUUAUCUUCUUCAACACCGACCACGAUUUCCUGCUAAAUUACUGUUUCAUUCAAGAAGUGUUGUGUCUGUGUCAUCUUCUUCCCUUCAGACUCUUUUCACCAUUAUAACUCAAAGACUUAUUCUUCUUUCUUUGCCUCUCAUGCCUUUCUGUUCAUUCCUUUUCCUCCUCUGUUUUCCUCUGUUUUCCUUCGCCCUCAAUCAAGAGGGUCAUAUUCUUCAGGCCUUUAAGCGCUCUAUAGAGGAUCGUGGCAAUGCCUUCUCUUCCUGGAAUGCAACUGACCCUGAUCCCUGUUUAUGGAAUGGUGUCACAUGUGACGAACAUCGUCAAGUCAUUUCCCUUGAGCUCAUCAGCUCUGCUAUUUCUUCAACUUUCCCUCUUCAACUCUGUAAGCUUCCACAUCUUCUUUACCUUUCUCUUUACAAUAAUACCUUUCAUUCCAUUCUCCCUCCUGCCAUUUCCAACUGUACUACUCUUGAGUUUCUUGACCUUGGCCAAAAUCUCCUCACCGGUUCUAUCCCUUCCUCAAUUGCUGAUUUGCGUCAUCUUCGUUACUUGGAUUUGUCCGGCAACAAUUUCUCCGGCCGAAUACCUCCCUCUUUCGGUCAGUUUCCGCAACUAGAGGCGUUUUCGCUUAUUUCGAAUCUUGUGGGUGGUACCGUUCCUCCGUUUCUUGGGAACAUUACUUCUCUUAAGAUGAUGAAUUUGUCUUACAACUCUUUUGACCCUGGGAGAAUCCCUCCGGAGUUAGGUAAUCUGAUGAAUCUUGAGGUUCUUUGGUUGACGGGUUGUAAAUUACAAGGGGAAAUUCCUGACUCGUUUAGAGGGCUCAAGAACCUCAUUCUUCUGGAUUUGAGCAGUAACAAUCUUACUGGGGUGUUCCCGAAAGCGCUGACGGAGUUAACCCAUGUGACACAGAUUGAGUUGUUUGGCAAUUAUAUGUCCGGCGCGUUACCAGAUACGUUUUCGAAACUCAAGGCGUUGCGCAUGUUCGACGUCUCAAUGAAUAAUUUUUCUGGGCCAAUUCCGAGUAGCUUGUUUGAGUUGCCGCUUGAAAGCCUUAAUGCGUUUGAGAAUAAUUUCGAGGGUAGCUUGCCGGAAAGCAUGGCGAAGUCGAGGUCCUUGAAAGAGAUUAAGUUAUUUGCGAACAAAUUCACGGGGGCGUUACCAGUGGAUUUGGGAAAAUAUUCGGCUCUGGCAUCGUUGGACAUUUCGAACAACUUCUUUUCCGGCAGCAUUCCGGAGAACUUAUGUGCAAAGGGGGCAUUGACGGAGAUAAUGAUGAUCAACAACCUUUUUUCCGGCGAACUCCCAUCAAGUCUCGGCAAUUGCCAGAGUCUGACCAGGAUCCGAUUAGGGAACAACAAUUUUACUGGUCCUGUACCAGAAAAUAUAUGGGGACUUCCAGAUGUUUCUCUUCUUGAACUUACAAACAACACCUUCUCGGGCAAAAUCUCAAAGAAAAUAGGCAAUUCCAAGAUGUUGAGUAUGAUUCUUAUUUCUAGGAACAAUUUCUCAGGAACAAUUCCAAGGGAGAUUGGUUCUUUGAAGAAUCUGGUCGAGUUUUCUGCUGACCAUAACAAAUUAAUCGGAAAUAUCCCUGACAGCAUUAUGAAAUUGAAUCGGCUAGCUAAGUUAGAUCUUCGAAACAACAAGCUUUCCGGGUUGCUCGACCACAGGCUUUAUGCCUGGGAGAGGUUGAAUGAGCUCAAUUUGGCCAAUAAUAACUUCUCUGGGAAAAUUCCCCCGGCAAUUGCUUUCUUGCCAGUACUUAAUUACCUUGAUCUUUCAGGCAAUCAGUUUUCUGGAGAAAUCCCACAUGGGUUACAGAAUGUGAACCUCAAUGUUCUGAAUCUAUCAUACAACCACUUAACUGGAAUACUUCCUUCCUAUUUUGAGAGAUCAAUGUACAAAAAUAGCUUUCUGGGCAAUCCUGGAUUGUGUAAGGGAGAAAAUGAUGCGUGUCAUCUAAUUCAUUCUUCAAAAAGUGGAGGAAGAGGUGGAGAAGAAAAAGAAUGUGAUGAGGAAGGAGGUUGCCUUUGGCUGCAGCGAUCUAUCUUUGUAUUUGUAGGUGUAACUCUCUUUGUGGGAGCGGUUUUGUUCCAUGUCAAGUACAAGACAUUCGUCAAGACAAGAAGUUUAAACAUCAAAUCAAAAUGGAUAAUGACAUCGUUCCAAAAGCUUUCUUUUGACUAUGACGACAUUGUGGAUUCUCUAGAUGAAGACAAUGUGAUAGGCAGUGGAGGCUCUUGCUUAGUUUACAAGAUCGUUCUCGCCAAUGGCGAGACCAUUGCGGUUAAGAAACUUUGGCCCGAGCUGCCUGAUGAUUGCAAGAGCAUCGAUCUCGAGAAUAAUUGCACUGAAGUUAAUGCUUUUGAUGCAGAAGUAAUGACUUUGGGUGAAAUAAGGCAUAAAAACAUAGUGAAACUUUUGUGUUGUUGUACUAAUGGAGAAUGCAACCUUUUGGUCUAUGAAUAUAUGCCUAAUGGGAGCUUAGGUGAUAUGCUUCAUGGCAUUAAAAAAGAGUUAUUGGAUUGGCAAACAAGAUACAAGAUAGCCUUGGAUGCUGCUGAGGGGCUUUCUUAUCUUCAUCACGAUUGUGUUCCUCCAAUUAUACACAGAGAUGUCAAGUCCAAUAACAUCUUGUUGGAUGCCGAAUUUGGAGCCAAGAUAGCAGAUUUUGGAAUAGCUAUGACCGUUGAUAUAUCAAAGGUUAAAACCAUGUCGGUCAUUGCUGGUUCUUGUGGUUAUAUUGCCCCAGGUGCGUUUCUCUCAUUAUGUUUAUGGAUUCAUCUACGUGCCAAUCAUUCAUCUAUUAUUAUUUCAUUUUUUUUACAAUUGAUAACCAAUCACUUCUCAUGAAUGAUAAUGUGAUUUCAUUGGAGUCAUCAAGCUUAUUGACCUUGUACUACUUAUACUUUGCAGAGUAUGCCUAUACAUUGAAUGUAAACGAGAAGAGCGAUAUCUUCAGCUAUGGUAUGGUAAUCCUUGAAUUGAUAACAGGGAGGCGGCCAACCGACCUCGAAUGCGAAGAAAAUGAUCUUGUCAAAUGGGUAAGAACCACUUUAGAAGGGAAAGGCCUCAGCCAUAUUCUAGAUCCCAAAUUGGAUUCCUCACACCAGGAGGAAAUGUUGAAGGUCCUCAACAUUGGCCUCCUAUGCACCAACCCUCUACCUAGCGACCGCCCGCCCAUGAGACGAGUGGUUACAAUGUUGUUAGAAGUUCGUAUGGAUUGCAAUUCGAUGAUUGCAUGGAGAAAAGGAAGAUUGACUCCAUAUAAUUUCGAAGAUAGUGAAAAUGCAGCAUAGUUCUUAAGUCGUCGUCAUUUUAGAAAGUAAGGACAGAGAAUGGAGGUAAACACUGGCAAAGAAAGUGCAGUGAAGUUCAUAAUUACCUUGAGCUUUUCACAUUCUGCAAUGUGUUCUUGCUAAAAUCUUUGAUGGCUCGUAAAGGUCUCAUGCUUUUGGAUGUACAUAUGGCUUUCAAGUUUCUUCAACUGAGUAGCUGCUCUUGUCUUUGAAUCAAUAUUUCACACAUAUUCCUUUUUCCUUGUGUUGAGGAAUGAGAAUUCCCCUUCCCUUCUUCAAAUAUUCUUUUUGGUAGUCUCAUCAUUGUUCUUUCUUUCUUUCUUUCUGUGAAAUAAUGUCCAUUCUCUCAAGAACAAAAUGGUUUUCUGCCAAACAUGUCUAGAGGAAUAUUUUUUUUAGUUUAUGCUCCAAAGUAUAAUUACUUCAUUUUAGUUUCUUCUGUAGUUUUGGAAGUAAAUUCUUUUAUUCUUUCAUUCAAACUUUAAACCAGCAUUUCUUUUUAAUUCAACCACUAACCAAUUUUACACAAUGUUUAGUUUAACCCUUAUGGAGUAGGAUUGUUCAAUAUUUUCAAGUUAGAAAAUUUAAGCUUCCAAGUUUAGAUAUUAAACUAAAUUCACUAAAAAGAUUAUUUUAAAUUACUAUUAAAAAUAUUUAUAAAUAUAGCAAAAUUUAGAUUGUAUCAACAUGAUACUUUGUUAUAUUUGAUAAAAAAAAAAAAUUGAUUAUUCAUCUUAGAAGACACAUCUUUUCGAAAUUAGAUUUUCUAGGUUAAAAAAAAUAAAUACAAAUAUAGAAAUUUUAAGUAAGUAUAUAUACACACACAUUUUAACUAAUUUUUUUGUAAAAAAGAAAGAUAUAAUAAUUAAAGGACUCAAACAAUAUAAAUGAUUAUUGAAUUAGGUGUAGUUCAAUUUUAGAAUUGUGGUUAGACAAAAUAGUAAGUGGAAUGAUUAAAAUUGAGUACUAAAAAAUUGUUAUUAAAUGAGAACCAAAACACAUGCAGUUUUUAUAAAAAGUAAAGCAUAAUUAAAUGGUUUGAGGUAUGAUCAACUCGAGGUCAAACUCAUUUGUCCCACCAAAGAAAAUUUAAUAAGAAACCCCAUGGCCACGUCGGUGGCAUGCAACAACAAAAUUCUUCCAUUUGCAUUUGUAGCCCUUACCAAUAACAAACAAAUAUUACUCAUCUAAAAUUUGAUUUAAUUCAAAUCACUUAACUUGGAUCAUCAUCUAUUUUACAAUUUAUGACAUCAGACACCAUAAAUUUAAAAAGGAAAGAUCAAACAAAAACUUUGACAUUUUGCCAUUUGAUUAAGUAGCGGAAGCAGCCAACUAUGAACAACCACGACUAAACUACAAAAACUUCAACUUUUCUCACCCAAUUUUCAAACCCUUUUCUCAUCUUCAAUCUCUCUGUUUUUCCUUCUCAAAAUUCUCUCAUUUUUUCAUGGCUCAAUCCCCAAUUCUUCUCUUUUCUAACCAACAAUAAGCAAAAAUGAAUCACCACCAGAAACUUGCUUAUUACUUCAUCUUAGCACUCUGUUCUUCAUCUUUCAUCGCUCUUCUCUCUGUUCUCCUCUUCUUCCUCUGCAGAAGAAACCACUCUCAUCGUCAACUCUCCGACGAGUCCCCUCCGCCUGCAAAGCCCUCUGCUCGACCCCACACGCUAAUCGACAUCUACACCGCCACCGAAGGUUUCAACCACCGCCGCGUCAUCGGUGAAGGCCGAUUAGGCACAGUCUAUGCUGCCUUAUCGGAAACAGGGGAACUCAUCGCCGUCAAAAGAAUCUACCCAUGGUUGGUUUUAAGCAAUAAUAAUGCUGGAUUUGGGUUCUCUUCAGUAAUCAAAUCCCUCUCUUCCGCUCAACACCCAAAUCUCGUCUCCAUCACUGGCUACUCAGAAGCCCCCGGUGAACGAAUCAUCGUUAUGGAAUACGCCGGCGUCGUGAAUUUAGACAUGUAUUUACAUCAAAACGCAGAUGGGGCAUUUCUUUUAAAUUGGAAACAUCGUGUGAAAAUCGCAGCAGGGGCAGCCAGAGGACUUCAAUACUUACACGAAUCAAUGGCGCCGAGCGUGAUCCAUGGGUGCGUGAAGCCAUCAAACAUUCUAAUCGACGCCCAAUUCAUCCCGAAACUCAGCGAUUACGGGCUGAAUUACUUGGCGGCGAGAGAGAAAAGGGGGUUGGUGGGUUAUGUGGACGAUGAGUACUGGAAAGGUAAGAGCGGACAGGGGAAUUGCAAGGAGAACGAUGUGUACGGAUAUGGGGUUGUGUUGUUGGAGCUUUUGAGUGGAAGGGGUUGUGAAGAAGGAUGGUUGGUGAAAUGGGCUCUGCCCUUGAUAAAAGAGAUGAGAUUCAGUGAAGUUUUGGAUCCAAGAAUUGAGUAUCCAUCUGAUUUGAAGCCAUUGAUGAGAAUGGGGAAGGUAGCGUUGGCUUGUGUGGGGAAUUGUAGAAAGAGCAGACCGGCGAUCGGUCAAGUAGUUGCCAUUUUGAAUAAUUUGGAAACUCAGGUAUGUGUUUGAUUUUUUUUUGGUUUGAAUUACGGAUUGAAACAAAUUUGAAAUGGUCUCCUCUCCAAAAUCCCCCUUUUUUUAUAUAAUGUAGAUAUCAUACAUUUGAUUACAUAAUUUAUAUGAAUCUCUCCGAUGAACAAAGAUAAUAUCUAUUGUUUAUGCUCCUGUCUUCUUCAUAGUUCUUGUAGUUGUAGCCUACAGGUCAAUUUUUUUAAAACGAAAGAUUAAGUAAAAUAAUGUAUUCAUUCGAUUUCUAGAUUUUAAAAUCCAUUCCUAAACUUGAAAAUAGGUUUAUAUUUCAUACUAUUGAUUACAUUUUCAUCCAUAUAUUAAAUUAAUAUAACUGAUAUCAACAUGUUAUUAAAUCAUAGAUAAUUAGCCUUUUGACUCAAAUUGAUUUAAACUUAUUUCCAUUUUUUAAAAAAAAAGUUUAAAAAUUGAUUAUUCUCGGUUAAAGUAAUUUUGAAACAAUUAUAUAAAAAGAAAUGAAAUAAAAAGGUUUUCUAUAUUCAGUUGUAAUGUUGGCGAACAAUUCUAAUCUCAUAUGGUUGAAAAGUAUGGAAGUUGGAAGGAAAAGGAUUGCAUAGUUGGACAAAUAAUGAAGUGUUAUAUAAACAAAACAUAAAUAUUGAUGAAAUUAGAAAGAGAUUGAAAAAUUGACUUUUAGGUAUAUAUAAACAAAAAAAAAAAGUGGGUUUCAAGAAGUCCAUACUUAACCUCAAACCUAAUCUUCAUUCAAUUCCCAAGAAAACUAAACAACAAUACAAAUAAAUAUUAUAUAAUUCUUAUAAUUGGAAAGGGACUUUGAAAUAAAAAUGUGGUAUUUAGUUGGAAAUUUCAUGGAGGAUUUGUUUGGCGGUGAGAGGGAAGGAUGAAGGAUGAAGGAUGAAGGAAGGACCCAAUCUUUCAAUUCCUUUUUUUGACCAAAAUGGCCAAUACUUUGCCAACCAUAACUUACCUCAUUACCAUUUAUAUGUCUUGAGAAUCAAACAUAGGUCCAGAUUAAUUAGUGACAAAAUUUUAUUGGUGCUUUCACAAUGAAUGGAAUUAUGGUUGGAUUUUUGUUAAUAGGUAUGAAAACAAAUUUUUAUGUUUCCAUUAAAAGGGACGUCCUCCUAUAAUAUAUGCAAAUUAAUUAAGGGUAUUAAGGGUGAGAAAAAAUUAUAUAUUAAUUGUUGGACAUUUGUAUUUGUCAAAUUUCGUGUUAAUUGGGAUUCUAUUAUUUGUAUCACUACAAAAAUGACAAAAUUCCAAAUAAAUAUAUAGAAAAUGAUGGAACAUAAUAUAUUGUAUAAAGAUUUACCAAAGUUGGAUAUGGUGGUUGGAUUUUUCUCUUUAAACUUCAAAUUCAUGUCUCUCUCUCUCUUUGGUUAAUUUCAACACCAAAUAAGGUAUAAUAUAUAUGGAUGGAAGCUGCAAGAUGCCUAUUUAGAGUUGGUAUAGAAAAGAAACUUCCUACUAAUUAACACAUUCGUACUUAUGUUCAAUUUGCAUGUUUCGUGCACUUGAACAAUUGUAGAGUCACGUUGGUGAAAAUGUUCUUCAAACGCAAGUAACUAAAAAGGAAGCAUAAUCAAGUCAACAUCGUCAAAAUUACCAAUUGUCGCAUAAUCUAAAAGAAUGAUUUAUUUAUUUUCGAUUUAACUUUUUUUAGUAUAACAAUUGUAUCGAAUUGAAGAAUCUUCGAUCUUUAAAAUAAAAGAUCGUGUCAAUUAUCGUUUAGCGAUUAAUGUGUCCUUUUAAACAAAAAUACGUAGGUUGUACUACCUUAAUUAUUGAAAUUAAACAUUUCUUAAGGGCCAUUUUCUAUACUAACAUUUUAUAGUUAAUACCAAAAUCAAUUUAUGAAGCUGAACACAACACAAAUUUGUAAAAAGUGGAUAUUCAAAAUAUAUAUUUCAUGAUCGAAUUUUCAAAAAAUUGUGAUAGUAAAGUAAUUUAUUCACUGAAUUAUAUAAAAUAGUUGGAUUAUAGAAUAUUAUAUUGUAAAGUUAUGUUUUUUUUAAAAAAAGAUGAAUUAUAAAAAGAAAAAAACAACCUUAGUAAUUUGAAUAUAUAUAUAUAUAUAUAUAUAUAUAUAUAUAUGGAGCAUUUUAAUUUAUUUGAAAAUUUAGAUGGUUUAUUUAUAUUAUUAAUCUUUAAAAAAAUAUAUAUGAUAUAUCAACACCCCUCGAUUAUCCCACUUUCAUAAAAUCGAAUUACCAUUAAAAUCAAAUGCGCAUUAAUUAAAUUAUAAAUUUCUUGUUUAAAUACGAUGAUCUCUAAAUUGUAUUCAUAUUUGAAUUGUUAAUUGCUUUUUAUUUAUAAUUUGGCCUUUAGAAAACUACUCACAGUGGAAGCUUUGUAAUAUUAAUUGGUAGCUUCGACUCUAUAAUCUAAAAAAGUUGGCAUAAGUAAUAACACACGUCAUAACUAUCACUAACUCACACUUCUUUAAAAUUAUGAAUUUCUUAGCACAUGGUAAUGGCAUCACACUUUGCAUACUUUUUUGCUUUGUUUACGUCUAGUGUGGCCCUGCAUUACAAUAUAUACAACGAACACCUUGGUGCACAAGUUUCAUUAUUAGUGAUAUUAACAUAGAACUAAAAGACCAAUCUGAACUUCUAUACUUCUUAAGUCAAAGAGAAGAAGAUACGUAGAAGACCCACAUGUGAAUGAACAACUUGUUGUCCAAGCUAAACUAAAUCCACUUUCUUCUAUUUAUAAAGCCUACUUAGUUGAUUCUAGCUGGUAUGGGAUUGAUCAAUAUUAGGAAAAUUGUACAUACAAAUUAAAUAGAGAUUAAUCAAAAGAGAUUUGUAUGAUAAUUAUUAUUAAAAUAAUGGAAGCAUAUGGAAGCAUAAUGUGUCCAUCUUGUGCAUAUCCUCUUGAAAUUGAUGAGGUAAAUAGAUCGUUGGUCGAAGAUUGGGGAAAGCUACCAGCGGGAGUGAAGUUUGAUCCAAGUGAUCAACAAAUUUUGGAACACUUAGAGGCAAAAGUGAAAGAAGAUAAACAAAAGCUUCAUCCUCUCAUUCAUCAUUUCAUUCUCACGUUGGAUGGAGAUGAUGGCAUUUGUUACACUCAUCCUCAAUAUCUUCCUGGUAUAUAUAUAUCAUCCCAUAUAUCUUCUUCUUCUUCCUUCUCUCUCACUCUCUAAUUUCACUCCUAAUUAAACCCUAGUUUUGAAAAUCACCAAAACUUGUUUUCUCUGUUUGUUAUAAUUUCGGGACAGAGUUCUAUCAUAAUUGACAUUUCUUUUCAAUUUUCAAUUGUUGUACUUCUUUGUUUGUUGCUAUUUGGAAAAAUUAGGGUUUAUGGCAAAGUUUAGGUUUCAUUUCAAUAUAUGGUAAGAGUUCGAGAUUUUGAUAGCCAUUGUUUUGUAUCAAUUUAAAUGUAAAAUUCUUAUAGAUAAAUCCAUUUAUACUUUGGUUAGAAUUUUCUUUGAGAAUGUUUAUCUAAUAGUCUGUUUUAUAAAAAGGAUGGUAACAAAUUGUCUAAAUGGAUUGGCUUAUAAAACUAUAUAAGUUUAAUUCAAAUAUCAAAAGUUUAAUUGAAUCAAAUUAUGAAUUUCACAUGUUACAAAACACAAGUUGGAAAAGAGUGUAAACUGAUUCGUUGACGAAAGUUUAAGGUUUAAAAUGGAUAUUUUUUAUGAUUUGUUUUGGAAACAAAAUAUAUUAUAGUUUUAAGAAUUACAAUUGAUAAUGUAACAAUAGCUUAUAACCUCUAAGAUUUGGAAAAACCCAUUCAGAAUGAUCUCAAAGCUUUAUUGGAUUUGUUAGACAAUAAAAUUGUAACAAAGGAGGUUUGAGAAAUGGUUUAAUUUUGUUAUUUGGAAGAGUGCAGGAAUGAGGAAAGAUGGGGGAGUCCGACACUUUUUCCAUAGGUCACCAAAAGCAUAUACAUCAGGGACAAGAAAACGCAGGAAAGUUAGAACAGAUGAAGAAGAAGGCACAGACACGAGAUGGCACAAAACUGGUAAGACAAGAGCAGUGAGCGACGGCAGCGGUGGCAGCGACAGUCGGGUGAUGGGUUUCAAGAAGAUUUUAGUUUUGUAUUCAAAUUAUGGGAACCAAAAGAAACCACGAAAAACAAACUGGGUAAUGCAUCAAUACCAUUUGGGUGUAACAGAAGAGGAGAAAGAUGGGCAAUGGGUGGCUUCAAAAGUCUUCUUCCAAUUACAGCCUCGUCAAACCUCAAUCAUGCCUUCUAAUUCUAUACAUCAAACAAGGGGAGGAGAAGCCUCUUCUCUUGUUUGAAUGCCCACACGUUCAACGCUCAACCCUCAACCCAUAAGUUUAAAUGAUUUGUAAUAGAACUAAAUAAUACUAUUUUUUUUCAAAUUGAAUCUAUACAUUCAAUUGGUUUUUAGUCCUAAAUAUUAAGAAUAAUUUAUUUGAUUUUAUGUCUGAAAUUGAGACAUUUGUCAUCCCAGAGUUUUUGAGGGAAAGAAAUUAUUGGUGGCAAAAUAAAAAAAGUAAUUAUUGUAAUAGAAGAAUAAUUUAUAUUUGAUUAAAUGAACAUAGGAUUUUGUGGAUGCAUACUAAAGGAUCAUCAAGAAGAAUAUCCAAUUCUCUUUCCACUCAAAGCUGGAAGAGAUGGAGAUGAUAACAUUUAGUAUUAACUACUAGGAUGAUUCUUGAUCUAAUAACACUAAGAACCUUACAUUCUUGAGGUAUAAAAAUAACUAAGAAAUAUUUAGUUUGAAGGAAUGAAUUUGGAUAAAAUGAGUGAACAUUCUGUGACUGAAACAAAAACUCCAACCAUAUAGAUUAGUAAGAAAAAGAGUGAGAUAUUAGAGUAUUCAUGAGAAGUUUGUGCAUCCAAGUCAUUCUUGUAAUUUGGCCUCUUCAAUUAGGCUAUCAAUAUAGAAAGUCCUAUGUACAUAGAAAUUUUGAAGAUUCUAUUAGUUGCAGACCAGACUGACCCAACCAGGUGACCAAUUUCCAUAGUCUUUCGCUUUUUUUACCUUUCAAUUUUGUCGUUUUGUGGUUGCAUCUUACUGUUUUUCUUUGAUUUAUAUAUAUAUAUAUAUAUAUAUAUAUAUUGUAACCGCUCUUCUUCACCACCAUCAAUUUUUUCAAUGUUUACAUGACAUUUGAAAUAAUCCCUCCUCCAAUUUGUAGGUCUCUCCUAAAAGUGCAACUAAGUUUUGCUCGUACACAUACAUACACGUAAAUAUACAUACAUAUCAAAAUAUCUACAUAUAUAUAAGUUAAUCCUACGGUUGUCCGGUAAAUAAGGAUUUAAGAGUCUCAAAGCUAAAAUUCUUUCAAAGAAAAGUUGCCAAAGUAGAGAAGUGUAGAAGAUAGGCACUGAAAACAAAUCAAGUGAACCGAAAGCUGAAGACAUUCUUCGCUGUGAAGUUAGAUACAUCUCUUGUUCCCUACUAACAAAUGCACACCUAUAUAAAUAGGACCCACAAUUUCAUUUUCUUGAAACAAUUGACCUAAGACUGACAGAAGGUCAAACACAGAAUACACAAAAGAUUCAAGCAACACAUUCUAGAAAUCAGACCGCAAAAAAAUCAGCGCCAAAAUCCAUAAACAGACUUGAAAACCCUCUCUAGUUCUAUAGAUGGAUCGACAAUUUCAUCUCCACAUAGGGCUAAAUUCAUCAACCUAUACAAGUCCUAAACAAAUCUAGUUAUCAUAGUUUGAGUACACAUUUCUCAUAGAGCGAAAGAACGUCUUUUUUGUUGGGAUUCUUCAACUGAAGAAGUUCGGCACCAAAGUUAUGUUUUGUGAGUUCUUGCUUAAGCUUCUGAACUGUGAACUUGGUAUAGUCCUGAUUUGUUUGCUGGCUAUGAUUAUUAUCUUCAUCGCCUUUGAAAAUUGACCCACCAUCCUCUGGCUGAGUGUACUUCAUAGGACUACUUGUGCUUCUAGAUCUUUUAUUCACUCUUAAAAUUCUCUCACUUGUGUCCAUGUCUUGAACGGAUUCCAUGCCCAUAUCACCAUCAUCCGCCCUUGGACGUUUCCCAUGAGAAGCAGUCUUCAGCCUACCAUCCAAAGCUGUCUCAUUAAGACGGACUUCAGUCAAUUGUUGUUGGAGUAGAUCGAUUUUUGCAUGAGCAGAUUGCAACUGAAGAGAGAGAGCCUCAGCCCUAUUGUUGGCCUCUGCAUGUGCAGAACGUUCUGAAUCCAGAAGACCCUGAAGAACUUGAACAGUGCUAGUACGCUGCUCAUUGUUCGACUUCAAUAGAGACUCUAUUUCUUUUUCCCUUUCUUCAACUCUUCCUUCCAAUGAUGCAACUCUUGACACUGCUUCCAUCUCUGACUCCCGAAUUCGUUGCAAAUCUUCCACCAAAUCUUUCUUCUGCCUUUCCAGAUUUUCAAUUUGCCUUUCGGCCCUCUCUAUUUGGGCCAUGCGCUCCAUUGCCAACCUCUGCAUCUCAUUCUUUCCCUCUUGAGCAGCACUAGCUUCAUUUCUUGCUUUAUCAGCAAUUUCAGUAGCCUUCUUAGCUUCGUGUUCAGCAAAUCUACAUCUUUCCUGAACUUCAUCAAACCUUUGAAAUUCAGAUAAGUACUUCUGAUCCAAAUGAACCUUUUCUUGCAGCAACAUUCUUGCUUCUUUCUCAAACGAUUGAGCCUUUGCAUUUGCGGUUUCCAACCUCUCCUUUAAGUCUUUUAUUUCAUGCCUCAAAGAAGAUACUUCCACAUCAUAACUCCCAAUUUUUGACUCGGCAACCUGCAGAAGAAACAUUCAUUUUAUAAGAAUGAUAUUCUUUUCAUCAUUGAGAUAGAAAGUGAUAUCCAUGUGUUAUAUGACAGCAGGACUUCAGUAAACACAGAUUAUUAACAAAUGAGUUAAAAAAUGACCCACCAACAUUUUUAAAAAUCUAAGAAGUUUACCUUCAGCUCAAGCCCUAAAGUUGUCAAAUGCUCCUCAACUUGCUUAAUUUUUGUUGCUUUGUCCUUCAAUUCAUCUUCCUGCAUCAUGGGAAAAACAAACAAACAAAAAAGAUACUUCUCGUUAUAGCAAUUCAAGUAUUUGAUUGCCGAAAUAGAAUAUGCUACCAGAUGGUGUGAGUAUGGUUGGUGAUGAAGGUUUACCUUCACAGACAAAAUAUUGGAGAAUUCUUUCCUCAAAUCAUCUUCUCUAAGUCUUGUUUGCUUAUUUGUGCGUUCUUCUGCAAGUGCAGCUUUUUCAAGAGCAGCUUUAGUAUCUCUUAAAGCAAUCUCAAAUUUCCUCUUCCACUCUUCUGCCUCUUCUUGUGCAGACUGAGAUUGUUCCCGAGCAGCCGCCAGCCUUGCUUCAGCAGCACUGCUCCUGGACUUCAAAAUAGCAAUAUCUGAAUUAGCUUGAUCUUCCUCAGCUUUCAACUUUGACAAGACAGUUUCAUAUUUUCUUUUCCAAUCCAAUGAUUCUUGCUUUGCUUGCUCCACUGUUUUCUUCAGGCUAGAGCAUCUCUCAUCAAGAGAACUGCAGUCACCCUGUAGAUUAGUUAUACGAUUCAUGUAGUCAUCAGCAACCUUUUUCUUAUCAUUGAUGGCAUCCUCAUAUCGCUUCAGAUAAUCAGACUUAUACUUCUCACUGGCUUCCAGCUGCUUCUUAAGCAAAUUCAGCUGGUCUUCAAUUGAGCGACAUUUCAAAGCGAGGGAAUUCUUCUCUGAUCCAACUUGAUCAAUGAGUCUUUUUAUAAGGUCGAGUACUGGACCCUCCAAACUGCAAAUUUCCAUGGUACAUGUUAGCGCACAUUGAUUAAAAAAUAACCCACAAAUAAGAUGAAGGAUAAAUUCUAAUAUUAACCUCUGGUGUAAAAAUGUUGCCAGCUUCUGCCACUUUCCAGGACCGUGGGAUGAUGCUUCAUACUCAGACAGAAGAGCACCAAGAACCUGCACGGAUGUGUAAACAACCAAAAGAAAAUGGGGAAUUCAAUUAUAAAUCAACAAGUACACAUGGGAAGAGACAUUAACAAAGAAGGUUGAAAUUCAAUAAAUGCAGAUGGAAGUAUGUUCAGCUUAUUCAGUCACAGAAAUCAACUAACAACUAUUACGAAUAAGCUGAUCAUACUACACAAAUUAAAUCACAGUUUCUAUUUUCUCCAACAAACAUAAUGAAUUUAAUGCCUGCAGUUGCUUCAAGACCACCAGAAUCAUCAACAUAGCUGAUCAUUAAUACUUUACAUUGUUUUUUAAUAGACCAAACUGUGCCUGUCAGAAACGAACCACAAAAAUAGUCCUUAACCCAAGACAGACAAAUAAAAUCUAAAUUACCUUCACAACAUUAUUGAUAUUUGCAUCAGAAGCAUGGCAAGCAACUCUCAACCUCUUUUCCAUGCUUUGUAUAGCAUUCGUGCAUUGCAAGUCUGCUUCUGUAUAUGCAUUUCUUUUGUAAUCCUGCAUUAGACAAUCACCAACUCAAGUAAAUAAAACAAGGAGCAGAAAAUAAUUCUUUCUAAAGAUAACUUCCAAAAAAAUUUGGGAAAGUAGAGAUUGUCAUAUAAGUAAAAUUGCUUCAUCUUGUCGAGUGAACACCAAACUCCAAGGAGAAGAUGGAAUGUCCCAUGACAUGUGUAUGAACAAUUCUACAACAUAGCCCGUACUAAUUUAUAGAGGUAAGUUAAUAUUCACUCUUUACUUGAUAGUCAAUUAAAUAUUAGCCUCGUCAAAUUAAAUUCUAAAACUCAAAAAUUUAAGAAAUUAAUACCUACUUAAAACAAAAUAUAAAUUUCUUGUAAAAUAUUAAUAAAUCAUAGAAAAUUCAACCAACAAAACACAUAAUAUCAAGCCCCCCAAAAAAAUCCUAAAUUAAUCCAAAAAUAUAUAGAACCUAACCAUAAAUUUGAAACGGGUGGAGGCCCAAAUUAAACAUCAAAAGAAAAACAACCUAAAGAAACAUCCACAAGCAACAAAGAAUAAUACCCGAAAAUAAAGUCUUAUCAAGCCAUAACAAUACAUACAUUUACCCACAAAUAACAAAAUGGUAAACCCACUAAUGAGUAUUAAUUCCAUCACAUGAAGUUCAAGGCUUAUUUUGAAAGAAUUAAUGACCUAAAAUUUUAACUAAAUACAAGAGUAAAGGUAAAUCCCGCUCUCCCCCCAUUUUCAACAUGAACUCAAAUGUUCCCCUUUGGACAUAUGAAAGUAUAAAAGCUAGGAUGCAAAAAGGAGUAACAAAACGCAUAUUAAAAUUUACAACAAAAGCAAAUAUAAAGUUACUAUAAAAAAGUUGGGAUAGAAACUCAAGGAAUGCACUGAAACGAGUCAGUUUGCAGUUUCUCCAAAAAUUCCCACACACCUUAUACAAUUCUCCAGAUUCUAUCCAACAAAGCCUUCCUACCAAACAUCAACUUACCAAGUAGCCUUUACUUUUACAAAAAGGCAUAUUGUGAAUUUACCAUCUCAAGCAUCAGAAUUUUCUUCCCUAAUUGGACCACCUCAAACAAAAUGUCCAAUUGACGAUACAAAUUUCGAGAAAACAUAGAAUUAACAUUCAUUACAUUCCUUACCUCAAAUGCUUUUCUAUAAAAUUUCUCAAGUAGUCCCUCAUAUUUUUUCCUCACUGGACCAACACCUACAGCACUCGAAUUAAAUGCAGCAAGUGAUUUUUGAACAGCAGUUUCAUGUGCUUCCCUCAAUGCUGCCUACAGAAAAACAACGUCGUCACAAAAAAUAAAAAACAUCUCUAAUAAAGAUGUAGAAGAGAAUUUGCACUCACUUCUUCUGGUGGCUUUGACCGGUCAAAAGUAGACAUAUACACUUCAGCAGCAUGAUCAUACGCCCUUCUACACUCCGCUUCUUCGACACUCUGCAAAUUAAUGAUAUGGAUGAAAAUUAUCUCAAUGCAUUGUUAAAUUCCCAAUUCACAAAAAGAGGCAACAAUCCCUACAUGGUUGCACUCUACAUGACACAAAUUUAAUCAAUCUAUUUGAAAGGAGAGAGAUGUUUGACAAUGCAGUUACCUAAACAUUCAAAUUCAGAAAUGAGAAAAAAGAAUUCCUAAUAAGCAUCUACAUAAAGUACCUUAAAACAAAAUUUCACAAGAUAUGUGUUUGCUGGGAAAACAAAUGUUCAAUAAGAUAUACCAACCUGCCAAGAGGAGGUUAUCGUAGGCACUGCACCAUGGUUUAGAGCAUUAAGGUAAGACUCUGUUAUACCAACCAAAAUUGGACCUGUCAUAACAGUUGCUCCAACUUGCUUAGGCCUUGUCCUCUCAAAAACAAAUUUAGUAAAUGCAUCAAGUCCAGACCUAAAUUCAGGCCUUAGUUUAUCCAACUGCAGAACCACAGAAUACUAAGUUUGAUUAAAUUUGGCUUCAAAAGAAACAAAAAAUGUAAAGAAAAUCCAUAAGUUUAAGUUACUUACAGAUAUUUGAUCAAGUCUUUGGAGAUCAUUUUCAUUAUUCAGAGGACGCACAAGAGUAAAGCAGUCUCUAUCAGGAAACAGUGCUCUAAUUGAAUCACGAAUCUGGCAGUAAAUGAACGAAAUUACAAAUCAGAUCAUCGAUGCAAACAAACAUAUUCAAUUUACAACAACAAAAUACAAGAGAAAAUGUUCAAAGUGUCCCAAAGUCAUAAAAAGCAGACUCGAAGUUCUAUGUUCACGAGCAAACAGAUAGUGAACAGCCAGUGUAAAUAUCAGAAGCCAUUGAAAAAACGUCGAGGAGAAUACAACUCAACUCAAAUAUUGAGAAAGGGUAUAAGUCUUAAACGAUGAUAUUAUUAACUAAUAUCAUCAAAGAGCACAACAAAAACAGAUAUAUCAGCUUCCUAACUCUUCCAAUACUCACUCAAGUACAAGGUACUCAAAAGGCAUACCCAUACAUCCAUCCUUCCAUCAUAUCUCGAGUCCAAUAAAAAUAUAUUAGCAGGUAAUGGAAAGGCAGUCUUCACAACCCAUACUAAUAAAGAUAACAUAACCAAAAAAAAACACUCUUAAAUCUGUGCAAUAACUAAAGAAGAAUAACUACUAAACUCUCAAGCAGAACAUCUAGGAGGUAAGAAAGAAGUAUGUGGCCUAAAUCCUAGAACAUGUGAUAUCCAUCUAGAACCAAGGAAACGUAUCCUUUCUUCAACAUACAUAUAUUCAUUCAAGUAAAAAGAGUUCUGGAUUUCCAUAAAGGAAUUUUCGAGUUAAAAACAGUUACGAACUUGGGUGGUGUUUGGGGAAAGAGUUGGGUGGCAGGAAUGGAGCUACUCCUUGUUUGGCCUUGAAGCUCUUAAAACCAAUAUGCCCCUCAACUUAUUAACACCUUAUCCUUACACUAUAGACCACACAACUAAACAAUUCUCCAGAGUAAACAACUGCACUUCUUGCACCAAACACCCCCUUAGUAAGCAACUUCUAAAAUGAUUUGUGCAACAAGAGUAGCUUUUUCUCUCUUUUCUAGACCUAGAUAAUAUGACCCCAAAUAAUAAAGAAACAAAUUCACCAAACCACAAAAGUACAGACGUCCAUCUAAUACCUCAUUCUUAGCAGCUAUGUCUUUUCCACUUCCUUGAACUGGCCUCAAAGCAAGUUCCAGAUAGUCCCGAGGUGUUAUUCUCCUAUUGUCCUCAACUAGAUCCAAAUAGAAGUCCUGCAAGUAAUUCUCAUUUUAGAGACAAGUUACAACCAAAUAUUAUGCCAAAAUAUAGAAGUUAGUGCAGGUAGAGAAUCAAACACAAUAAUAACGUAGGGGUGAAGUAACUCUCUCUUUUUCUUUUUUUUUAUAAAAGAAAACAGGACUCUCUAUAUGGAAAGAGACUAAUGUUCUAAGUACAUGAGGGUUAUUCAAAGAAAAUAAAGCAUAAAGCAUAAAGCAUAACUAGGAUCAACAGGGGCACCCAAACAUCUCAACUGGGUUGAUACCCCUUAACACCCUCAUCAUAUCCUUCAAAAGGUUACAUCAAAAAUAGGCCGAGGCUUAUAAGUUCAGCAAUUACAGGACAAAAAGGCUAUAAAUCACUAUCCUUUCAAAGGUUUCAACAAUAAGCAUACAGAAGACCUAAGACAAAAGUGCAGAAAGAGAUUAAACUCAAAAUAAGUGAAUUAAGCUGGGAAAAUAAAAAGACUCCAAUUUGAGUAGAUUUCUUAAUGUUGUAGCUUUCAAAAGGCUUGGAGAAGGAACACCAAGAGGAGACAUUCUUAUGGACAACUUCAAAGAGAUCCAACCAAAGAAGUAAUUCUCUUUUGUUUAAAAUUUAAAAACAAACUUUCAUUGAGAAUGAAAGAAAUUUAAAGUCGACUGCACAAAUUAAAUACAAUAACAAAAAGGUAAAAUAAGCACCAAACAGAAGGUCAAACGUAACAAGGAAUAAAUGGGUCAUACAUUGAAAACUCAUGCCAUUGGGAAAAAAUGCACAUUGCAGAAAUAAAUUUUAAAAAAUGGCCAAAUGUCUGAACGCACUUCGAAAUAAAUUUAUGGACAUUAAUGGUAGAGAAGUGCAUUGUACCCUUAGAAGCCAAACAAAGAUUGGAGAGAAUUGACCAAGCUCAGCAGAUGUAGUUCUGCCCCCAGCAGCCCUAACACGAAUAUGUUUAGUCAUUUGAGUGACAAGAGAUAAACGAUCAAGUGCAGCUUCAUCUAUUCCACCCAUCUGAACAGAAACAAAAAAAAUGAGUUCCAUAAAGAAAAAUGAAAUUGUGAAAAUGGCACAAAUUAUAGAGCAAAAAGAAAACAACAUUGUUCAAAUUGAAGAAAAAUAAAAAAGAAGAGACGUGCAAUUCAUUGUGUUCAGAAAAGGCAGGUUUUUAAAAGAUAAAGAUCAACAUUAGUUGCCCCUACCUGAUUAUAGACAAACAUGCUAGAUAAGAGAACGGCUAGAGAAAAAAUCUGGGUGCUGUAUGUUCCCUGUAAAAAAAUUGAGGAGGAAAUAAGAAAAAUAGAUGGAACAAAUUAAAUAGCAAAAUAAAUUUGUAAUAUUACACCUUCAAAUGAGGCAAACAUACUAUUAAUUGAAAUGAAGCAAAUUUGAAUUGACAGGAAAGACAUUCAAUUCCAAUUCGAGUAGUGGACUGGAGUCAUACCGUUUGAUCAUACGCAUCAAUUCCUUCACUAUCUAAUAGUAAAAGAUUGUACUCAGUUCCAUCAAGGGCAGUUCUUUUCAAGGGUGUACUCCAGAGCCAUAGCCCUUUAGUACAAGGCCGAUGGGUAGAUGCUACUUGAAACCCACUACUCCUCCCAAGAAGCUUCAAAAGAAAAGAGUUGAUUGUAAGUCCACAAAAUUACACUACAGACGUGGAGAAGCUAAGUGCUCCACAAAAUUUCAUGAAUGUUCUACGUAACAAUCACAAUUGUAUGCAAAUUAUCUCUGCAUAAAAUCACAUCCUGAAACCCCAACCAAAAAAAAAAAAAGAAAAGAAAAAGACACAAGCACUUGAAUUCUUACGGAUAUGUCCCACGUCAUGCCGACUAAGUUAUAUUCAAAGUACAAGCCCACGAGUUGUGAGAAACAAAACCAACUCUAGUGAAUAGAGAAUAACCAGAAAAAAGCAAAUUGAAUGCGUCUACGAGGACCCACAAAAAUUAUCGCAAACAAAAAAUAAAAAUUUCAAGAGGUAUUUAAUUCCAAAACUGAGUUUGUACAACUUGAAGUUGAAGAGAAAACCCCAUACUACUAGAUUUGCUAUGACUUUGCCGAUACACAAACCAAUAUAAAUUAUUACUACAAACUACAUGCUUACGUUUACAAAUUACAAAGAAAAAUGAAAAAUAAACUCAAGCUUCAAAACACAUUUCCUUUCACAGUUUACAACAAGUUUCACAGUCCUAGAUCUUCCAAGCCCGUUAAACAAAUGCACACUCACAAUAUCGGACGUUAGCAACCUAGUAUCAGAGUUUUCAUUUCUCUAGCACAGUCCUAAACAGGUACAGAAGACAAAGGCCCACAUCACCCACUCACUACCCGCAGUUCGAAAGAAAAAUAAACCCUUUCCAUGUUCUACAGCCCUUCGAUGUACACAUAUACCACUUCCUCCCACCUACACAGUGAUAAACUUGAAUUCCAGCUCAGACCCGUCUCGCUUCAGAGCUAGCUUAUAUACAGAUGGCAACCACUAAACAAGUGCAACUCCUCCCAGCAUUUUUACUUAGCUAAAACUCCAAAACCCUAGAUUGUGAAUGAACCCACCAAAUGACAAAAGCUAAUUUUUGAGAGGAUAUCCUACACAAAAUAAAGAGCAGAAGAAACUAACUUGAUUUAAAAUGAAGCUCUUUCCCUGACGAGCACGGCCACAAACAGAGACGACACCAAUUGGCUCUUUUACAAGCUGUAAGGUAGCAACAGCUUCAGGAUCCAUCCGAAACUUUCCUUUCUCAUCGCAGUAAACAAGACGAAUUGGCCUCGCCGGACCAGUCCCCGUGGAGGACGAAGACAGCGAAGAAGCAGACUGCGGAGUUGAAACAUCGGCGGAAUUGCCCUUCCCUCUGAAAUAGCUGAUCAUCUUCUUCUGCAACCCUUGCUUCCUUUUCCGCCUGUGUAGAUCAAACUUCCCGCCCUAAACCCUACGAAACAAUCUAACAACAACAAAAAUGCAAACCUUCCAGUACAAAAGGAAUGAGAAUUAGGCUUUUGUGUGAGUGAGUGAAAGAGUGGAAUCGGAAGCGUUUGAAAUCGGGGAGGGAAAAGCAGCAGCCCCUCAGGUCUUUCCCAGACUUUCUUUGUUCAAGACAUGAAAUUACCAUCAAGCCCAGAAACUUUAACGAAGGGUGAGGGCUUUUCAGUCAUUUCGGUUUAACCGUCCUUCAAGCCGCUGAGACAGCGUGGUUAUAAGGCUAGGCUAGCCUGGCAGCUGUCCAUAAAAUGCUUCUCCACAUUCUCUUUUUUUAUUUCCAACUUUCCUCCUUUACUUACCUUUCCUUCUCUAAAGCCCAUCAAGCGAUCAAAAUUCAACGGCCCAUUUAACAGCCCAUUUAUCUCAUCGGCCCAUGAUAAAAGGCCCAAUUAGGAGCCCAUUCCUCGAGCGUCGUGGUCAGCUGAACGCCUAACCCUUCAGCCUUCCUCCAAAACAAAAGAGAAAAGUUGGCAUGCCUUUCGUCUAAUCUUCUUUGGUUUUUAGACCAUAUAUAACUAAUUAUUACUCCAACCCAAGCAAAACACUAAAGUUAAAGACACAAAGGACUGUGUCAAUAUAUUAUUAUUCAUUACAUGAAAAGAAUUAAUGCACUCCCACCAUAAUUGAUCGAUUUUUGUGAUUCAUGGUUCGAAUUUAUUCAUUUAAAUUAACUGCAUAUUUUAACGAUCAUAUAUAAACGAUAUGAUGUUAGAGUCUUCUACCUUAUCGUAUCACAUUUGAUAAAUUGUAUUUUAAAAAUUAAUUGAAUUAGGUAAAAAAACAUAUGUUUUGUAACAUGUAAGUGAAAACUCAAAACAAUUAUUUUUAUUCGCACUAAGAUACUUGAAUUAUUUGACAAGUAAAUUAUAAGUAUUUUUGCUUUAAAUUAGUAAGGCAAUCUCAUUACAACACCACUUUUUAAAUGCAUGGAUGAGUUUUUGUCCUUUUAUUUUUUUGGAUUAGAAUUGUAAUUUUGUAGAAUGUGAACCUUUCGUAUAAUGAUAUUGUUUGACAUUUAUAUUGCCUUUUAGGAAACACACAUUUUUUUUAUGAAUGAAUAUACAAAUAUUAUGUCUUCAUUAUUUAAUAUUCAAAAUGACGAGUCACACACACACAACAAUAUUUUGAUUGAUAUGGCUGGGUCCCUCUAAUGUCACGUAGAAGAAAAAGAUAAAUAAUGAAUUUAAUUUUAAAUGAACAAAUCUGUAAAUUAGACAAAUAUAUAUAUAUCAAGAGGAUUUUUCAAAGAGAAAAGAAAAAGAAUUAAAUUAAGCAACAAAUAUUUUAAAGGAGAUUUAAUGACAUUCUCAAAUGUAGUGAUUAAAGAAAAUAGUUUCGUGGGCUAUUAAUAAUUAUUAAAUGAAAACAUAUCAAACAAUUUACAAUAUAUAUUUUAAAAUCUCAGCUACCAAAUCUGCCUCUAGGGAUCAAAUUUCAAAGAAAAUUUCAUCACCGAUAUAUACUUUCAAAAAUUCUCUUCUGCAUCCACUCGGAGGGCGUAUCUGAGAUCGGAAAUUUAAUUUAAUUUAAACCAACGAUGACAGAGAAUUCAAGAUCAGCAAUAUACUUUACUAGAUUUAAUUCGUUUUUUUAAUUUAUACAAAAUCAAAGCCUCAAAGCCACAAAGCACCGGCAUCUUUUAACGCCGGUACCAAUUCACCGGAAAUAUGAGCCGCCAUCACUUUUUCCAACCCACCAAACAUCUUCCCUCCAAUAAACACCACCGGAAACUGCACUCUUCCAUCUCCACCGCCGGAGGCAAAUUUUCCAAUCUCCCCGGCAGUAUCGACUUCAUCUUCUUCACCAACCACGACCACGGCCGGGUUGGCACCGUGGCCCAACAACAACAGUUUCAAAACAUGGCUCAUACAACACCCGCGCCUCGCUAGAACCACAACGGCGUUUUUGGACACUAAUUUCUCAACCCCAUCACCGGAAGGCUCGUGCGCCUUGCAGGAGGAGGAGGCAGCGGCAGGAAUCCACGUCCGGUACGGAAUUGCUUGGUGCAUAUUAUUGCAAAUUUGGUAAAGAAAAAGAUCCAAAAUUUCGAGAGAAAGAGAGAGAGAGAGAGAGAGACAAUGGAGGGUAUUGCCGUAUUGGAAUAAUGACAUUCGGCAUUUAUUUAUAUUAGGCAGCUGCCGAUUGGGCCGUGAAAAAGUUAAACGUCAAUACGAGUAACGCAAUCUAGGACGUAAUAGAAACUGUAGGUGACGAUCAAUUGCGUCACAGCUUACUCGGUCAGACAGAUUCCAUUUACCUACGUUUCAUCGCUGACGAGAUUGUUCAAUUAGUUUCUUAAUUCUAAAUUUUUCCGUAUAGUAAUUUAAGAUUUAUUAGUAUUUAAGAAAACAAUUUCAUUCUCUUUUUUUGAAAAAACAUCGGGUGUUAAUUAGGUGCUAAUGAUGAUUAUUAUACAAAGCAUAAGCAAAGAUAUCUUAUGGAUGGUGACAUUUUACGGUAUUCAAUUCCCAUCUCUAGAUUUAGAUAAAUAUUAGAAAAAUAGUGAAUUCAAGUUGACGUAUAUAUUUGGCAUUGAAAUAUGAGAUAUUAUUAGAAAUAUAAAAUAGAAGGCAAAGGGUUAUGAGGUGGCAAUUUAAAAAUGAUUAUGACGUGGUUUGGUUUAAUUUGUAAUUGUGGAAAUUAGGGGACGAAUAUUGAUGAUCAUGUGGGGUUUCUUUGGUUCGGUUUGGUUUGGUUUGCUGAGAUAUGUGUGACAUGUAAAGUAGUUGGGAAUUCCAGAUGGCGGAAUGUUCUUAUGUGAUUGAUUAAAAGGCUGUAAUUGAAUUUUAAGUUUAAGCUAAGUAUAUAUGUUUGUGUGUAAAAUGUGAUUAUGGAAGACUCAUGGCUCACGCUAGCUUUGGGUCACCUAUCUUUUCUCUACCCCUUUUGCUUUCGGCUGGACAAUACAAAAUUUUCCAGAUUUUUGUUUUUCUUUCACCCUUUUUGUUUUCUACAUGGAUGCAUCGUCACCUAUUGUGUAACCUACACUCUAACUAUUAUACUCUUUGAAUUUUGUGUACAUAUAGAAAAAUGAAAGACCACUAAUAAUAUCAAUUUGAUUGUUUUGUUUUCAUAUUUCACUCCAAUAACAAAUUCCCUUUUUAAUAUAUUACAAUUGGUUUAUUUGGAAAAGCACGUAAUUAUAUCAACUACAAAUGUUCAUUAUAUCAAUUAUUGAUUUGAUUAAUUGAUGAUGAAUGUGAUGGACUAGCUAGUUAAUUAGAUAAAAUAAAGUGUAGCAUGGUAAAAUGAAUGUGUUUAAUUACUUUUUAAAAAAAAACAAAUGAUAAAUAGUGAAUACAAAGUCAAUUAGAAAAAUCAUUCCACCAACAAUCAGACUCUUUGCCUCAUUUAUGAUAUACCAUCAACCAAAUUAUGGGAUUGGUGGAAUCGUUCCUUCACUAUAGAUUAUACUACAUUUUUCUCUCAUGUUUAAUAAGAACUGCAGUUACAUUUUUUGGCUCCAUCACCAAAUUAAGGUACAUAGCUACAUUAUCAAGCUACCUCCCUGUAAACCAACAUCAAUCAAAUCAAUGUGUUAGGUUGUAUAGUAGAAUUAGUUGCCCAAUGUGAUUUGCUAUUGAAUCAAAAUCACCAAACAUUACAGAACAUAUUAACAAAAACAAAAUUGCGUAUAAUUUGAGGGACGGAGUACACAUAAAAUUAAUAAGUAUUCUUCAAAUACCACUAAAAGAGAAGAAAACCUUGCCCCAUAUGGUGAGUUUUCAAGUUGAUCUCUCUUCUUGUGUACUUCGUGCAUAAAAGGGACUUCUAGAUGGAGACAUGUGGUGUGGGUCAUGACGUUAUUAAAUAGAGCCAAUGUUAUUAAAUAGAGUCAAUAUUUGUAGUUGAACUACUCAAACUAGCUAGCUCACACAAUAAUUUGUUAACCACAAUUUCCACUAAGAUAUAGCAUGACCUAAUUGUCCCGUUGAUAAUUAUAUCCACCUGUAGUUCGUGGUCCAAUAUGGUGCGUUAUACAAGUUUAUAUUAGUAAAUGUUAACUUGUAUAUUUAUAUAAUUUAGCUGAUUUAAUAUGCAAUUAAAUAACUAAAUACAAUAAAGAUAAACAAUACUUUAUUAUAUUUUCUUAGUUCAACAAAGUGUGAAAGGUAGAAGAUUUGACCGUCUCGUUCAACAAUAUAUACUUUUACUUAGUUGAGAUAUGGUCAAGUCUACAAAAAAAAAAUUAGUACAACAAGAAUUAGUAGUGGAUUCAAACCACAAAUCUUGUGGUUGCCUGUACACUUGUUUGAGCUAAUCUCUUUUGACAAGUCUACAAUAAAUUAAAAUAUAUGAAACUAAACAUGGUUAAAUUAUGUGUGCUAUGAUCCAACAAAAACACAAUAUUAAUUUAAAGUAUACACAUCGUACGUUCUCUCAAUCAUAUCAAUAAUUAAUAUUUCAAACGUUUCUUCGUCACAUGAUCAACUUUUUAAAACUAUUUUAAGAUCAAUCUUUUAUUCUUCCACAUUUGAUUUGUUUACAAAUAUAUAGAAAUAAAGUUGUAUAAGUACAUAUGUGAUUUAUUGGUGACAAAUUAUAUCCUAUAAACUCUUACCCUUUAGAGGUGUACAAAUGUUAAUGAUCUGUGCACAUACAUCAUAAUCAAUAAUACUAGUUGAGGAGGGAAAAUCAAACAGCAUAAGUCACAUUGAAAAGUAAAACUUGGGAUUUGAUUUUUUUUAAAACGAAGAUGACCAAUCCAUUAUGUAAGCUAAGGAGUCACUUCAGGUGGAAAUCAACAAAUUAUUCAUUUAAUACACACCAUAGUUUAAAAAAUAAAACUUCUUCAAAUUUUAAUGACAUUAUUUAAUACUUAAGACAUGUCCUAAUUAAAGAAUCAAAGAUUCAAAAUGAAGUGAAUUGGUCUAAACUUAGUUCAUACAUAUACUUAAAAUAAUUUUAAAGUCAUUAAAAUUAAUUAGUUGAAGUUGAUUAUAUAUAUAUAUAUAUAUAUAUUAUACUCAAUGAAAGAAUAAUUAUUAUUUUCAUUUCAAAAACAUAUAAUUGUGUGAAUAUGUUUCUAAAGUUGGAUAUAACACACCAAAAAGAAAAUAAAAGGCAAAACUUAAAUUUACGAACCACGAUGAUAUUCUUACCACUAUUUUCCCUUUUAUUGUUCUAUUCUACAUUGUACAUUAUUAAAAAAAAAAAAAACUCUGAAAAAUAAAUACAUCGACUUUUAUCUCCAUAAACCAUAAAAUUAACAAAUUAACAGUUUUUUAAGAAAUCAACUACAGUUAAUUAGUUCACCCUCACUAAACUAUAAUAAAAAUUGAUAUAAUUAGGAUAAACUUAAAUCGCAAAUAUAAUUUGAUUAUUUUUAAACAUGAAUAAUUACAGUAAAUAUGCAAAAUUAACAAAUUUUUUAGAUAGAAUAAUAAUAGUAACGAUAAACGUAGCAAUAUAAUAAUUAUAAUAGAAUGCAAUUUUGAAGCAGGAUUGGAGUAAACACUUUUAUUCAUUGAUCAGCAAUUUGAAAGUAUAACCUAAUAUAAGAUAAAUAAAGGAUAGAAAAAGAUAAUAAAAGGAGAUUACCCACAUACCAUGCAUUCACCCAUUAAGCAUAGCUUAAUUCAGUGAACCUAAAAACAAGAAAUGAAAUAAUUGCAGAAAGACGACAUUGGAGAAAUAAUUGUAAAAUAAAUUGAGAAAGAAAGAAGAAAAAAAAGUUGUAGAUUUAAAACAUCCACGUCGGGAAAGCGGUAAGUGUGCAGAUUCAUCCACUUGGAAGUUUAAAAUUUGAUUUUGCAAACAACUUGUGGUAAUGCGUACC
rnacentral:lncRNA from 1 species